GCGCCGAAUGGCAUCAUCUUGAUCUCUCUACUUCCUGUUAUAUCGAAGGCUUCCUCAUCUGAUCCUUCCACUAAGAACCUCUGAGGUUUAAACUCCAAGGGAUCCUCCCACACAUUUGGGUCUAAGGCCAUGUCCGCAAGCAUGAAAUUGAUGGUCAAAUUCCUUGGGAUGACGUAGCCGUUCAGUUCAACUUCCUCCGUCACCGUGUGUGGAAUCACAAAGUGACCAGGUGGGUGUCGCCUAAGACCUUCUAAUAUCACUGCUUUCAAGUAGGGCAUUUUUUGCAAAUCUUCCUCCUUCACCUCCUCUUCUGUCGACUCGCUCUUUUUUUCUCCCACUACACUGGCAAUUUCUUGAUAUAGAUUCUCCUGAAUGGUAGGAUUUUUAACCAAGUUGGCCAUAAUCCACUGCAAGGUAGUGUAGGUCGUAUCAGUUCCAGCGGCUAGGAAUUCAACGCAGAGGGUAACGAUCUCUUCAUGAUUGAGUUUUCUUUUUUCAUCUGGCCACUCCAAAUUCAAUAGUGUAUCCACGUAACACGUCACAAAUUCAUCCUCGUGCUCGGAUUUUUGUUCUUUGGCCUUGAUUCGUGCUUCAAUCAAAGGUUGGUAGGUUUUCUGUUGCUCUUGUUGUUGCUCAUUGAAUUCCUUCCAGAGCUUUCUAAAAAUUAGCUUUCCAAGUCUAGGAAAGAUACCUAAUACAGCGAAACGUCGGCUUCCCAAGAGAAACUUCACUUGCAUAUUUUCAAUUUUUUUGAUUUGAGGUUCGUCAAGCUUGUUCCCGAAACACAUCAAGACAAGAAGACAGAACAUAGCAUACUGAAAAUGAUCAACUAACUUCACGGAUUCGUCUUGUUUGCCGCGGAGCUGGUUAAGGAGGAUAUCCAACACCCAGGCUCGGGCUUUGGAAUAGGACUUGAUGCGAGAAGGAUGGAGCAUUUCUGAAAACAAGUUUCGACGGAGCAGACGCCAUGUAGGGCCAUAAGGUGCACCGUUGAUGCUGCGGUUGUUAUUGUUGGACGGCACACUUUGCCGGUCAGAGAAAACGGAGCCUUGCUUGAUUAAAGCUUGGUAGGCUAAAGAAUGACUAGCUACAAAUAUGGAGCUAUGGGUCCCCAUAUUGAGGGUGAUCAUAGGACCAUACUUAGCCUUGAGAUCAACGAGUAUGCGUUCCAAGUCGAUGGCGUUUCUUCUGGCCCAUAAUAAAGUGCCGAUCACCGGCCAAGUGUAGGGUCCCGGUGGGAGUUUCUUCUUGGACUUGGAAUUAGAAGAGAUGAUAGUAUCAAAAAGGGAUUUGAGGAAGAAAGAGAUACAUAAAGUGACAACAAUAAUAAACCAAGUUUCCAUUAUUACUGUAUUAUUUUUCUAAUUGUAUCAUCAAGAAGAAGAGGUGUGUUUUUGUUGAUCUAUUUUUCAUUUCCAUGACCCGUAUAUAUAGAGCAUCCACCAAAAGGAGAACAGGAAUAAGCUAAGAUGUCGUGAUGCAAAGAAAUUCACCCGUGCUAAGUUACCUCUGCUAACUGCUAAGCGUGUAUCCACCUUGCACUUGCUUACUCAGUUCACACUUGUCGAUUAGAUAUUUAGAUUUGAUUAUUUUUUUUUCAUUUUUCCAUAUCAUAAUCAAAUCAAAUAUUAUCCAUUUCUUAAAAUUUAAAAUCAAAUCAAAUUAAAUAUAAAUUUUUUAAGUCGGUUUGGUUGGUAAUUGGUAUGAACACUACUUAAAAAAAUAUAAAAUAUAAUUUAAAGAUGGAUUAUAAUUUAAAUAGGGUUAUUUCAUAAAAAGUUAAAGGGUAAAAUUUAAAAGUAAAAAAUGCUAAUAAAAGCAAGAACAAGAAAAUAAAUAGAAAGAGAACAGAUUUUUUAUUUCUCUUGAUCGAUGAGAGAUCGUCUUAAGAAUACAAUGAACAAAACCCUCUAUUUAUAGAAAAAAAUACUUCUAGUUUCUAACUCUAUUUAUAGAAAAAAAUUCUCCUAGUUUCUGAUCAAAAACAGAAACUUUCUAACAAAAAGACAGAUACUUCAAAUCCUAACAGAUAUCAACUAGAUCGUGAUAGAUAUGAACAAAACCUGGGAAAAAUACUUCUGACUAAAAAACAGAUACUUCAAAUCCUGAUACAUGCCAACUAGAUCUUGAUAGAUCUUAUUUAUAUUAGACAUUCAUUAUAAUGUAAAUACAUUUAUAACACUCCCUUGAAUGUCUAAUUGAUAGUUAAAACUUGACUAGAAAAAACUCAGUGAAAAAAAAAUCUAGUGAAGAAAAAAGAGUAUACAUCUCUAACAAUAUCUGCCUCAUUAAAAACCUUACAAGAAAAACCCAGUGGAACAAAACCUUGAAAGGGAAAAAGAGUACAACUUGUUUUUGCUCCCCUGACGAGAACAUCCAUGAACUUUUGCAUCCCAAUCUUGUGCACCAUCUUCUUGAAAGUUGUAGUUGAAAGAGACUUGGUGAAUAAAUCAGUCACAUUGUCACUUGAACGAAUUUGUUGCACAUUACUAUCACCAUUCUUUUUGUAGCUCAUGUGUAUAGAAAAACUUUGAUGAAGUGUGCUUCGUUCUAUCUCCUUUUAUGAAUCCCCUUUAAAAUGUGUUAUGCAUGUUGCAUUAUCUAUGUAUAAAACUGUGGGUAUAUUGUCACAUUUCAAACCACAUAUUUCUCGAAUAAGAUGUAUCAUGGACCUCAACCAUACACAUUCUGUUAGGAUUUUUGCCCUGAUUUUCUUACCAAAUUUAAGUUUUAUUUUUCUUAGAAGGAAAAUAAAAGUAAUACCAUAAUUACUUUUCUUUUUUCAGAAAGAAAAAUAUAAAACUUUUUCAUAUUUGGCAAACCUCUUUUUUGGAGUAAAGAUUUUGAAUAUCUAUAAAUAGAAGACCCUCUUCUCAUACAAUAACACAACAACAUCCACAAUGUAGUCGUUCAACAGUCUUAUUUAGGUGGAGAUUUCUCCCAACAGGUUUUAUAUUUUAUUUUAAUAUAAGUUUUUUAUAUGUAGGUUGUUUGACCAAAUUACAUUAAUAAUAUAUGUUUAGUAUUGUUUUCUUUGUCGUCUGAUUUAUCGUCUUCAUGAUUUGCAAAUUAUAAGCUUCCACAUGGCGCCCUCUCGAUUUCGAACCUAACAAGUGGUAUCAGAACUUAUGAUUCAAUGGUACAAUAGUGUGGUGAGACGAGAUUAAACCGGUUCAAAGCGGUUUUAAAAUCAUGCUGCAACAAUUUGGUGAUAAUGAAGAUUUUUGUCUAGCUACAUGUGGAGAAGGAGCUUAAGUAUAUUUAUAACAUUCAUGUUGCUGCAUCUUUAAAAAUAAAUAUAAGAUAUUUUUUAAACCAUUUAUAAUCCAUAAUAUUUUAAAUUUUAUUUUAAUCAUGGCAAGCAACAGUUAUGAACAUUAUAUCAAGAACGAAGUUCAUGCACGUGAAGUGAAAAAGGCGAAUCAAGUGAAGAAAAUCAAGCCAAAAAGGGAAGAUUUGUCAGGAUUUUUGCCCUGAUUUUUUACCAAAUUUAACUUUUAUUUUUCUUAGAAGAAAAAUAAAAGUAAUACUAUAAUUAUUUUUACUUUUUCUAAAUGGAAAAUAUAAAACUUUUAUAUAUUUGGCAAACCUUUUUCUUGGAGGAAAGACUUUGAAUAUCUAUAAAUAAAAGACCCCCUUCUCAUAUAAUAACACAAUAACAUCUACAAUGUAGUCGUUCAAGAGUCUUGUUUAGGGGGAGAUUUCUCUUAAUAGGUUUUAUAUUUUAUUUUUAAUAUAAGUUUUUAUAUGUAGGUCAUUUGACCAAAUUACAUUAAUAAUAUAUGUUUUUAAUAGUAUUUUCUUUGUCGUCUAAUUUAUCGUCUUCAUGGUUUGCAAAUUAUAAGCUUCCGAAUGACGCCCUCUCAAUUUCGAACCCAACACAUUCUCGGCUAGCUUUAUGAAUAGCUAUUAUCUCAUCAUGGUUCAAUAAAAUGGCUAGAUAGACUAUUUUGUUGUAAUACCCCAUAUUUCCUUAGCUUAAUUUAACUCUCAGUACAUGAGCUAGCCUAUAUAAAAAUUUUGAAAUACUAAGUAUUUUUCAGUUUAGACCCUUCCACUGCGUAGAAAAUUCAACUAGCUUUCCAACGAUAUAAAAUUCGCCCAAAUCCGAUACCUGAGCGAAGAGUUAUAGCCAAUUUAGUAUAACAGUUUGCCAAAUUGCAUAUUAGCGCAUCGCGGAGGCCAGUAAAAUGGCAAUUGUCCAUUUCCAAUGUUGCUCCGCGAUAUUGGAGCAUGUCGUGUCAUGGACCCAAUUCAUAAUUGUCUUUUUUCAGUGUUCUAACGCAAUGUCACCACGUCGCGGUGAACUUCCAGGCCGCAUCCAAGGUAGCAACGUGAUACCAUAGCAUCGCACCACCAGCCACAUUUCCAGUUGGCAAUUUCCAAUGGCCCGACGCGAUCAUGGCAUGUCGCGCCAGAGCCCAAAAUUGAGUUUUUCGGUACGAAUUUUUAAAUCGUUCCUGGGGUAAAUGAGUAUUUUUCCAUUGCCCUAAGCAAUCUAAACACAAAAUUAAACCCCUAAAUAACCUAUUGCCUCAUUAUUUCCUCACUUUCUCUCAAGAAUAAAAUGUUCUCUCUCAAAGAGGCAAAAAAACCCUAGUUUAAGAAAUCAAGAACAAGCCUAAAAAUUCCUCUAAGAACCUUCAAGAAAGAAUGUUAUAAGUUAUAUUAGGUGUUCAUUCAUGGGUUCCUUUCACCCAUGAAGUCCAAGAACCCUUUUUCAAAAUACAAAGAUAGUGUAUUUAUGAAUUUCUAUGAUUGAGUUGAAUUGAAUUCAUGUUCAUGUUAUUGUUGAGUUUUUGUCCAUGAUUAAAUUACAAGCUUUCAUGAAAUUAAUCAUUAUAUGUGUUAAAUUACAUGAUCCUCUUGAUGAACCCUUCAAUUUACAAGUUGAUUGAUAUAGCCAUGAUAACUAUACGUGUUGAUUGUUGUAUAACCUAAACGUGCCUCUCAUGUGUUUGAUAAAUUGUUUAUGAGAAUGAAAAAAUGCCAUCAUAGCAUGCUAAAAUGUAUUCCCCAUUCAUGUACAAGUUAAUGCAUUACAAGUGUUUGAUGAAAUGUCUCUAUGAAUGAAUUAUGACCAAGUGAACAUUAUUAUGUUAUUCAAGAUUAUGCUUCACUUUACUUUUCAUGCUAUCGAGUCCUGGGGUAUUUAAUAAUCGACAAUUGAGCUAUUUACCUAGAGCCAGUGUCAGUUACAGAAUAGUAUCAGUCAUGUCACAAUCAGUAAUAUUCUCAGUUAAUUACAGAACUCAAUAAAACUCUGUCAGUUACAGAACUUAAGAAAACUCAGUAAACUCAGUAUCAGUCCAGUCUAAUUCAGUAUAAUCAGUUCAGUGUCUUUCAGUUGGGAGUAGGAUUUAGCACCGAGCGAGCCUAAGGAUGGGGGCUUACCCAUUAUUAGGACUGGGUCCCUAGAAGCAAUCCCUAAGUUCCAGAACUACGUAGCCACCGUAGGUUAUGAGAUAUCAUCCGUUAGAUAGGACUGACAUACUCAGGGAUCACCCGCUAGUUUAGGACUGAUCUCAGGGGUCACCCGUUAGUUAGGACUAACUCCACAUCAGCUGUUAAUACUCGCGGCACGGUGCUAACACCCUUUCAAUUGGGGUUACAGAUUGGACCGCAACUCAGUCAUCUUAUCUUAUUUGGGGCAUGUCAGUUACAUGAUUACCUCCCACAAUUUUGGUUUCAGUCUUCAAUUUAGAACUCAGUUCAGUUCUACAGAAUCAGGACUGUCAGACAUAGAUAAUCAGUAUCAGUAUUUAGUUAUCAGUAACUUUAGGUAUCAGUUACUCAGUUAUCAUAACUCAUUACUCAACUUUAGAAAAGUCCAGUUACAGUAUUUUCAUAUAUGCACAGUUUUGCACACUUAGUAUAUACAGCAUUAUCAAUUAUCCAUGUACUCUCAUAUUCAGUUAUUCUCUAUCAUUCAGUCAGUUACUGUUCAUGCAUAUGAACCCUUGUAUUCAGCCUUACCUCAUGUAGCAUAUCUAUAUAUUCCACGUACUCACGCAUACUCUUUCUUUGCGCUAUGAUGUCUUAUAUCAUAGGUUCGGACGCUCAGGUUCCCGACCGCACAUAGACAGAUUCAGAUUCAGCCAGCAUAUUAGAUUUAUUAGUGAGUCCUCAUCUGUCGAGGAUAUUCUUUUGUUUCAUUAUUUCAGUAGACUCAGUGUUUUAGUAGAUGGGGUUAGUUGAGGGAUUGUCCCAUCAACUCCACUUUCAGAUAGUUUCAGUUAGAGAAUUAUCAAACUAGUUUUCAGAUAAUAUUCAAUUUUAUAUAUUGUUAUUUCGGUUGAUACACUUUAUUAGUAUUUUACAAAUUUUUGAACCUUAUGGCAUUUCAGCCUAUUUUUCUCAUUUUACAGUAUUAUUAUUCAGUUCUCACAGUAGAUAUCAGUCAUGGGUUAGCUUGUGGUCCUUCAGGGUUGUAAGCACCAUAUAGUAUCUGAGGUACAGACUCGGGGCGUUACAAACUUGGUAUCAAAUCCUAAGGUUUAACAGAGUCCUAGAGAGUCUGAAAGUCGCGUCAAGUAGAGUCUUGUACAUGGAUGUAAAGUGCGCCACAUUUAUGGACAAGAGGCUACAAGAUGUUUUAGGAAAAGUUUCCCUUCUUUCAUGUCUCAGAUCAUGCUAUAGAAAGGUCCUCUAAGAAAGUUAUAAAGAUUCUCAUUUUUGCUCUAUUCAUGCCAGCCCUGCCUUAUUUUCAAGAUAACAGAAACAAUCAAGCUUAAAUCCCUACAGAUAGAGUUUUUUUUCAGACAUUCCCCACAGAUAAUUAUGGGAUUGUCGUAGGCUCAAAAGUAUCCCAUCAGUUUUGUUAUGUUCUAAAGUUUUAAAAUUUCAUUUAUGAUCAUGAAAACUCGUGCACUAACCCAAAGUAAGUUGUGCCUUUAAGUCCCUUCUCAGUAUUCUAGGAUAACAUAUGACCUAGAGUUAGAAGCAUGAAACCAGGAUUUUAGCAACAGUAGUGGAGUUGGGGUAAUGUUAUCUGAAUUUUGAGCAGAUUAUAUUUCAUGGGGAUAGUUGUAUAAAAGGUGAAUCAGUAGGCUUGAAACAGUGUAUGUAACAAAACAAUUUAAGUUUGUUGAUUUGAAAGUGUAUGUUGUUAGUGUAAUGGUAAUUCCCAUGGUGUAGGAAAAAUAUAAGUUUAGAUAUAGGAUAAUUGUAGGCUAUGAUGAAAGUAGUAUGGUUCAUUGAAGGUUUGGGGGUAUCCAUGUUAAGUGUUAGAAUCUGAGUUUGAAUCUUCGAGGAUUGAGCUAAUAGAAAGAAGAUUUAAGAAUUUUAAGUUAGUCAAUUGCAAGUUGUUACAUGAUGAUUGUUGGGGUUAUAGAGGGCUAAGAAUUGUAUCUCAGAAGAAAUUACUAGCAACAAGUUUUACAUUAUCAGGUGUAGACUUUCAGGGUGAGUUUAUUAUUUAUGCAUAUUAUUAUACCCUAGAAUCUAGAGUAAAAUGGUAACAGUGCAAUUUAGAGUUGUUGAGUAAGUGGUUUACAGACUUAGAAUGAUGACUUUAAGCUAAGGGGGGAGAUAAUAGAACAAGUAACCAAUCAGGCUCUCAGAUCCUAGUAGUGAUGCCAGUAUGUGUAGAAAAGUAGUAGGAGAGAAUGAGGCCCAACCCAUUCAUAUCUCAGUGCAAGGUUUCUCAAUCAUCAUGAUAUCUACUCAUGCCUUACAUAUCAGCCCUAUGAUCAUAGUUCAUAUUGUGCACUUUAUAGAAAAUUAUGUAGGCUUACAGUUCCUAGUAAAAGGAGUUCUAGUUCACCCACCAGUCCGAAUCAUAUUCCAUGAAGUUAUGAACUCCAAACUCAGGUCAUGCAGCUCAUGACUCAUGUAUUCAUGCUUUACAGUAUGUUCAGUUCCAGUACUCAUGCUACACUCCUAAUGAUCUGUUAAAUUCAGACUAUGUCAUGUAUAUCUUCAGUUUAGACCUCUUGGUAAAUCUGUGAUGUAAAUAUUCUAUUCCUCAGACUUCAUUAGGUAGGGUUAUCGGUGCCCAUAUUACAAAAUUUUAUCCAUAUUAUGGGUUCUUCUUCAGAUGUCUUAUUCAGACCAUACUAAGGUUCCUUACUCCCUAAAGUCAUUAGAACCUUAUAGAAAGAGNNNNNNNNNNNNNNNNNNNNNNNNNNNNNNNNNNNNNNNNNNGUUCGUAAAGUUAGCAAUUUAUUUUAGCAGUUAGGUGGACAAAUUUGGAUGGUUUUCUAUCUUUCCAUUUAGUUGCCCUUUCCCAAAAUAGAACAUCCUGGUAGUUGCGAGUUCAGCUCAGUUCAUGUAUCAUGACUUAGUUUCAGAUCUCAGAUAUCCAGUCAUGAUUCAGUUCGUAGGUGCCCUGUGCAUCGUCUCAGCUUUUCCUUAGUAUCUUAGCCAAGUCAGCAUUCUUCAAGGGACAUAAUGACCUAAGGGGGAGAUGUACUAUAGUCCCCGAGCUUUCAUCUCCUAAACCUUCCAGUUUCUCUUCACGUAACGAAUCCAGUGUAUAGUAGUGGGUACUCAUAAGUUGAUCCUCAAGUUCUAAUCUCAGUCAUAUGAUAUGUAUCCAAGAAAUCAGUUCAGUUCAUGAUAUUCAGUUCAUAUAUCAUGUUUCAGACUUAGUAAUGUUCUCAUGUUCCCGUUCAUACAUAUCUAGUAAAUGAUCUUAGGUUCAUCAAUAUUCUGAGCCUAAGGUAACAACGUUCCUUAGAUUUACUCGAUUUCAUGAUUUAGUUACAGUCAUAAACUUGGUUUUCUUUGCCGUUGAAUAAUCAAUCAUACAUUCAUGAAUCAGUUCAGUCAUGUAUUCCAUGUAUCAGAUAUACACGUUUAGUAUGAAAACUUAACUUAUCAAUAGCUUCAGUCAUGUAUUCCAUGCAUCAGCUAUGCAUGUUCAGUAUAGAAACUCAGUUUGUCAGUAGUUCAGUCAUGUAGUCAGAUUUCAAUUUUGCAUGUUCAGCUUGUAAACUCAGUAUCAGUGUUUCUCGGCUUAAUUAGUCUAAUUUAAGGACAAAUGUUUCCAAGGAGGAGAUAUUGUAAUGCCCCGUAUUUUUCUAACUUAAUUUAACUUUUAGUACAUGAGUUAGCCUAUAUAAAAUUUUUGAAAUACACAAUAUUUUUCAAUUUAGAGCCUUCCACUACAUAUAAAAUUCAACCAGCUUUCCAACGAUAUAAAAUUUGCCCAAAUCUGAUACCCGAGCGAAGAGUUAUAGCCAAUUUAGUAUAACAGUUUGCCAAAUUGCAUGUCAGCGCAUCUCGGAGGCUAGCAAAAUGGCAAUUAUCUGUUACCAGUGUUGUACCGUGAUACUGGCACGUCACGUCAUGGACCUAAAUCACAAUUGUCCUUUUUCAAUGUUCCAACGUGAUGUCACCGCAUCACGGUGUACUUCCAGGUCGCAUCCAAGGUGGCAACACGAUACCACUGCGUCGCGCCACUAGCCACAUUCCCAAUUGACAAUUUUCAGUGGCCCGACACGAUCAUGGCGCUUCGCACCAGGGCUAAAAAUUAGAUUUUUUAGUACGAAUUUUUAAAUCAUUCCCAGGGGUAAAUGAGUAUUUUUCCACGACCCUAAUCAGUCUAAACACGAAAUUAAACCCUUAAAUAACCUAUUGCCUCAUUAUUUUCUCACUUUCUCUCAAGAAUAAAAUGUUCUCUCUCACAGAGGCAAAAAAACCCUAGUUCAAGAAAUCAAGAACAAGCCUAAGAAUUCCUCCAAGAACCUUCAAGAAAGAAUCUUCUAAGGUAUAUUAGGUGUUCAUUCAUGGGUUCCUUUCACCCAUGAAGUCCAAGAACCCUUUUUAAAAUACAAAGAUAGUGUAUUUAUAAAUUUCCAUGAUUGAGUUGAAUUGAAUUCGUGUUCAUGUUAUUGUUGAGUUUUUAUCCAUGAUUAAAUUACAAGCUUUCAUGAAAUUAAUCAUUAUAUGUGUUGAAUUAUAUGAUUCUCUUGAUGAACCCUUCAAUUUACAAGUUGAUUGAUAUAGCCAUGAUAACUAUGUGUGUUGAUUGUUGUAUAACCUAAGCAUGCCUCCCCUGUGUUUUAUAAAUUGUCUAUGAGAAUGAAAUACUGUCAUUAUAGCAUGCUAACAUGUAUUCCCCAUUCAUGUACAAGUUAAUGCAUUACAAGUGUUUGAUGAAAAUGUCUCUAUGAAUGAAUUAUGACCAAGUGAACAUUGUUAUGUUAUUCAAGAUUAUGCUUUGCUUUACUUUUCAUGCUAUCGAGUCCUGGAGGUAUUUAAUACCCGAUAAUUUAGCUGUUUACCUAGAGCCAGUGUUAGUUACAGAAUAGUAUCAGUCAUUUCACAAUCAGUAAUACUCUCAGUCAGUUACAGAACUCAGUAAAACUCAGUCAGUUACAGAACUCAAUAAAACUCAGUCAGUUACAGAACUCAAGAAAACUCAGUAAACUCAGUAUUAGUCCAGUCCAAUUUAGUAUAAUCAGUUCAGUGUCUUUCAGUUGGGAGUAGGAUUCAGCACUGAGCAAGCCUAGGGAUAAGGGCUUACCCGUUAAUUAGGACCGAGUCCCUAAAAGUAAUUCCUAAGUUUUAGAAAUAUGUAACCAGCGUAGGUUAUGAGAUGUCACCCGUUAGAUAGGAUUGACAUACUCAGGGAUCACUCGCUAGUUUAAGACUGAUCUCAGGGUCACCCGUUAGUUAGAACUGACUCCACAACAGUUAUUAGUACCCGUGGCACGGUGCUAACACCCUUCCAAUUGGGAUUAUAGAUUGGACCCUAACUCAGUUAUCUUAUCUUAUUUGGGGCAUGUCGAUUAGAUGACUACCUCUCAUAGUUUCAAUUUUAGUCUUCAGUUUAGAACUUAGUUCAGCUCUACAGAAUCAGGACUGUCAAACACAGUCAAUCAGUAUCAGUAAUUCAGUUAUCAGUAACUUUAAGUAUCAAUUACUUAGUUAUCAGAACUCAGUACUCAGCUUUAAAAAAACUCAGUUACAGUAUUCCCGUAUAUGCACAGUAUUGCAUACUUAGUAUGUACAACAAUAUCAGUUAUCCGUGUGCUCCCAUGCUCAGUUAUUCUCUAUCAUUCAGUUAGUUACUGUUCAUGCAUAUGAACCCUUGCAUUAUGCCUUACCUCAUCUAGCAUACCAGUACAUUCCACAUACUAACACAUAUUUUUUUUUGCGAUAUGAUGUCUUAUAUCAUAUGUUCGGACGCUUAGAUUCCCGACUGUGCAUAGAUAGAUUCAAAUUUAGCCAGCAUAUCAAAUUUAGUAAUGAGUCCUCAUCUGUCGAGGAUAUUCUUCUAUUUCAUUACUUCAGUAGACUCAGUGUUUCAGUAGAUGGAGUUACUUGGAGGAUUGUCCCAUCAACUCCAGUUUCAGAUAGUUUCAGUUAGAGGCUUAUCAGACUAGUUUUCAAACAAUAUUCAGUUUUAUAGAUUGUUAUUUCAGUUGAUACACUUUAUCAGUAUUUUAUAGAUUUUUGAACCUUAUGGCAUUUCAGCCUAUUUUGCGCAUUUUACAGUAUUAUUAUUUAGUGCUCAUAGCAGAUAUCAGUCAUAGGUUAGCUUGUGGUCCUUCUAGGUUAUAAGCACCGUGUAGCGUUUGGAGUACAGACUCAGGGCGUUACAUUUGUACAUCUCCAAGAUAUGGCAGUAUCCCCACAUGUGAACACAUAGCCUAUUUGAGACCAAGUUUUAUGCGGAUUAGAUAAGUACCCAAUAUCAGCAUGACCAAUAAGAUUGGGACUGCAAUCUUUAGAAUAAAAUAAGCUCAUGUAUUUUAUCCCGUUUUGAUGUCUCCCAAUAGGAGGAGAAAUAUAUCUUGCUAACAAAUUGACUGAAAAGGCUAAAUCAGGCCUUGUAUCUGCAAGAUACACUAGUGCAUCACCUGCACUAGGAUAUGAUGCUUUAUAACCAAUCCAAUUCGGUAUAUUUCUUAUUUCAAUAAAUAAUCUAUUACUUUUGAAAACUCUCCAAGAGUUUCAAUAAUUUUCAAGCUAUAAGCUUAUACAAUAAAAGGAUUCUAGAUAAGUUUCCUAGAAACUUUUAUAUGCUUCAAACAUUUUGAAUCCUUAGAAAGUUUUCAUUUAAAUUUUGUCAAGUGAUAAUAUUCAACAUUUCAUGUGUGACAUCUUCAAGUGUCUAGACAGCAAAUCAAAUAAUUUUUACUCUUACCAAGAUGCCUCCUUUCAUGUCACUUAAUAAAUAUUCUACAUCGGCAUGCUUAAAUAAACAUAGAAUUUGGAUCCCCACAAUCUUUCACAAUAUUGCACCAAUAUUGUAUCAAAGAUAUUGAUGAUAUAUCAUUUCGUAUUGGUUCGCUGUGUGACAUAACAUUUUGAUAUCUCAUCACUUCAUUAUUUUUAGGUACCUAAACCUCUCAUAAGGUUUCAUGAAGUGUUAUGUCGUAGGCUCUUCAAGAGCACAUUGCCUUCUUAUUAUGAUUAUUUGCUCCUUAUCCUUUUUAAGAAUUAUUUUAUUUGGAACCGAUUGGUCUACCACGCUUCACGUAUGCAUAGACUUUGUCCUUCUAGAACACAAAAUAGGUGCACUUGCAGCUUAAAUAUGAGAUGCUUUUGUCAUUUGACUUGAAUUAUCUUUUGAAUGAGGAUUUAAUGAUAAUUCCUAACAUAUUUCAUGUUUCUUAUAAUCUCCCCAUUAUGUUAGGAAAACUAACAUACAUCCUUCAUUUUCUUUGAGGAAUCCAUCUUUGUGCAUCAUGGUAUAUUUAUUAACCGUAUACCAUACAUUAACAAUCAGAUGGAAUAGUCGAUUCCUGACCUUGAACCAAUUGAGAGGGAAGAAAUAAUCAUAAUAUAUUGGUCUAAUGCAUACAAGUGCUAUUGUAUGCAACAUAUCAUAUUUCAGACCAACACAUGAAGCUUUGUUCUCAUUAGCAAUGGUUUAGCUAUUUAUCGAUGGCAUUCAAUUCCAAACAUCAUCAUCAAGAUGAAUUGUCUUGAUUACACAAUCUGAAAAUUAUGCUCUUAACUCAAUUUUAUUGAGCAAGUAACUUUAUGAAUGUCAAACUGCAGGUUGACAAUAAAUGUACAUGUGAUCAUCUUAUUGAUACAUCUUUUCAAAGCAUAUCACAUGGUAGGUGACCGGACCCAUAUUCACCUUUUAUAUUUUUUAGAUUUUGAGAGAUAAAAUUCCAACAUUAGUUGGUCCAACCAACUUAUUAUGAGAACAAACAACAUUAAAAAUAAUGAAGAAUUUUUUAAUUCUUCAAUAUAUGUUGAAUACUUAGUAUGCACAUCUUUGGAAUGUCACAAUCAUUCAUGUCAGUUUAUGAACUUUUAUUCUAGCAAACUCCAAGUUUAUCAUGACAUGUACCUUUUAUUUUAGUAAAUUUCAGAUUUACUAUUACAUGAAUAAAAUUCAGAUUUACUACUUUAGAAGUAGAUUUCAAAAUAACUCUUUUAAGUUAUUCUGACUCUUUCGGAGGUGAGUUGUGAUACCAUCACAAUCAAGUGCACGUUUGUAUUAAUAAGUUUCUCAUUCUCCAGAAAUGGAAAUAAUCAUGCCUUAAGCCUAUCAAAUUCUGAUAGUUUUUAACCUCUUUUAAGAUAUUGCUAAUUUAGGAGCAAAUCGAGGCAUAUAUGGUUGUAGAGAAAAUUUUCUCUAACAUAUCUUAUAGUCAUAAUAAGCGUGUGAAAAUAUAUCACUUUUGAUGAUUAUCAUAUUAUCCGUUCAUGCUUAUAUUCGUAUAUUCAAUCUCUUGUCCUCUUUCAUACAUAUUACGCACUACUACCACAUUCACUUAAGAGAAUGGAGCAUAUUCAAUGGAACAUGUCUCAUGCCUUUUCACAAAUGCUCAUUGUUUUGCCUUAGCCAUCAUCAAUAUGGUGCAUUGAGAUUCAAACUCAACAUCUUAUCCAUAUAAAGGCAUCUUAGGCUAUAAAUCGAUGGGGUUUAAACCCAACAUCUUUCAGAUUCAAAGCAAUUGUUACUUUUAAGAGUUAUAAAAUACCAUAAAAUUUAACCACUAAUAGUGAUUAUAGACGUAAAUAAAUUUAAUAACAAAUAAUCUUAUAAAAUACACCACAAAAAUUCAAACAUGAAUAAUAACCUAGAUGUUCAUGAUCCACUCACAGAACUUUAAUAGCUUCAUCAAAUCUUAAUUACUUUGGCAAUUCUGUAAAACUGUCAUAAAGCAUAAGCUUCCUAAGACAAAAAUUGUGUAACACUUAAUCAAACCCUUUAUAUAAUCAAAGUGUUGCCCCAUUAUACGUAGAAUCAAAAUCUCAAGAUCCUAUCAAAAGUUGAAAUCUUUAAAGUUGAUGUUCACAAGGUCAAUAUGAGUUGCUUGGUUCUUCCUAUCCGUAUUAUCUAUAUUCUUAUCUUCAAAGAGUAUUUUGAUUCACGGUAGAGUUUCGUAUUGAUAAUGUGCUAUGAAAUAUAAAAUUAAGAACAAGAAAAUAAAUAAAGAGAGAAGAGGAUCUCUUGAGGCAUGAGAGAUCAUCUUGAGAAUACAAUGAAUAAAAUCCCUCUAUUUAUAAGAAAAAAUACUCCUAGUUUCUGACUAAAAAACAAAUACUUCAAAUCCCCCUCUAUUAUAGGGAAAAAUACUCCUAGUUUUUAAUUAAAAGACAAAUACUUCAAAUCCUGAUAGAUAUCAACUAGAUCUUAUUAGAUUUUAUCUAUAUUUUUUUAUAGACAUUCAUUAUAAUGUAAAUACAUUUAUAACAAAAAAUAAGUUUUUGACUGUUUUACGAGUAAUUUUCACGGAUAGUCAUUUAUGUUUUCAUAAUUGCCUACAAAUAUCACUUUUGUUUGUUUUAAUACAAGAAUAUCACCUAACUAUCCCUAUUUUCCUCAAAAAAAUACUUAACACUUUAAAAAUCUUCUUAUCUCCUACUUGGCAUGUCAUGUUGUUAAAAUCUUUUAUUUUCUUAAUUAUAAAAGUAUUUAAUUCUUCAAGUUCAUUUAUUCAAACCCAUGUCUUAUAAACUAUAAGAAAAUCUAAAUUACGGAAUAUUUUAUUUUUGGGGGGAGAAUUUGGAAAGGAAUUUACCGAUAACCUAAUUCUCUACAAGGUUUUCAACAAAACUAAUAUGAUGAAAAACCUACAAAUUUUUUCUAUCAAAUAAAAUUUGAAGGAGAAAAUCUUAGAAUUUUUUUUUUGUCAAGUAAAAUUCAAUAGAAAAAUCUUAAAGGUAAUUAUCACCUAAAAAUUUUAAUUCAUAUGUAGAUCACCGGCAAAAUUUUAAGCAAGAUCCUUUUGAUAAAAAGAUAGUAAGAAAAUAGAUUCUUCGUGCGUAUUUUCCCUAAGUGAAUUUCAUAAACAAAUCAAGUAAAUUCGCAAAGUUAACAUAGGCAAAAACUUUAGAGAAUAGAAAUUCAUUAUUUUUAAUUUCAUUUUUUCAUUUUAUUUUUUGUUUCUAUUAUACUAUACUUUAUCUUAUUAUUUAAUUAAACACCAAUUUAUAUCCUUUUCACAUCCUAAAUCCACAAAAACAAGCGAUAAUUGGUUGGGUAUUGUUUCAAAGAUUCAUUUGUAAUAUUAGAUCAUUUUGUUAAUAUUUUUUUUUAACAAUUAAUUUAUUUCAUGACAAAAUAAUUUAUCUUUCCUUCAAUAAAGUUUUAAAAAUAUUAGUAAGUGGUGAAAUAAAUAAAUUUAAAAAACUUUGAAAAGUACAAAAUAAAAUAAUUCAAUCCUUUAGUUUUAUGUGUACAUUUGGACACAUCAACUACUUAAUUGACGAGUAAUGUGCAUAGCUUUACCAGAGGAAUUAUUUUCCUUCAAGUUGUGUGAUUAUCUAAUAUUUUUAUCAUGUGAUGUAAUUUUUCUCAUAUCAAAUAAAGAAUAAAUAUAAUUUAUCUCUAUUUUUAAGAAAGACAAAAUAAAUAUAAAAUUUAAAGUAUAUAAUUAAAUUGUUCUUCAAUAAUAAAUAUAUUAUGUGUAUUUAUUUUUUAAAAGAAAUAAACUAAAUUUUAGUUAAAUAAGUUUGAUAAAUUAAAUAGAUCUAUUUCUUAUAUAUAUAAAAACAAAAAUUAAUGACAUGAAAUGCAAAUUAGGAGAGAAGAAAUGUUUUUAAAGUGUCAAGUGUUUUUUUGAGGAAAAUAGGAAUAGUUCAGUAAUAUUCUUGCAUUAGAAGAAACAAAAAUGAUAUUUAUAGACAAUUGUGAAAAUAUGGGUGACUGUCUAUGAAAAUUACUCCUGUUUUACAAAUAUAAAUUCAAAUUGUAUUUAAAAUUUUCAUGAUCAGAGGUAUUAGAUGGGUCCUUAAUUAAUCUUUAAAUCUAAAUUGAAUUAACUUAAUUAAAUAUUUUAAAUUUAUAAUUUAGAUAUGUAAAAAAUUAUACGAUAACUCUAAAUUAUAAUUUUUUUUAUAUUAAUAAGAUAAAAAAUACUUAUUAAAAUAUUAAUCAUAAUUCAUAUAAUUUGUCUUUCCAUAAUUAAAAUGUCACAAGUAAAAAUAAAUUAAAAAUGAGUUAUUAAAUUCAACUAAACUAAAGUCUAAAUUAUAUUUUAGAGAUUAUGAAUUGUCAAUAGUGUGAAGCUUAUAGUACGGACCUCUCACCUCAUGGGGUCCACACAAACCUUAAAUUGAGAACAUGAUCGGAUUGGAUUUCAAUUUCUUCUAAACUCAAAACUCAAAGUUGAUAACAUGCACAAGCUUAAGUUUUACACUUUAAAGAUAUAAAAAAAAAAAUAUUUUUAUUUUUAACAUUUUCUGAAAAAUAUAACAUUUUCUUGAUGUAACAUUUUCUUUUCUUAAAGAUAUAAAAAAUAAAAAUAUUUUUUAAUAAGUUCAUUUGAAUAUAAUGUUUGAAAAAAUUACAUUACGGAUAGAUAUAUGGAUCUAAAUUUGUCGUGAUACUAUGAUUUUCUAUUUUUUUUUCUUGUCUUUCAUGGUUCUAUAUAUCAACAAUUUGAAUUAUUAACUUAUAAUAUCAUUUUAAAAAAAAAAAGAAUAAAUGAAAAAAUAGAAUAGCAAAAUCAAAAUAAAAGGCAAAAUAAAGUAUGUCAAUCACAUCAAGUUAAUUGUUACGUAAUAUGAAAUUCUUCAGCAUUUCAUGUUCAUCAUGACAUGGCAUCGAUGAAUUCAAUUAUACAAUAUACUCUUCUUAUAUUACUCCAUCCGCUUAAAAAAGAAUGACAUAUUUUUUUAGGCCGUUUUAAAAAGUAUGAUUCCCUUCUUUUUUUAGUAAUUUUUAAAUUUUAAUGUUUCACGCGGCAUGUUUAAGACCAUACAAUUGAAGGACAUUUUGGUACAUUUGAUAUAUCUUUAAUUUAAGAUCAUAAGAUUCAAAAAUCUAUUUUAUUUUCUUACACUUUGUGUCAAUUUAAAUUAGGUGAUUCUUUUUGGAAAAGAGAGGAGUAUAUAUUAUAAUGAUGACUUAUAGCCAAUGAUGACAUGACAUAUUUUUUUUUUAAGAAUUCCUCUUUUUACUUUUUUAUCUUCCUAUCUUUUUUCAAUCAAUUCAAUCUUCAUUUUCCUGCCCCCUAUUUUCCUAUGUAAGUAAAUGCCAAAUUAAAUGACUCCAUUGUUAAUGCCUAGUGGACUCUAAUCUUUCACACUCUUAUUAAUGUGCUCCAAUCUUUCACUCUAGUGUUACCAAAUCUUCCACUCUAUCAUUAGUGUACAAUCUUUCAUGCAAGAUAAGAUUGUAAGAAUAGUCUACUGUGCUAAACGUGGACGCAAUCCACACUAAUUAAUUGUGAUAACCACUAUUCAAUCUUUUGCUUGGAUGGUUUAUAUUUGGUAACGUAAUUAUUUCGCGUUGUAUAAUAUUAACUUAUUUUUUGACAUAUAUAUAAUAGAUAAUGUAAUUUCUAUGGUUAGGUAAUGUCAGAGAGUGACGGAGUCAACAUCUUAACUAAGGGGUUCAAAAUUGAAAAAUCUGAACAAAAGAAUUAGUCGACGAAGGUUCAACGUCUGUUACAUAUACAUGAAAAAUAAUUUUAACCUUGUAUAAAUAGUAUAAUUUUUCGAUCCAAACUGCAGCAAUAUUAGCAAGCUCCACCUUUGAUGUCGGACAUCAAUAAUCUGAACAGUAACUUUAUCAUAUUAUAAAAAAUAAAAGAAACCAUACGAGCUCGAUUUUUUUUUUUUAAAAGAUAGAGGAUUAAAAUAAAUGGUUCUAUUAUCUAAUUUUAAAAAGGCAAAACGAAAAAAAAAUAGUGUGCAAUCACCCUAAAUUGACGGUUAAUAAAUUGAGAUUUUUCAUUGUUACUAUUUGAAUAGUCAAAAGAUACUUCCAUUGACCGUGCUUUUUAAAUAUUUUAAAUUAUUAAUUUUUGCGAUUUAUAUUACUUUUAAGUUAGUUUUUAAAUAUGUUAAUUUAUUUUUAAAAAUUAAAAUUUUCAUAUUUCAAAUCACACCGAAUAUUAAUUGGUUUGAUAGUUGAUUAUACUCCAAAAUAAGAUCAAUAAAUUGAAACGACAUAGUUAUAUUGCAUUAGCGAUCUUUAAUAUGGACUUGGAUUGCGUUGUUUCGUGAAAUGUUGCGGCAAUUGCGUAGAGCAUUUUGUGCAUUUGAGUCUUUUAGAGCAAUGCUUCACCUAAGAGUGGACGAAACGACUAUUUACUGUUCGUUUGGAUGUUUGUUAUAGUGUGUUUCGUAACGUCAUUGUUUUACGUUAUCCUGAUACAUCUAUAGAUACACCCAAAAUAUGUCUAAACUAUUUCAAGAUUUAUGCAUUUUAUUUUUAAUGUGUGUUGUCUGCACUUUUUGAAGAUUGUAGUCAUUUCUAUUGUUAUCUAAUUUGGUAUGAGUGCUAAUUCAGUGGUGGAACAAGAAUUUUUACUAAAAACAGUCAAAAUAUAAAGAGGUAAAUUCAGAAAGAAGAUAAGGAGUGUUAAAAUAUAUAAUAUGCAUAAAAAUGAAUAUUUGACGUAGAUAUGAAGGGUAACUUUUGGAAUUUGGAUGAAUCGACACAUCUUGACUACAUGUUGCUCCGUCAAUGUGCCGGAUAUGUUUGGACUUUAGCAGCGCAACAUUGAUCACUACCAUAUAAUAUAGUCUACCUUAUAGUCAUUUUAUAUAACUAAAAUGAUAAAUCUCACAUUGGUAAGUAACCUUCUGUCAUGUAUCCUUAUAUCACAACACCUCGGUAACACUUUUGAAUUUUAACCAUUCGAUUUUAGUUUUAAGUAACAUCUUUGUCUAUCGUUUCAUUCUCUUAAAAUAACGAGCCUGAAUAUCAAUUAUUUACAUUUUGGCACUGGAAUCUCAUUUAAUCUCACAUCAACUAGAGUGUAGGAACUAAGUGCUCUCUAAAGCUUCAUUCUUUGAACAACAUAUAAUAGAGUGGCAACUAAGUGAUUUCUAAAGCUUCAUUGUUUUAAACUUAGAUCUGACACAACAUCCAAAUAAAAGUACCAAAAGAUUCUCAAAACACAAAAGCAUAAGAAAGCAAGUACGUAAUGUCACAAAACAUUGAAAAACCUAACUUAUACAAAUUAAACCUAACUUAGAUAACCAAUUCAAACUUGUUCUUCGUGAGUUAUCGGGCUCCUGUUUCAGAACAUCUUUAAUUUAAUCCCAGAAGAUCCAUUCUAUCCACAAAAUUGCAUGAUAAUGUAACCACUAACAAAAGGAAACUAUAAGAACUCACCCUCCUUUUUUCCUAGUAGCAAGACAAUAGUAGAUUACAAGAUCAUUGUUAACUUUUAGGGAAGUUGGGACAGAAGAAGAAAAAGAUUCCCAUCAAGCAGUCAGCCAAAUGAUUCUAAUGUCCUUCCUGUUAUGCUUACUCCUCCAUUGCAUCUGUGGAAGAUUCUGUAGCUUGCUUAUCGGAUUAAUUUCCUGUCGUUCUUUCCUGUAACACGUGCAUUUGUAAUCAACACAACAACACGCAGUAUAUUCCCACAAAUUACAUUUGUAAUCAAUAAACAAAAUCAACAAAGAAUUCAUAAUCCAUCCAGGAUGAGAACGAAAAAUAGCAACUCUAUAAUCUAUAGUAAUGAGAAUUUCGUUCAUGGUCAUUCAGCUUUGUGUCCAGUACAUAAAAGUCACUCUUUCUUUCGUUACACAAAAGUUAUUCUACUUUCCUCCGAUCAUUGUUGGAGUUACUUUAACUAGAGUUUUUAGUAAUCUCACCUGAAAAUGCCGUGGCAUCUUAAUUAAUGCAUUUGCUUAAUUAAAUAAGGAAAAAUUACAUAAGUCAACACCUUAACUUUUCUAUAUUACUUUAAAUACCCUCCAACUAAAUAUAUUACAAAAAUCCCUUCUAAGACACAACACACGCGCUUUUGCUUAUACAUUCCAACCGACAGCUCAACAUAAUACCCAAAUACUAUUCUGUAGCCUAAAAUCAUGGAUUGCUGGCGAAGAUUAUGCCAAAAUUCAAUCUUGAAGCAACAACCGUUAUCUUCCAUUACAAUUACUCCAUUAACUUAAUUAUUCAAAAUUAAUUGGAGGUUAGUUUGUUUCUAGUUUAUAAUUUUGUUUAUUAGUUUUGAAAUUGAACAAAUCCCUUUUCAAUUUUAUGUUCUUUAAACAUUAUAACAUUAUUAAUGGAGUCAGGACCCUCUUUUAGUUUGGGGCUUACUCAAUUUCAGUCAACUUCUAAUGAAACUGAUAUAUCUGGGUUUGUUCCUGGUAACUUCAAUUUUAAAGACGUUGGUUUUCAUGAAAAUAGAUCUAAGUAUCGGAACGAUUUGACAAUCAUGAAGAAGUUAUGAGAUGCUGCUAGUGCUAAAGGGAAGAAGACUGUUGUUGCUAUUUCAAAGAAAAAAAGAAAGGAAGUUGUGAAAAGACCCUUUACCAAAGGUAUGGUAUUUAUGUGUUUGACUGGCGAAUCUCCCCAUAACAAAGUUAUUGUUAUUAACAAAUGUUAGUGUUAAUAAUUAGUAUGAUACAUAACAAGGAAGAUAAUGUUUGUGCAUGCGUUAUGAUACAUCACAAAUUUUCUUAUUAUGAUACACAAGUAAGAAUUUUAUCAAUAUGCCUGAUACAUAUAUUAUAGUUAUGUAUCAUAAUCUAAGAUGUAACAACUAUUAAAGCUAAUUGUUAAUAUGAUACAUUACUUAUGUAUAUAACUAUAAGUGAAUGCGUUAUGAUACAUCACUAUUUAACACUAAGUAAGAAAUUUACGAGGAUGUCUAAUACAACCUGAUACAUAAGUAAGAAUUUUAUCAGGAUGUUUGCUACAUAUGUUAUAGUUCUGUAUUAUAAUACAAUAUGUAACAAAUGUUAAAGGUAAUUGUUAAUCUGAUACAUUACUUAUGUACAUAAGGUCAUAAAAUGUGUUAUGAUACAUCAGUGUUUUUUAAUGCAGGGGAUGAAAUACGUGAUCAAAACUGUUCCACAUCAUCCUUUGAGGUUUGACAUUUCAUGCAACCGUAAUUUUGCGACUGAUGUUGAAUACUUUGUGGGUAAAAAGUACUAAAUAUGUUUAAGGAGACAUGCUUUGGUAUGUCUGUUGAUAUGCCUAAAUCAAAUUUUCAAGGUCAAAUAACCAAAAAUUUGUUGAUGUUUGAGUGUAAACAAGAUAACCCAAAUGAAUUUCAUGUUUAUGUCAAGAAAGCAGUUUUGAAAUUUACGAUAUUUGAAUUCGCUCUCAUUAGUGGUUUGAAUUGCACCUCAAACAUUGAGGACUUUCAGUAUCCGAUUUCAGAUGGCUCUGUUUUAAUGACAAAGUAUUUCUCAGUAGCAAAAAAUGGAAUAUUCAAAAAAAAAAUUGUUGAACGGUAUAAGAUGAGAAAUUUUGACAAUGAUCAGGAUGCAUUGCAGAUGACCAUAUUAUUUUUCAUUCAUACGUUUUUGUUAUCUGAAACUGAUGAUGCAACUGUUAGUUUUAUAGAAUUCAAUGUGGCAGAGGAUGGUCGAUAUGAACAAUAUCCAUGGGGAAAGAUUGCUUUCAACAAGUUGAUGAACUCGUUGAGACAGGACUUUUUCGUUGAAAAGUAGCUUUAUCAGUUAGGAGGAAUGCCACAUGUUCUCAACGUCUGGAUGUACGAAUGUUGUUCUGAAGUAGAUAAAGACAUUGCUUGUUGCAUUGGUAAUCGUAUCCCGAGGAUAUGUAACUGAUUUUUUGUUGGAACAAAACCUAAAUUCGAGAAGUUCAUGAAUGGAAUGUUUAGCAAGGUAAUUUAUAUUUAUUUUCAAUCUUUUUUUGUAUUUUAUAUUGCACACAUGAAUAUUUUUUUUUAUGUUUUCAAUAUAUAUUUUCUUGUCAAUAUAUGAUAAAGCAUGUAACUUGUUCAUACUGUAGUAUAUUUGACGAUCAGACAUCUUCCAUAUCAAUUCCUACAACAAAAUAAUUUUUUUUUACUAUUACAUUAUAUAUUACAGUACUCAUAUGAUACAUUCUGAUACAUAACUGUACAGUUUGUGGUAUAUCACUACAUGUUAUGUAGAAUAUUGAUACAUUAUUUUCCUUACAUUCAUUUAACUAAAUUUGUUAUUUUUUUCAAUCCCAAUUAUAGUAUGUGUAUACCAACAUAAGUCCUACAGUUGAUGAUCUGAAAUGUCUUCAACUGCCAAAUCAUGAUGGAAUGGAUUUGAAAGAUUCUGUCAAUUCAACUUUGCCAUCCACAUCUUGUAGACACCCGAUAAAAGUUGAUCAGAAAGCUAAAAUGAAAAUUGAUUCAUUACCUUUGGAUGAUUUUGAUAAUUUUACUACCCCACCACCGCUCGAAUUAUUAACUAAGUCAAAGGCCAGGUCAGAUAGAUCAUUGACACCGCCUUCAAAAACAAGAAAGACAGACGCUGAGUGAAAAGAAUCGGUGAUAGGUCAAGAAAAGAUUAAAGCUCACCCCUCUAUUAAAGAAGUCAAUAAAUCACCUUCUGGCAUAUCAAACUCAAUUGCUGACCCAAUCAAUGAAGAAGCUCCACAUGAACCAUCUCUAAUGGACUUCGGUGAAUAGACACCACCAGCAGAACAAACCCCACUAGUUGUCGAAAGUGUGCGUGAGUCCACACAGAAAAUUAAUGUGUCUAGAGGAACAUAUCGUGAGCAAGUUUUGAUGAAAGUUGAUAUGAAUGCAAUUGAAUCAUUAGUCAAGACAUAUGUAAGUGCAACAUGAAUUUUUAUUUUUAAAAUUGAAUAUCUUAAAAUAUCUAAUUUACUUUGUUAAACUUAUGCAGGUUGACAAAAGAUUUGAUGACAUUGAAGCAUUAAUGAAAAACAUCAUGAAGAAAUGAAAAAACAACAUGAAGAAAUAAUGUUAUCUGUGAAGGAGAAGCAUGAUGCUCCACAAAACUAACUUUUAAUAUGAUCACAUCAAAUUUUAUAAAAUUUUAUAUAUUUUUAUCUUUUUAAAAAUUAUAUGUUUUUUUGGUUGUUAUUGAAAUCGAUAGUUCAAAUAAAUAUUUGGAAAAGAAUGAGAUACAUGGUGAUGAUUUGAAAACUCCAAAAGAACAUCAAAAGGAUGCACCAGAAAAGGAAAAGUAGUAAGAAUAUUAAAAAAAAGUAUCGUAUAUUAUUUCUAUAAUGUAAUGAAUUUUUGUGGUUCAGAAUGAUGAUGGAAAUGCUGUAUCUACAGGAGAUCACAAGAGGGAUGAAAAAUCAUCAACUAAGUCUUCUAAGAAAUUCAAUUUUGAUGAUCCAGCUAUCCGAGAAAGACUAUUGAAGUUCAAAUUGUAUAGAAGGUACUGAUAAAAAACUAUUAUAUCGAGUGUAUGUUAUUAAUGUGAAAAAUUAUAUGUUACUUAGAUAUUGCAUUAUAUGUUGUACAACUGACACAUUCAAUGUAAAAAGAUUGAUAUAUUUGUCAAUUCUUUCUCAACAAUAUUGUUAUUUCAACCUAUAUAAGUCUUACAUGUUCUUUAAUAUCUAAUUAAUUUCAUGUUUCAGGAAGGUGAAACUGAGGUUAAGAAUGAUGCGUUUCAGCAUUCCAUCGAUAACUCCAUAAAUGACAUUUCCUCACCAGUUAGUGCAAUACAAUCUGAGGAGCUUUUACAGAAAAAAAAUCUCCCUGAUCUCAUUUUUCCAACAGACAAUAUUGAAGUUCGAAAUGAACUGCAAGUAAAUAUAAAAUACAAUUGUGGAUUAUUUCAUAUGGGAUCUCUUUCAUCCAAUCAAUAUUAGUAUAAUGCUAUAACAUUUGGUAGCUGUAUCUAACAAUUUACAUUUUCCAGGUGUCCAGCACUGAGAUAUCUUCUAAUGCAUUUCAAAAAUCGAUAGAUAAUGUAAUAGCUGGCAUGUACACACCAGUCGUUACAAUGACAAUAAAUUCAGACGAUCUUUCACAAAAAGUCAAUCUUCCUAAUCCGUCCUUAAAAACUGACAAUGUUGAAGUUCCAAAUGAACCGCAAGUAUGGAUAACACAUGAGGUUUGGAAUAUAUAUGUUAUUAAUUAGGAAUAUCUUUGUUUAAAAGAAGGUUAAGCAUGUUAUAUAAUUUACCUCAUACAUUAAAUACACUAAAUUAAUGUUUUAUGAAAUGUAUCAGACCAUUAUUACAUAUUAUGAUACAUAACUGUUUCACUAAAUUAUAUGGGUUAUUUCUUAUAAAUACGGCCACAUAGAUAUAAUGUUAACGAUGUAUUACACUAUAGAUGUCAUAUGGAUUCUUAUACACACUUAAUUUAUAUCUAAUAAUUUAUCUUUUUCAGGAGUCUACCAAUGAUACUUCAACUGAUGCGUUUCAGGAAUCAAUAGAUAAUAUUAUAGCUGAAAUUUCCACACCAGUCGUUGCCAUGAAAAUGAAGUUUAUUAGUCCCACUGAAAUCAACGACAAUGAAUGUCAAAUCCAUGAUAGUUGAUUUCCAUCAGUUAUUCCUGAAGCAAACUUGGAUAAACAGGAUGCCAUUAAAAUACGUGCACCAAGAAAUAGGAAGCGAAGUAAAAUAUUCAGCUCACCAUUUACAACUGAAUUUGGUUCAAGUUGUGAAGGCAAAGAAUAUGCAACAGUUGAUUUUCCUCGAAAGCAUCCGUUUGAUGAUUACUUUAUUUCUCAUGAUAUACCGAACGGACUAAUCGAAGAGUACUGUGAUUGAAUUGUCGAAGGAUUAUUAAAGUGUCAUGAAAAGAAGUAAGAUAUUUUUACUUUUUUCAUUAUUAUUUUAUAAUUUUAAAAUCACAAAGAGUAUUAUCAUUUCAUUAUACUCAUGUAGGAAAUUGAAGGACAACCACUACAGAGCUAAUAAAUCAGGAAUUGAUUUUAGUUUAUUGAAUUUUGUUGUUGCACAACCAGACUCAAAGAACUAGUUUUACACAAUGUCUUAGCCUAACACCUGCUGGAAUGAUGAGGUAUUACAAAAAAUAUUACUUACAUGUACAAUAAACAGCUUCUGAUACAUAUAUAUAUAUAUAUAUAUAUAUGGGGAUAUCAAUAAAUUAUUUAUUUUAUUAUUUUAAGCAGCAUGUAAAUGUUAUAUCUACUAUCUUCGAAAGAAAUCAAAGCAACAAAAGGAUCAAGAAUAUUGAUACACUACGGUUAAUUGCCUGUUCAAAACAUACAUCGAUGCGACAUACAAAUGUUACUUUGAGGAUGCAGUGGGUGAUUCUCUCUCAACUCAAGAUGAUUAUAAAAGAUCGUGUUUUGUUGCAAACAAUGAAGAAUCACUGAUAAACAUCAUCAAAGGGUUCAACAUACCUACUACUUUGCCUUGGCACUUGGUCAAUGAUGUAUACUUUUCUGUAAAUUGUGAUGAAAAAUUUCACUGGAUGCGGGCUGUGAUAUCUGUAAAGAAAAGAUGUAUCUGCAUGUAUGACUCAAUGUUGUCAUCGCAUUAUAGAGAGCCAUCACAUGAGAUCAAAAAGUUGUCUGUGAUGCUGCCAACAUACCUUAAUGAUAGUGGAUUACUAGAAAAUACUGAACAAACUGUAUGGUCAAGUCUCGAAACUUACACAGAUAAGAUAGUCAAGUGGCUGGUGCUUUGAAUAAAAAUUUAUUUGAUGUUGAAUACAUUGAAAAUAUUCCGCAAUAAGACAGUGAAAGUUUGUAAGUAUAUCCUCACAGUUUUAUAUAUCUAUAAAUAAUUCAUCUCAUUUUUUAUUGUUGAAAAUUUUCUAAAUUUACAUAAUUUAAGCUGACACAUUAUUAUACAUUUAUUGUCCAUGUACAUAUGUUUUGAUACAACAAAAAUUUUCACAUUAUUAAGCAUCUAACUAAAUGAUUUGUCAUGCUUAGGGACUGUGGAGUUUUUGUGGCAGCUUAUGCAGAAUUUCUUAGCUAUUAAAUGCAGAUUCCUUCACCAAAUCUUGAUGCAGAAUAUCUUUAAAAGAGAUAUGCAAUACUCUUAUGAAACUAUGGAGUUAAAAAGACUAAGAAGAUUUAUUCUAGUGACCAUGACGAUUCACCAAGAUCACGACCAUUUGAUGUCCCUCCGACUGAUGAGUCUAAUAUUGUAGCCAUAGAGUAGAUGCUAGGUUGUUCCAUAGCUCUGUUCUUAACAUUGUUUUUGUUGCUAUCUUAUUGGCCUCUAUUAAUGUAAUUUUAGACAUUAAUUUUAAUAGUGAUGUUUUUGUGGAGAAAUUUUCAUCAAUUUUUUGAACAAUUAAAAUUUGUUUAUGAUAUGUUAAAUUUUCAUCAACACAUGAAAAUCGAUGAAUUAUACAUGUGAAAAUUGUUGACAAGGUUUGCAAUAAGUUAGUUACUGAAAAGAUAUGUAUCAGACAUACUUUUUUCAAAAAUGCAUGCAAUUUAUCAUAUUACUUCAAAGUGUCUCAGAUCAAAUUUGAAACAUAUUUAAAGUAAAGUAAUAGGUAUAACAAAUAUAACUAAAAAAAUUUCACAUUCAGCUAUGAUACAUCACAUAUUCAUGCAUCAUAUAUUCUGAAGUUACAGUACAAAUAUCAAUAAGUCAGUUAUUAUAAAAUUUUCUAUUAUAAAUAGUCUUUACAAUUACUUCUUGAAAUGUAUCAUAUUACAAGCUACAUUGUAUCAUGAAUCCUAAACUUACAUUAAUUAUUUGUGUAAAUUUUUCAGUUUUUAGUGCAGUUACAUACAAGUGUUGUUUCCUAAAACUAAUUAUACUGAAAAUAACCCCAAUAAAAUGAAUAGCCUUUCAUGAUAGAGUUGCUUUCUAAUUUGAAGAACAAUCUAAAAAGUUGUUGUAAUGUAAUAGAUUACUUAAGAAACAAUAUUAAAUAAUAAAUGAAAUUAAAAUGAUAAGACAAAAAUAAUCCACUAAAACAAACAAUAAUUCAAAUUAAACAUUGUUCCAACAUUAUUCAAACAUAGCCAAAUGAAAACCAAACUAACAGUGAACAACUUAACAUAGAUCGUUCAAUGUAUCAGGUAACCAAAACAUCAAUUAUCCUUUGGAAAGAAGUUGCAAGUACGUCUAUUUUGACCUUCUUGACCACAUUUUUCACAACAGUUUGUACUGGAGGAUAGUUUUUCACUUGCUUUCUUACACCUACCCUUUUUCGGCCUCUCAGAUGAUCUUUUGUAUUUGGAUGAUAUGACUUCUUCUUCUUCGACACAUCUAGGCACAUGUCAAUCCUUUUUAUCGGGCAUAGGUACUACUGGAACAUCAUAUGUCUUCACUAAUAUCACAAGCUUAUAGUAAUCAGAGCACAACGAACGAAACUUCACAAUGCGUUUACUUCUCAACACUGCAAUCACGUGCAGACAUGAAAUUUCAUCAAUCUGAAAUCUACAGCAGUUGCAUUUGUUAGCAUCCAAGUCCACAACGUAUAUUUUUCGAGAUUCAUAAACUAAAUAAUGAUACUCUGAUGCAGGCUUGACCUAACAAACAAAAAAUCACACACAAAAAAUAUAACGUACAAUAAAUUUUUAUUCAAUAAAUAAAACUUAAAAUGAGUAAUUAUUUACAAAUACCGUCAUUCUAGAUGCUUUAACUCCAUUAAGUGUUAGGAUUUUGUCAAACUUUCUACCUAAAGUUGUUUUUGUAUAUGAAGUAAUUUCUCUAUUUUUACAAUUUCAUGCUCCAAAUAAUUUUCUGACUUCUUUCAAAAAAUCUAAAAUCGACAAUUUAUGCGGCUCCACUAAACAAUCAUUUAUACAUUCUGCAAUGUUAGAUGUCAUCAUCCGGCCUUUAUUUAUAGGAGCAUGAACCCUUGACCACUACUCAUCUCCUAUAUCAUAUAGAUAAUCAUUUAUCCGGUGAUCAAUUUUAUCAACCUUUGCCAUAAGGUAUUCAAAAUCUUCCUUUCUGUAUGCUUUGGACAUCGAAUAAAACAGGUCGUUAAGUCUAUCCUUUCUCCUUCUAAAAUUUAAACAAACGUUCUUCCAAAGAUGCCAAAUGCAUGCUAAGUGAGGAACAUUUAGAUAGACAAUGAUUGACACUUUUAAUUAUUGUUUCAUUACGAUCUGAUUCAACACACAUGUUCUCAUGCUCCCCCAAAAGCAUUCUUAAAUUUCUCAAAAAAUCAUGUUCAUGCGGAAUUAUUUUUUGAGUCAACAACACCAUAAGCAAUUGAUAAUAUGCAACCUAAAAAAAUUCAUGAAGCAUGAUUUUUAACAAAAUGGUGUUAUAAAAAUGUGUAUACAAUCUAUAAAGAAUACGUUCAAUUUUCAGAUGUACAGUUAUGUAUCAUAAACUAUACAAUGAUGUAUCAUAAACUAUACAUUUAUGUAUCAUACUAUAUUAUAUAUGUUCUACACAGUAUCAUAACAGCAAUUAAAGAUUAUGAUUAGUCAUACCUGUACCAUCAAGAAUGCUAGUAGAAAGAAAAGUCCCUUGAGAUGGUCCACUCAAAUGAAUACCGUCUACCACAACAACUGAUCUGCAAUGCUUGAAACCAUGGAUCAUUGACUGUAAAGCUAUAAAUAAAUAUUUGAAUUCAUUAUCUACAGCCUUAUGCAUCCUGAUGUGUGAUCCCGGAUACACAGAGUUUAGCAUGUAGAUGUAUCUCGGCAUUUGUCUAUAUCCGUCAGCAGUUCCACCCCUAAGCAUUUCUAUAGUACGCUCCUUGGCACGGCAAGAUUUCAUGUAAUUGAUGUCAACACACCAUUCACAACUUUCAUUUCUUCAAUAAUGUCUACUAGAGUGUGUUUUCUCUUAUAGUUUACUAACUUUGGCUUUUUAAAAUUACUAACAAAGUUAGCUGUAGCCUGCAACUGUUUUAACACCCUAUCACUCAUAGAGCACGUAUGUUCAUCAUUGAAUUUCAGAAUUUAAAAAGAUCUGAAUCCAACAAGCAAGAUGCUUUCAUGUAUUAACCGCAAUUUUUAUUACGACAUUUCUAAUAAUAACUGCAUAUAUAAAUAAAUAAUCACAAUUUUUUUUUAAAAUAACUAUUUCAAAAAAAAUUUCUGUAUUACAUACUCUAAAUAGUUGUGCUACUUUAAACAAUUCUUAUAACACCAUUUUGACAUAUCUACGACAAAAACUACUUCACGUUCAUAUAUGAUAUUGUUUAUGAAUAACACGAUCAAAACAUAUUUUAAAAUGUAUCAUACAAAGAAUAUAAACACCAAACUCACACACACAAAACCAACAACAACAUAAUUUAUAAUAUAUUUUUUUAUCAGAUCCUGAUGCUCAAAAAUUAAAACUGUGAUCUAACACAUACUUUUCCAUUACAGCUUUAAGAGUUUUCUUAUCCUUAUACAACUGUUUCACCUUAACUUCAGUGUUAUGGUAAUUGGUGAUGAAUUUUCUUAUUUUAAUUUCUGAUUACAAAGAGUACUGAUUAUUCGAUUCAACAACGGCAAGUGCAGUUGCAUCUGAUUCUGUUCCUUCGACGCACAUUAUCGCACCAGUUUCAGCAUCAAAUUCUCUAUCUUCUAUCGAUUUAUCGCUUACUGUAAUGCAUAACGGAUACAUUACAAAAUCUAUAAAAAAAAAUAAAUUAAAUCAACGUAAACCUUAACACCAUUGUCAUUUCUAAUAAUCAUUGGAGCUGUAUUUUCGUCCACAAUAUAAUGAAUAUCUAUAUUUUUCUUUGCUUUAUCUAUCUCAAGUUCCGUUGCAAUAACAGAAAACAAACUUUUGUAAUUUUCAUAACUAAUUUCGUUUUGUCGGAUACCAGAAUGUCUCAGCAAAAUUGAAAUAUUCAUGACGAAAAAUUGUAUGAAAGAUUUGACAAAAACUUAUUUUUUGGAAGAAAUGGGCUGAAACACAAAUGAAAACGGCAUUCAAAAUUCAAAAAUAAAAUAUUCUGUUACGUGAUUUAAGUAUUACAAAACGGCAACUCCUAUUUUUUAGGGAUUUGAUUAAUCAACCCUAUUCUUAAUUACCGCUUAUUAAAUAAUUAACCGCAUUUAAUAUGCUACUUAUGUAUCAUAACACAAUGUAUCAUACAAUCAAGUAAUGUAUCAUAUAUGGGAUUUUCAGUAAUUUUUAAAAAUGUUUGGAGUGAAGGUAAUUAUAUAUGAAAUACUUGAAUUUUACGUUGUUUAUACAUUAAAUAAAGCUAAUAUACUAAGGAUUAUAUGUCCGGCCCACAUUCACCGGUAAAACCUGACUCAAUAUUGAAUUUUAAAAAGAGAUAAUCUCAUUUAUAUACAAAAAAAUAAAAGGUUUACAAUAAAAAUCUAACCCACUCAUUCGCUUGAAUAAAAUCAUUACGAAAUAUUAUGGGUGUUCAUGGUUUUGAUAAAAAUUGUUCCAAAUAGAAAAAUCAAAUCAAACCGAUUAAAUAAACUAAUUUUAUUUGAUUUGGUUUGCUUUGGCUUAUAUUUUAAAAAAACGGAUAAUAUUUGAUUUGAUAUGAUUUUGAUUUUCAUUGAAAAUUAUUUAUAAUUUAAAUAUCUUGUAUUAGAUAUAUGUCAUGAUAUGCCACUGUUUUAUGUAAUAAUGUCAAGAUUUUUUUUCUUUUUAAUGAAUUGUUGUCUUUCUUUUUUCCUUCUGAACAAAUUGUUGUCUUUUUUCCUUUUGACUGAAUAGUUUCUUUUUUAAUAACAGAACAAUCGAACUAAAUUGAACCAAAAUCGAUAAAUCUAUAUUAUAUUUGGUUUGGUUUGAUUUUAAUAAUUUAAAAAUCAAUUAUAUUGGUUUGAUUUUGAUUUUAACCAAUUAACGGUUUAAACCGACCUGCAACAACAACAUACCCAGUGUAUCACCACAAAGUGGGAUCUUGGGAGGGAAAGUGUACGCAAUUCAUACCACUACCUCAAACAAAGUAGACAAGUUAUUUUCGAUAGACCCCCGACAGUUUAAACUGACCAGUGAACAUCCAUAAUUAGUAAAAAAAAAAUUUAUUUCAGUUACUGUUGCUAUCUAGUUGUAUUUUCUCCUUAUUUUUAUAGAUUUUAGUUUCAUAAAAUAUCAAUAAAAUUUUUGUAUAAAACAAUCUCAUGACCUAAUAUUAUUAAAAAAAGAGUGUAGGUAUUCUCUCAUUAUAUAAUCCAUUGAGGGAAGCGGAUUGGACACAUACAAAAUGGUCAAGAUAUGACUAAUAUUUUGUUCAUAUUUUCAUAAUCCCAAAUCAAGAACUAAUUAAGGUUGUCACAUUAUUUUUGAGAUGAGAUUAUCAUAAAAUUCGGUCAAAGUAAUUUAUGAUGAUAGGAGUAAAGUAAAGCAACUUUAGCGUAAUGAAAAAAACAAAAAAUAACAUUUGUGUAAUAAACUCAAAGCUAAUAGACCGUGGAUAUCUAUAGUAACUUGCCUUUUUUCUUUCGUUGCUUUAGUUUAAGUUUUGAGCUCUUCUUCAUAAAAUUUUUUACAGGAGUUUUAUUGGUGUCUUGAAUUUUCCCUGAAACCUCUAUAACAAUGUCAAUAAGUUUGACAUAGAACAUACCUCCUUUUCCGCUACUACACACAAGAAAAUAGAGAGGAGGAACAAACAGAGAGUAAAGCAGAUACAACACUACCAAGAACAUCAAAACUUUUUAGCAUAUCAUUCAACAUAUUCAUAAUAAAAGAGGGGACCUAGCCUUAUAUUUAUAGGCUUAAAAGUCUUAACCUAGUGAACUCCCCAUUACGGGCUCACAGGUCUGCUACAGGCCUAUACUAUUGUCUGACACUGUUGAACUAUAGUGGUACUUGCAUCAACCAAUGACACAAUACUAGUCCAAAAUUACUAACAUUGAAAUUUUGUAGACUUAAACCAAAUGGUGUGGUAGUGUAGCAAGAAAUAGUCAACAUGAACUCCAAAUCGAGGUUAUUUCAUUGUUAGUCCUUCAAAUAUUUUUUAUAUCAAUAUGUACGCUUAAAAUCAACAUGCAUAUCAUAGAAAAAUUGUCACCGCGAUUUUUUGUUACAACAUGUGUGAGCACUAAAACAACAUAUGCUCCACUAGAAAAUCUUGAUUUUCAAGGUUCAACAUGCGCAGUAUAUUACACAGUGCAACAACUAGAAAAAUCCGCAAGGUAGAAUGAUAUACCAUAUAUGUCUCCAAAAAGAUCCAACAAAACAACAAUAUGAUCUUAUCAAUAUGAGACAUAACGAACACAUAAGGCAAAAAGCCUUAAUAUAAUAAAAUAAUAUUAAAGUGUGCACAAUAACAAUCAACAAUAUAAGUGAUAGCAAAAUCUACCAUAGCAUAAAUAUCUUAAUAAAAUAGAUAAUAUCACCCUAAGCCCCAAACAAUAGGUUAAAUUGUCUAAUGACAAAUAAAAAAUAAUAUUAAAUACUCCCACUAACCUAGUAAAUCAAAUGACUUAACAACACCAUAUUUUGAACAAAUUGCAUAAAAACUAUGGGUCUUAGCCCCUUCGUUAGUGGAUCAGGAAACAUCAAAUCAGUAGGUAUAUGUUCUAUCACAAUAUCCUCCUCCUUAACCAUGUCUCUCAUAUACAGAUAUUUUGUUUCCAUAUGCUUAGAAUAUGAAGAAGAUUUAUUAUUUUUUGAGUAGAACACAGUGUCCUUGUUGUCACAAUAAAUCUUCAAGGUCCUAGAGAUGAAAUCAACUACCACAAGCCCAGAAAUAAAAUUCUUAAGCCAAAUAGCUUGCGUGGAUAUACCACAACAAGCUACAAAUUCUACUUGCAUAGUGAAAGAUGUUGUAAGAGUCUGUUUCACACUCUUUCAAGAUAUCGCACCCCCAGAAAAUAUGAAGAUGAAGCCAGAAGUAGACCUCAAAUCAUCAGGACACCCAGCAAAGUCUGAGUUUGUGCAACUAAUUACCUCAAGGUCGUCAACCCUUUUGUACGCUAACAUAAAAUCUCUUAUCUUCUUCAAGUACCUCAUUACUUUCUUAGAUUAGUUUGAUAACGUUCAAGAGCAUUGACAAUGAAAGAAAUGUCAAGACGAGUGCAAACUUGUGCAUACAUAAGGCUUCUAACAACACUUGAAUAAGGCAAAUCUUUCAUAAAAUCUUUCUGCAGAUCAUUUUUGUGAUAUAAGUCUACGAUUAACUUUCACUUUUCACCACAAAAACAUCUCUGGGCUUAUAAGUUUUUAUCUGAAAUAGUUUCAAAAUACAAUCAAUAUAGGCCUUUUGUGAAAGCCUCAAUAACGUACGAGAUCUAUUUCUUCAAAUCUCAAUGUCCAAAAUAAAUGAUGUCUCUCCUAGAUCUUUCAUAUCAAACACUUUGUUCAAUGAAUGCUUAGUUUCAUGAAAUAGUUCCAAAUUAUUAGUAGCAAGUAAAAUAUCAUCAACAUAAAAGUUAUCGACAAGUGAUAAUUAUUGUACUCCCACUGAUCUUAAGAUAGAUGUAAUGAUCAAUUUUUUUCUCUACAAAACCCAUAAAAGUGAUAAUUUCCUCAAACAUCAAGUACCGCUAUCGAGAAGCUUGCUUCAAGCGAUAGAUAGAUUUCUUCAACUUACACACAAGAUAUUCAUUGCCUUUGCCAACAAAAUCUUGAUUUUUUUUUGCAUGUGAACCUCUUCAUUAAGACCACCAUUCAAAAAAGAUUGUCUUUAGAUCCAUCAGAUAUAGCUCAAGAUCAAAAUGGGCUACCAAUGCGAUAAUGAUUCUAAAAGAAUCCUUAGAUGACAUUGGUGAAAAGGUUUCAUUGUUAUCAACUCCUUCUCACUGUGUGAAUCCUUUGGCAACCAACCUCCCCUUAAAUCGUUCAACAUUUCUAUUUGAAUCUUUAUUGGUAUUAAAAACCCAUUUGCAACCAACAACCUUCUGGCCUUUAUGAAGCUCUGAAAGCUCCCACACAUUAUUAUUACUCAUGGAUUUUAUCUCUUCAGAUAAGACAUCAAGCCACAUCUUUGAUUCAGCAUAUGAUGAAACUUCAGAAAAGGUCACAGGAUCCAUAAUGUCACCUUCGGCUAGGUAUAUUAAAUAGUCAUCUGAUAGCGGUGAUUGUUUUAGUCUACUUGAUUUCCUCAAAUUCUAAACCUCUUCAUCAACAACAGCAGGUGCCUGAACCAAACCGCUUCUUCAAUAAUAGGCACCUGAAUUUCUACAGAUACAGGGUCAUAAACUUGCACAUGUAUAUGAUCAUGAGGUUCAUCACGUAUAGGCACAAACACAAAUGAUUCUGAGGUAAUAGUAAGAGGAAUUCUGACAACUUCAACACUUUUAGUUGGCUCACGAGCAACAUUUUGAGAAAAAUCCUUAUCUACAACAUUAAAUUCAAGAAAUUUUGCUUUUUGAGAUUCAACUAUAAUUGUUCCCUUGUAGGACAGUAGAAACUAUAUCCUUUAGAAUGAGAUGGAUAACCAAUGAGAAAACAACGUAAGGUUUUAGGUUUAGCUUUCUUUUUUGAAGGGUUAUGUAUCUUUACCUCAGCAGGACAUCUCCAAACUCAAAAGUGAUUUAAACUGGGUUUCCUAUUGGUUCACAACUCAAAGGUGGUUUUAGGAAUUGACUUAGAAGGGGCACGAUUAAAAAUGUACAUGAAUGUUUUAACAACUUCACUACAGAAGAACUCAGGUAAGUUGGAUCUACUCAUAAUACUUCUCAUCAUGUCUUUUAAAGUAUGAUUUUUCCUUUUGGCUUCGCCAUUUUAGUUAGGACUAUCGGACACAGUGUACUGGGAAACUAUGCCACAAUCCUAUAGAUAUUUGGCAAAUGGUCCCAUCUGUUACCCAGUCUCAAUGUAUCUAUCAUAAUACUCACUCCUCCGAUCAGACCUCACUAUCUUAAUGACCUUUUCCAGCCGUUUUUCUACUUCAGUUUUAAACACUUUGAAUAUUUCAAGAGAUCUGAUUUUUCUUUAGUAAGAAAAAUAUAAUCAUACCGAGAAAAGUCAUCAAUGAAAAUGAUAAAAUAACUUGAACUACAUAUUGUAGUAGAAUAUGGAUCACUUAUGUCUGUGUAAAUGAUUUCCAAUAAAUUAGAACUAUGAGUAGCACCCUUUUUUGUUUUAAUCAACUUUGCUCUAAUGAAAUCAAUACAUGUUCCUAUGUCUCCAAAAUCAAGAGAAGUAAGAUACUAGACUUAAUCAGUCUUUCGACUCUAUCUUUAGAGGUAUGACCCAAAGUCUUAUGCCAUAACAUGCCCGUAUUUUCAUUUAAAAUUGAUCGUUUAGACCCAAUAAUUUCAGAAUUAAAAGAGUUGUAUUCAAAAUCAGAAGUUAAGGAAAUUUUAGACAAACCAUCAGAAGGAUUCCAUGACCAACAACUCGAGAGUUCAAAAGCAAAUUAAUUUUUUCAUUAAGAGAAUUAAAAUCAUAAUCAAACUUGUAUAAAAUUGGAAUAGAAAUCAAAUUUUAUCUAAAAGACGGUACGUAAAGAGUGUUUUCACGAACAAGCUUAUAACUAGUUUCUAAGUCUAGAACUACAGUUCCUAUGAAUUAUACUUCAACUUGGACAUCUAUGGCGUCUCUAAUUCUUGACUCUAUUUUUUUUUUACUUCCUUUUGUUUUUGAACCCCUGCAAAGAAGUGAGGACACGAGUAGUAGCUCCACUAUCUAACCACCAAGAAUUAAUGGAAAAAUCUACAAAGUGUGACUCAAAACAAAUAAGAGCUGGAUGAUUAUCUUAUUGACUCCUUUUUAUCUAAGAAUAAACUUUGGUGCAAUAUCUCUACUUGUGAUCAGGUUUCUUAUAAAAAAAGCAAUUAUUAUUUUUCUUAAAAACCAUGUUAUUGGUUACAGGAUAAUCAGUCUGAUCUUUAUCUUGCUUGUUGUUGUCCCCAUCCUUUUUAAAAGUAUGAUUACUAGAUCUUUCAAACUUCUUAGGUCCCUUGCUAGAGCUUGCUUUGAAAUCAUGAGAAGCUAGCAUGGCAACCUCACCCUUAUCCUUUCUAAAUUUUUUCCUCUUAAACAAUACAUUUGAAAAAGAGAUCAUUGAUUGAUCAACAUUCAUCCUGAGUAUUAUAGGCAUUUUUUAUUCGGCUAAAUGCAACAGGUGGGGAUUUAAAAACAAAGUGAACAAUGUAAGUAUCAAAAAAAGUUAUUUCAAGAGUUUCUAGUUUAGACUAUAUGUGAACAUUCUUAAGUAUGUAAUCUCUAACCUCCCUAGUAAAGUCAUAUCGCAUCCCUGCGAGUUUAUUCAUUAGAUCUUCAGUCUCGACCUUAUUGGAUACAGAUAUCUUUCUUCCACUAGAGCAAGAAAUUUUUUGGCAUUGAUAGUUUCAGGCAGAUCACUUUUGAGGUGCUCAGCAAUCAGCCUCCUAAAGGCAAGGAUGCAUAACCUAUUAAAUCUCUCCCAUUUAGCAUUAAAUUUUUUUCAAUAGCUGUACUGAAAUUAGUGAGAGCCAGAGACUCAUUCUCAUGCAUGGCUUGAUCUACUUCAGUCAUGCCCAAAGGAAAUUUAAGAUUUUCUUUCCACCGCUUAAAGUUAGAACCUGAUUGUUUUAUCCCUUUUCGGAUUUCUUUUUGCGAGAAAAAUAGUUUUGAUCUUAAGACUAUUUCAAGAGAUUUAAAGAAAUGUCAAAAUAAUUUUAAGAAAAUUUACAGAGUCACCACUUGAUUUUUAUAGGAGAAAUCAAGAAAACUUUAAAGAGUUCUAAAGGUUCAAAAACAAAAAUAAACCUUUGAAACUAGAGAUAAUGGGUAAGGGUUCAAUUAAAGCCCUAAGAAGGUUUUUAAGGCACUUAGCAGCAUCCGUUUAAAAUGGUGUACCAAAAAGAACUAACUUGACUAAUUAAAGUGGCUAAUUUUGAAAAAAAGGUUAAUUUUUUGUAAACAAUUUAAUAGAAAAUAAUAAGAUUAGUUAUUUAACAUUUAAACAUGACAUCUAUUUAUUGAAAGGAGAAAAUUAAUAUUUGAUUAAACUAAGUUGUAGUUUUUCGAACUUAGAACGGGAAAUGAAUUUUAAUUUCGUAAAAGAAGAAAAUUAUGGAAAUCAUUUUCUUAUUAUUAAUCAUUAUAAAAAAGGGUUGAUUAUAUUAGAGACAAUACCUAUGAUAAAUGUUAAAGAGUGUUGAAUUAAAAACCUUUAUUGAUUACGAUAAGUUGAAAUUUAUAAGAAAAUUUAGUUUCUUGAGUUUUAAAGGAGUUAUUUUUUUUAUUCAAAUAGACUAUUUAGUUAUAUCAAGUGAAAAAUCACGAAUCGACUAAAAUACGUGACAAAAUAAAAUGGUAACGACUUAGGGGAUUUAGCUAGAUUAAUUAAUUUAAUAUGUUAGUUAGCACAAGUAAACAAUACAAGUUACAAAAAAUGAUGGAAGAAUUAAAAUUGGGCCCUCAAUUGACCCAUUAAUGAAGCUUCCCAGUUUUGGGCUUGAAUUAUGGACUUCAGUCCAUUUUCGGAAGUGUAUAUCAACCAAUGGCAUCCAAGAACUCUCUCUUCAUCACAUAUUAUCAUCCCAAAAUACUCUCCUCAUAAAAUAAAAAGUUUCAACAACUCUUCAAUGACUAUCAUGGCCAAAAUCUCUCCACCACCAUUUCACCAAUGCUUCCAACGUCAUCAACAUUUCCACCAUUCCCACUAUUUGACACUACUUCACAUUCCUUCAUUUUCUCCCCAUAUAAAAUCUUCAAUUUUUUUCUUUUUUUUCAUUGUCUACUUUUUUCAAAAUUUUGUUGAAAUUUUAAGAAUUAAGAAUCUAACAUCAAAAAAGUUAAGAAUCUUUAAGACAAUAUUGUAUUAUUCAUAUCAUGUUAUUUUUCACCACACUUCAAUCCAAUCCAAUCUUUUAGUUCAAAUUAUGAAUUUUAUCUCAAUUCUCUCUAAAAAUUUCUCUACUGUUUUCCACCGGAAUGGCUUCGCAGUAGCCGGUGAAACUUUUUUGGCGACCGGAUGGUACUCAAGAGGAGCGCAUUGAUGUUGCGCACCUAACCCAAAAAGAAUCUGUAGCUAAAUAGACCUACAACACUGAGAAAUUAAGUAAUAAAAUAGCGAUCUCUAAGUCAAUUUCGGAUGAACAAUAGUGUAGUGUUCAAGAGUUCAUUUCCCUUGUGAAUUCGGGUGUUAUUCAAAUAUUUCCAAGUGGUGGAAAUGUUAACAAAGAUGAAUUUCCAUCUAGCAAUGUAGAAUUAAACAUUUCCAUUGACCAAAAGCAGAACCCCAAAAUUGGCGAUUUAGCCACAAUUGCGACAAAACCAGAAAAAACAACCCCCAUUAGCCGCCAUCACCACCGCCACCCCCAUUAGCUGCCACCGCAAUUAUCACCUCCAUUACCUACAUCGCCACUGUCACCCCUCCCUCACCUCCUUUUAUCAAAUUUAGGGUGGAAUUAUGAAAUAAAAUUCAAUUAUAUGUGAGAGAUUGUUGGGAAUUUAAUUAUCUUUGUCUAAUUUCAUUUAAUGAUAUAGAUUAGAUGAUGAUUCAAGAAUAUUGAUAUUUUGUUUGAUGAGAAUGAUGAAAUUUUAAUUUGGGUUUGUAAAAUUGAAAAUGGUGGAAGAUGAGGGGAAAUAAUAAUUAAAAAUUAUAAUAAUAAAAAAAAUUGACUGGUCAAACGCGUGAGUUUCACCCUUAAGACUAUGUGGUUGUGGCUCUUUAGGGGUAUAAUAAUUUUAUUUUAAAAUAGUUCAGAGAUCAUAAGAUCCUACAAAGUAUAAAUAUGUAAUUGGAAUUUGAGAUAAAGAUUGAGGGAUUUUUGACCAUUUUCUGUUACGAAAUUAAAGGCUUCUUUUCCGGAUUUCAAGAUUCACAAUUUGUUCGUGUGGAUAUAUAAAGAGAGGAGAACAAUGUUUAUAACAUUUGAAAACCCAAAAGAAUAAAAAGGACAUAUGUAUUUUAUUUUAAAUUGAGUAGAUUUGAAGGUUGUUGGAAUUCAAGUGCUAAAUUCAUUUUAGAUCAUUACUAGCCACUGAAAUUAGAAAAUUGAGAAAGACUUUGAAAUUCAUUAUUGUUGAGCCUUGAAAAAGGCUGAAGGAGGAAAAAUUGGAUUUAUCGAAAUUCGUGGUUGUUGGCCAAAAUGAUUAUAGGGGUUCGAUGAUGAUACUGGUGUGAAGAAAGUUCUUCAAUUUUUCUUGUGAAGAGCAACAGUGUCGCUUACUUCUUUUUAUAUUGUUUGUUCAAGUUUUCUGCAACAGCAAAAGUACUUCUAGGUUGAAAAUGCUAACUUACAUAAUCAAUAAUACAAUUACUUUUAAAGUCGCAAUUUGAUGACUUCUUUAUAUUUGGUUGAAUCAUUUUCUUUAUUUUGUUCAGUUAUGGUCUUUCUCACUUUCUAUGUAGAUAAAUAAAAUACAAUUUGGACCAAUUCAUUUUUACCUAUAGGUCCAAUAUUAUAAGGUAUAUAUAUAAAUCUUUUUAGGUCUUAUUUCAUAUCACAAAGAGACUUUUAGCAGUCAAAAAAGAAAGAAAGUGUGCAGAUUUUUGCACUAAAAUUUCAGCCACACCUGUCAACUUCAAAUUGUGAUUCUCACUUCGUUUCUUAUUCUAUUGAGAUGAUUUUUGGACAGCUCGUUUCUCUCAUCUCUGAUUUUUGGACAGCUGGUUUCUCUCAUCUCAAUUUUUUAUCAGAAACUGAUGAAAGUUGAUUUGGUGACCUGUAAUUCAUGUUUUUCAUCCCUGAACAACAGCUACAUUUUUUGAUAAUUUUGCUCCUUUUAUUCUCUAGUUUUGGUGCUACCUUGUUGUGUUGUUCCUCAUUGUUUGACACUUGUUUUUUUGCCAAUUUAGGAGAACAAUAUUGUAACUCUUGGUGAUGGAGGUUUUGGUCCCAUGAUUUUUUUCUCUUCACAUCGAAGAAUUUUUCAUGUAAAUUUUGUGUCUUAUGUGGUUGAUUUUAUUCUUGUCUUGUUGUGUUCGUUUGAUUGAUUUAUUUGCUUCCAUAUUAUUACUGUUCUUGGAUUUGCUUGUCUCCUCUUGGUUCAAAUUGAAAGGAAAAGUUUAGAUUAAACUUGGGUAUUCUUCCGCUGCUACCUUAUCGUGCACUUUGAUAGAAGUUUGAUGAUGAUACUGGAAUAUUUGAAAUGAUAGCCACUUUAAAAUUUUAAUUUGAAAUAUACCCAUUAAAUAUUUUUAAUUUAUUUUUUAGGGUUAGAGUUGGAAAAAACAAAAAGUGGGGUAAAAUUGUGGGGUCAUGGGCCUAGCUCUUUAACAAUUUUAAAAGUUGAGAAUAAAAUACAACUUUAUAAAAAUACAAUAUGGUCCCUUUUUAUAUUUAUUAAAUAUUCAAACUUUUUUUAAAUCCAUUUAAUAAAUUCAAUAACUUCUCUCUCCUCAAAUAUUCUUCUUCCGAUUUUCUUUAUAUCUUUAGUAAAUUGAAACAAUUUGCUCGAUUGUUCCUCCCCAAGUCAAAAUUUUCCAUCUUUUCUUGCUCAGAUAAGUUUAAUCUUCUUCCCCGAUCAGUUUUUGAUCCAUUUUAGUAUAUUUUUUUUAUUUCAUUUUGUGUAGUCAUUCUUCGAUUUUGACGAAAAUUGUACUGUUCUUCAUUGAAUUAGUCAAAAUCUGAGAGUUUUUAGUUAAUAUUCUUGAUUCCGCAUGUUUAAUUGUGUUUUGCUUUGGAUAAUGGCUAGAAUUUUUUUUAAUUUUUGUAUUUAUAUUGCGUAUUGAUUUUGAAUUUUUUUUACUGAAUUAAACCCAUUUUAAUGGUGUUCUUGUUGCUGCGAAUUGCACUACUAAUAUCUGGAGAACUUGGAACUUGAUUUGCAUGUUUGAUCUGAGGCGUUUUCCCAUUUUUAUUAAUAGACUAUCGACCACUACAUAUUUAUUUUUGCUGCAUUUUUUCAUUUAUUUUAAUAGAUCAGUGAUCGAUAAAUCGUCCACUACAGAUUUAUUUUUGCUUGUAGAUCAUAAAUGGUCAAAGUUCAUAAAGCAGUUAAAAGGGCUGCUUGUAGCAGUAGAAAGCAAAAAGUCGAUGAAGUUUUUAAAAUUUUGAAGAGGAAAAAAUUUGUAAUCGAAGAACCUGAAUCAGAAAGUGAAUAAAAAAUACUUGUCGAGAUUGAGGAAAGUACUGCACAUGAGAGUGAUAAUGUUGAGGAAAACGAAGGAGAAAGCAAAGAAAAAAGUGAAAGUGAUGGUGGUGAAGAUGAGAAUAGGAGAGAUUGUGGAGACGGGGAGGAAGAUGGUCUCCUAUCCUUGCCAAUUUGUGCAAGAGAUAUCUCCAUUGAAUACAACGACCUAACAACUUAGAUGGAUGAUUUAGGUUAUUUUCCAGCAUUGAUUUUCGUAAGAGCAAGAAUGGUGGUUUAUCGAGAGUUUAGAAGGAUUCUAGUUGAACAAAAGCUCUAUACUGAUUUUAAGAAGACGUGUUUUGGACACUUGAGACACAUGACGAAAUAUUUUAAAUUUAAUGGAUAGAUGGUCCAAUAUGUAUUACUGUGACGUAUCAAAAUAAUAAAAAACUGCAUAAAAUUUAAUUUUGUGUGAACGAUAAGCCAGCUUGUUUCAUCUUAAAGGAAUUUACUCUAAUUACGGGAAUGAAUUGUUCAGCAUGUCCUCGUGAAUCAAAAACAAACAAAGUCCUCCAAAAUAGUGAAAUUAUUCAUUUUAAAGUGAUGAAGAAUAAGAGCAUUACUGCAGCAAGGAUGAUCAACCUGAUCAACGGUAAUAAGUUGACUAAUCAACAAAAGUUGAAGCACUUUAGUUUGGUUCAUGCACUCAAUACUGCUGGCAAAGGACCCGUCAAGGAAGGUGAAUUUAGCCCACAUAAAGAUGGCGGCUGAUUUAGAUUUCUCUGAGAGUUAUCCACGAGGGCAAGAGUCGUUAGGGCUAACAUUGAGCUAUUUAAAAAAGAAGGUUGAUUUGAGCAAGCAGAAAGAACCGUGGUUGUGAAGAGGAAUAAUGCAUCGUACAUUUUAUUCGAUUUUUUGGACAUUUCUGGUACUUAUAAUCUACUAUCUUAUCGAUUUAUUAUAGACUCUUACCUAUUUGUGUAGUAAUACAUAGACCCUGUAGAUUUAUUUAUGCUUCUAUUUAUUGCAGGUCUGGAUAUAUGAGGUCUUUCCUCAUCGUAGAAGGUAUGUUGAAAAGUCAUUGGAGUUUCCUAUGCCUAUUUCACGUCUACUUAGAUGGCACACGCCAAAUAACGGCAACAUAAUGAAAGAUGACCCAUUUAAGUAUAAAGAAAACAACAGAAGGGUAAAAUUGUACUUAUUAUAAUAUGAUAAUAAUAUUAUUAAAUUAGUGAAUGUCGUGUAAUUUAUAUUUUUUAUAGACUGUGCACCCAUACCUUAUCCUUACUAUCCAUGAGAUGGAGCAGACCUACAUGAAAACAUUUAAGUCAUACGCAAACGAAGGUAAAGACACAUCCAUCGAUGCCUUGAAAUUGCAGUUAAAAGGUGUGACUGUCCUCGCUUCAUAAAUGGAGGUCGAGGAUGAAGACGAAGAUUUGGAUGGUCACAAAUAUGUCCCAAGUACAGCAUGUGCUUGUGAUCAUGCUGGUUUAAGUGGACUCAAAACUGCACCAGACAUUUCUAAUGAUGAAGACCUGUGUGAGCAUAUUGCUUUGCUCGAGAAAACUGUUCUGGAUAUUACUUUUUUUGUUAGAGAUGAGAGGUCGAGGAGAAUCGAAAAAAAAAAGCAGCAAGAUCAAGGUAAACUAAUUUAUUUUUUAUUUUUCUAAUUUAAUUUUCUUACAUAAUUUUGGUACUCCUUUCAAAACAAUGCAGCGUCGAUAGUUGCCCUUGUAGCCGACAUCAAGUAAACCUUGAAAAACUCGCAGUCAUAGUGAAUGGCCUUGCAGUAGCAGAUGAAAAAAUGAAAGAAAAGAAAAAAUAGGAGAAGACAGUAGAUGAACAAGAUAAGAAAGAAGAAGAAGAAGAAAACAAAGAUAAGGAAAUGAAAACUGAAGAAGAAGCAGAAAAUGAGGAGAAAACAGAAGAAGAUGGUGAAAAGAAAUCAGAAGAAGAGGAGAAGAAAAAGAGAAGACAGUUGAUGAAGAAGAAAUGACUGAAUAAGAGAAUUAAAAUAUAGAAGAAGAGAAGAAAUCUAAAUAAGAAGGAGAAGAAGAUAAAGAAAAUGAGAAGAAAGAAAUAGAAGAAGAGGAAGAAAAAGAUGAAGAAAAAUGAAAUGGAUGUGAUGGGCAUUGUUAAGGAACUCAAUGAUGAUAAUAUGUAGUUUGGUGUCUUGAAACACAUAAUUUUCUUAAUGAUUUAUUAUUUUUAAUGAUUUGAUUUUUUUGAAUAAUUGAAUUACAUAUAUUUGGCAAAUCAAUGAUGACAUUUACUGAUAAAAUUAUGUUCAGUUAUUCCAUUGCCUUAUUAGAUUAUACAGUUGAUUUCAUUGUGUUAUCAAUUUAGCUAUUGUCCUAAUUUAUAGAGGCCAAUGACAAAUAUUAUAGAAGUCAUUCUUUAUAAUUUAUAGACUGCACCCAUGAUUGAUUUAAAAAAUCAUACAUUUACAAUGAUGAGAAACAAGUUUACUGUUAUAUGUUGCAUUGGUUACCACUUCAGUUACUGUCAUAGUUUAUAGAGGUUAAUGAUAAACGUUUUAAAAGUCAUUCUCUAUUUAUUAUAGACUGCACCCACGAUUGGUUUAAGAAAUCAUACAUCUUUUUAUUCAGUUUUCGACAACCCUAUUACACCUUUGCUGGAACCGAACACCAACAACAAAUCAUACAAUAAUUUUUUAGGUCAUUCUUUUGCUCUUCGAACAAAAUCAACCUUUGCUUUAGUUGAUUCCUCUUUAUUUCAAUUUCUUUUAGUGAUCCUUUCAAAUAAUCUCUUUGCUCUUCGACUUCUUUUAACAAUGUCAUGAGUGGAUCUCUAUUUUCUUCAGAUUUUUGAAACUUUUGUAGUAUAUAAAAAUUUGAAAGCGCCUUGAAAAUUUAAUGUCGAUGGGCUGCUAGUCGGUGAGUUUUCCACAAGCCACUUAAAAAAAGAGCAUCCACUAUUAUCCUUGACCAAAAAAAUAAGUUAUUGCAUAAAUUUGCUUGCUUAAAAAAAAUAAAUCACAUAUUCAUAUACACACUCACCUUUUCAACCGCAGAGUUAACAAAUUUUCGACCGGGAUUCGAAUCGGUGCGUGACGUCCUCAAGACAACUGGAUUGCCACAUGGACAUAUGUAGGACACUUUUGCAUUUUAUAUUUGGUAUGCUUGAGAUACUGUAGUUGUUUAAAAAUGAACAAAAAAUAAAGCCGAAAAAAUGAGAGUGUUAAAACAAAAAUAGUCUUUCUUUUAUACAAAAAAAGAAGUGAGAUAUUACUGUUGGAUGUGAUUUGACAUAUACUAUAUUACCGUUGUAAAAAAUUCAUAUUUAAAUUUUAUUACUCCUCUUUUAUAGACCUUAAAUAUAAUUGAUGCCUUCUCAUACAUUGGGUAGAUGAUGGACCAUAUAGAUCGAUACUCGGUCAUUACUAAGGUAUAUACAGAUUAGUGCAAUGAUAAAAAAUAUUAGUACAUAUAUCAAUAAUUAAAUAAACGAUAUUGAAUUGAGGACCAUCGAUUGUGUCCAUUGUAAAUCACACAAUGCAAGCCUUGUCAAUAAUAGACUGUAUUGGUUUAUUAUGCUUAGUAACAUAUUGUGGAUAAAAGAAAAUAAUUAAUUAAUAAGAAAAUAAAUAAUUGAAUUUUAUGCAAUUAAAUGAGUUUAAACAAGUCAUGUGAUCGUAUAAGAGUUCAUGUAAAUUGGAGAAGGUGAUCAAAGAUGUGUGAGGAUGGGUAGUGGUUCUACAACCAACAUCCUCACGGUAAUGUUUACCCAAAGCACAAGUAUGUUGUAAGAAAUUCAUUUGUUCAACCACAACUCAUCACCUCACAUCUUUGAUCAUCGUUUUUAAUUUAUGUGGACUCUUAUACGAUCAUAUGAUUUGUUUAAGCUCAUUUAAUAGCAUAAAAUUCAAUAAUUUAUUCUUUAUUAAUUAAUUAUUCUCUUUUUAAAAUAUGUGCUAGUUAUGAUCUAUAAAUAUGUAUCCUAGUCUAGUUAGUUCAUUGUCGAAGUAGUUCAUAGCUUAUGCUAGACCAUAUCAGGUAGAGUAAAUAACUAAGCAUAGUCUAGCAUAAACGGUGAACUACUUCAGUAAUAAGCAAACUAGACUAUGAUACAUUUUUAUAGACCAUAACUAGCACAUAUUUUGAAAAGGAAAUAAUUAAUUAAUAAAAAAAUUAUUAAUAUUUAUGCUAUUAAAUGAGCUUAAACAAGUCAUGUGAUAGUAUAAGAGUUCACGUAAAUUGAAAAUGGUGAUCAAAUAUAAGAGGUGAUGAGUUGUGGUUGAACAAAUCAAUUCCUCACAGCAUACUUAUGCUUUGGGUAAACAUUAUCCAGAGGAUGUUGGUUGUACAACCACUACCCAUUUUCACACAUCUUUGAUCACCUUCUCCAAUUUAUGCGGACUCUUAUACUAUGACAUGACUUGUUUAAGCUCAUUUAAUUGCAUAAAAUUUAAUUAUUUAUUUUCUUAUUAAUUAAUUAUUUUUUUCAUAAUAUGCUACUAAGGGCAGUAAACCAAUAUGUUAUAUUAUUGACAAGGAUUGCAGUCUAUGAUUUACGAUAGACAAAAUCGAUGGCCCUCAAUUCAAUUUUAUUUAAUUAAUUAUUUCCUUUUUUUCACAAUAUGCUACUAAGGACAAUAAACUAAUAUAGUAUAUUAUUGAUAAGGCUUGCAGUCUAUGAUUUACAAUGGACACAAUCGAUGGUCCUCAAUUCAAUUUUAUUUAUUUAAUUAUAUAUAUUUUUGAAGAUGUACUAAUGUUUGUUUAUCAUUUCACCACCACACAUAAUGGAAUUUAUUGACUAUGUACACAUUCAUGAUAGAUAUUGAGCUCGGUAAAUCAUAAACUCCAUCGACUUUAUAAUUAAUUUUGUAUAAAAUAACAUAAUUGCUGAUAGAACAUAUUCAUUAUCCAUUAGCAUAUAUGAAUUUGUAUACAUAUACAUAUACAUAUAUAUGUAUAUAUAUAUAUGAUAGACCAUAAAUUUUGACGUCUGACAACUGUUUCAUUCAUUUUAUAACAGGGGAAAUUGAAAAAUUUCAAACAACAACAAAAUUGUAAAACUCAAGUAGAGACAAUAUGUAGGAAACAGAAAAUACUUCAGUUCAUUAGUUCAUUGCAACAUCGUUUAACAUAAUAUGAACACCAAAAUACAAGCAAAAAGAGCAAAAGAAAGAAGCUUUCAUCUAAAGAAACUCCUAACCAUGAGAGUUUCUUUGCAAUAAACUAGCACUACAACUACGUCGGAGUUCCCGUGGAUGUGCUCCAUGUUCACCCUCUCGAUGAUCACCCGUAAAAAUGGGUGAUACGCCGGAGUUCCCGUGGAUGGGCUCCAUGUUCACCCUCUCGAUGAUCACCCGUAAAAAUGGGUGAUACGCCGGAGUUCCCGUGGAUGUGCUCCCAGUCCUGAACCAGACCAUAGAAUAGACAGUCCAAGUCAUUGCAAAGGAGAAAGAAGUCAUGGUAACGUUGGGAAUGCAUUCUCCUUAGUGGUCUAAGUGUGAUUCCCGGCAUCUGUUGGUAUUUAUCAAAUUUUUGGGUUUAAGAAAAGGAAUAUUCAGUGGAGUAGAUGAAUAUUUAUAUAGACCAAAAUAAAAGACCUUUGGUCUUCCCAUCCAAUAGUUGGUCGAUGCAUGGAUGAAUGAAAGUCGAGUAGGUAGCGUAUACCCAAUCGACGUAGCGUGUGAGUGAACGUACAACAACUUUUUUGAUGUGUCAUAAAUGUCCGAUUGUCUAUAUGUUCGAUUGAAUAAUUAGGGUUUUUCAAUAGACUUAAAAUAGGAUUGAUAAUAAACUUUGUUAUAUAUAAAGAAUACAUGCAAUAGAUUGGACACACAAUAUAUGCUAUAACUUAAGCGAUUGAUAAUAAACAAAGAAAAAAAUCGAUAAAAAUUGAAAUUAAUGACACCACUUGAUGUUCCGGAUUUUGACGGAAUAUUUUUAUCCUUUUAAAGGGAUAAUUGUACGUUUUUAAGCAACUGAUGUUGUAUUUAAUACAUGAUUUUAGUAUUUUCAGGUCAAGAAAUCAGCUGAAGAAGAAACUUGGAAAAGUAGCAGAAAAAGGACACCCGACGAUCAAACUGAGGGACCAUCAGCCAAGGGACGGACGAUUGGGAUGACUUUCAGAGUUACACAGAGAGGACCAAGUAAUUAACCCAUGUGAUGGUCCAAGUGAAGGACCGUAGGACCUCUGACGGACCGUCAACUUGGCCGUCAGGCUGGAAUAGUGAAUGCCAUUUUAGAGGGUUAAGCGACGGACCGUACAAUGGCCUGUCAGGCCAACAACGGCCUAUCAAAUGAACCGCCACCUCUCAACGAGAAAGUGGCACAGUGGGACCUUUAACGAUGGUCUAUGUGACGGACCGACAGGCCACCGAUGGGCCAUCAAUGCGACCGUCAACCUUGAUGCAACUAUACUGGAUUCAAAUUUCAAAUCCUCAGUACCUAGGAACAUAUAAAUACCCAGUUUAGGUUUUACUUAGGGAUAUUUUAUCAUAUUUCUACUAAGAAAACCUAUUAUACAUAGUAUUCUCUAAGAAUUGAGCUACAGUUACAGAUCUAAUAAUUUUUAUUCAUAUUCUCACUAAAGAUUCAAGAACAAUUUUUGUAAUUUUUGUAAGUAAUUCUCUGAAUUUAUUUAUGAGGUACACAAUAAUUUCUUUUUCUUCUUAUGAGAUGUGUGGCUAAGAUCCCAUAACUAGGGUUAUGGGAGCCUUAAUGUGAAUAGCUGAUUGGGGUUGUAAAAUACUUAAUUCCCACAUGUAAUUGAGAUUGGAUAAACCCUUCUUCAAAUUAAUGACCUUUACUGGUUGCAAACUUGAAGGGUGAGCCCAAGAACAUCCCUUGUCUGAGAAGAAAGGUGUAUGUUGGGAAAAGAAGGAGUUUAUAUGAAAUCUAAGGGCCUUAACCUUUGGUUAAAGGUUAAUGCCUUAACAAGGAUUAACCCACAUGAGAGACUAAUUGAAUAAAUCAGUAUAUUCUUUAAGUUUGAGAGAAUUGAAGGGUGAACCAUCCAUUUAGGUUGAGAAACUAAUGGGUAAACUUUAGAAUUUAAUAACUCUUACAAUUGAAUUUAUAAAUUGGAAAUUUAAAGUAACUCACAACCCCGACUGCUUAAACAUCUUGGUGAACAUAUAUCUAAUCUGUUUGUUCUCAUUGAAUUAAUACUUGCAAGAAAACUCUCUAGUUGAAAUAUAUUUUGACACAAUCAUUUGGAUACUACUGGUAAGUUAUAAAUGCCCCUUUAAUAAGGAACCUUCGAUCAACAAUCCAUUAACAACCAUAACACUUAGGCUGUACGAGUAUUCGCCGAGGGAUUUGACCCCAACCUAGUUGGGUUCUAUAUUUGACAACGAUCGCUUACACUUUCUGAUGAGAGUUGUAAUUUAGGUGCAUCAAUUUUUGGCAUCGUUGUCGGGGAAUACGGUUGUCAAUUAAGUUUGUGAUUGUUAACUGACCUUUAGUCAAGUUUCUAAAAUUUUACCUUUAUUUGUUGUUUUUGUUCAUUACAUAUUUAUUGUUGUUUAUGCCACACACUAGAAGUUCAGAAGAAUCUCUACUACCCUUCAAUCCUGAACCACAUCUAAUUGGAAAAAUGGAAGAACAACAAGAAGCUGACAGACUAGCCGUCUUGGCUAGAGCGCAAGUUAAUCGACAGGAUGAUGGUCAACCAGCCCAUGCCCUUAAUCUUGACAAGAAAGAUUUGGGGCAUAAUGAUCUGAUCAACCCAGAAAAUAGGAGGUGUGCGGAGAACGUAGAUUUGCCUGUGAAUAGGAAUCGUAAAGGCAGAGCAAAUCGCCAACCUACUAUGCAGUUUGCACCUAAUGAGGAAGACGAUACAGACUUUGAUGAGGCUGGGACUACCGGAGCAAUCAUCCCACUACCAUUGGCUCCUGGGGUGAAACUCAACAUAACCAGCACCAUGAUACAACUGCUUAACCUCAUGGGUUUGUUUGGCGGACUUCCUAGAGAUGACCCAAAUAUGCACUUGGUGAACUUCAUCAACAUUUGCAAAGUAUUUGAAAAUCCUAGAAUGCAUUUCGUAUUUGGUUAUUUCUGUUGUAUCUGUCUGGGGAGGCAAGGAUGUGGUUGAAUGAGUUAGCUCCUGAUUCUAUAACAAACUGGAGGCAGUUAAUUGAAUUUAUAAAUUGGAAAUUUAAAGUAACUCACAACCCCGACUGCUUAAACAUCUUGGUGAACAUAUAUCUAAUCUGUUUGUUCUCAUUGAAUUAAUACUUGCAAGAAAACUCUCUAGUUGAAAUAUAUUUUGACACAAUCAUUUGGAUACUACUGGUAAGUUAUAAAUGCCCCUUUAAUAAGGAACCUUCGAUCAACAAUCCAUUAACAACCAUAACACUUAGGCUGUACGAGUAUUCGCCGAGGGAUUUGACCCCAACCUAGUUGGGUUCUAUAUUUGACAACGAUCGCUUACACUUUCUGAUGAGAGUUGUAAUUUAGGUGCAUCAAUUUUUGGCAUCGUUGUCGGGGAAUACGGUUGUCAAUUAAGUUUGUGAUUGUUAACUGACCUUUAGUCAAGUUUCUAAAAUUUUACCUUUAUUUGUUGUUUUUGUUCAUUACAUAUUUAUUGUUGUUUAUGCCACACACUAGAAGUUCAGAAGAAUCUCUACUACCCUUCAAUCCUGAACCACAUCUAAUUGGAAAAAUGGAAGAACAACAAGAAGCUGACAGACUAGCCGUCUUGGCUAGAGCGCAAGUUAAUCGACAGGAUGAUGGUCAACCAGCCCAUGCCCUUAAUCUUGACAAGAAAGAUUUGGGGCAUAAUGAUCUGAUCAACCCAGAAAAUAGGAGGUGUGCGGAGAACGUAGAUUUGCCUGUGAAUAGGAAUCGUAAAGGCAGAGCAAAUCGCCAACCUACUAUGCAGUUUGCACCUAAUGAGGAAGACGAUACAGACUUUGAUGAGGCUGGGACUACCGGAGCAAUCAUCCCACUACCAUUGGCUCCUGGGGUGAAACUCAACAUAACCAGCACCAUGAUACAACUGCUUAACCUCAUGGGUUUGUUUGGCGGACUUCCUAGAGAUGACCCAAAUAUGCACUUGGUGAACUUCAUCAACAUUUGCAAAGUAUUUGAAAAUCCUAGAAUGCAUUUCGUAUUUGGUUAUUUCUGUUGUAUCUGUCUGGGGAGGCAAGGAUGUGGUUGAAUGAGUUAGCUCCUGAUUCUAUAACAAACUGGAGGCAGUUGAAAGGAGCUUUCGUAGAAAGGUUCUUUCCUCUCUCCAGAAUAUUACAGUUGAGGGACGAGAUUUGUAAUUUCAGACAACUACCAAAUGAGGCACUACAUGAGACUUGGAUGCGAUUUAAGAAGAAGCUAACGUAGUGCCCCAACCACAAAAUAACCGAUGAAUACUUGAUGGAGAUAUUUUAUGGAGCUCUAAACUCCAUCACUAAACCAACCAUAGACAACACUACAGGAGAGGCAUUCAUAGAACUCACAUUCACUUAGGGAGCAGAUAUGUUAGAGUGGUUGACUGAGACAAGUAGAGCUUGGCAUACUAGGGAUUUUGUGGUAUCAAGCCCUACUAUGCCUAGUGGGAUGUCUGCGGAGCAAUGCUGGAAAGAGGGGGAAUGUGACCAAGAUAUAGCACAUAUGAAAACCCAAAUGGAUUUUCUUACUAAACAUCUAUUAUUUGGGAAGACUGAGAAGGGAAAAAUUGUUGGGUCACAAAGAAGAGCUGAUUUUGAUUAUGAAGAGGAGGCUAACUAUCUAAAUAAUCAGGGGGAUUCCGAAGCAAUAGCCAACUGAACCAAGGUUGGAACUAUUAUGAAAAAUUUGGUUACAAAGAUAGGGAUCAUGGGAGCUGGAAGAAUAAGAAUGACAUGAGUGGACUGUAUGUACCUCAUGAAAGUCAUCAUAAUAUUGCUACCAGUUCAGGAAAAAUGUCCAUGGAGGAUAUGAUUGAGAAGCUAUUGAAAGGGGUUGAGGCGACCAAUGCUGGGGUAACAACGAUGAAGAGUGACUUAUCUUCCAUGAGUCGCUAGUAAAUUUGCAUUCAACUUCUAUCAAACAGUUGGAGCAGCAGAUAAGCCAACUCUCGACAGCAUUUAAUCAAAGAAAGAGUGAUACAUUAUUGAGCGAUACAAUGCAAAAUCCUCAAAAUAAUGGCUCUUGUAUGGCAGUUACCACUCAGAGUGGUAAAGUAUUACCUAACCCUUCUGUGGGCAAAACUGUGAUUAAGGAUGUCAUUGAAGAAGAUGCAAUAGAUGAUAAAACCCAUCCAAUGAAUUCUAAGAAGCUGGAUGGUAAUGCAAGUACAUCUAACCAUCGACGGGUUGAUGAGUUAGAAAAAUAAAAAGAAAAAAAGAAGGAGGCAGUGGUCACUACUCUCCCAAAACCACCGUCACCCUUCCCCCAUCGAUUGAAGAAGAAAGUUGAUGACACAAAGUUCAAUAAAUUUAUGGUAAUACUGAAGCAACUGAUGGUGAAUGUGUCUUUAAUGAAGGCAUUAGAGUAGAUGCACGAAUACGCCAAGUUAAUGAAGGAUCUUGUGACGAAGAAGAGGACAGUUAGCUAUGAACCAGAGGAUAAUCUUCACCAUUUUGGUGCUAUUUCGAUAAGAUCUUUGGUGCAAAAGAAAGCAGACCCAAGAACGUUUCCCAUCCCUUGUACUAUUGGGUCACUUGAUUUUGGUAAGGCUUUAUGUGAUCUUGGAGCAAGCAUUAACUUGAUGACACUUGAUGUUUAUAAGAAGUUGGGUUUAUGGGAUCCUACACCCACAAAUAUGUGGUUGGUGAUGGCUGACAGAUCGAUAAAGCAGCCAGUGGGGAUCUUAUAUGAUGUACUAGUGGAAGUGGCCAGCUUUAUAUUUCUUGUGUAUUUUGUUAUUCUAGACCGUGAGGUGGAUUUUGAGGUACCCAUAAUCUUGGGUAGACUUUUCCUCGUAACUGAAAGUGUGCUUAUUGAUUUGCAAUCGAAUGAGCUAUUAUUCAGGCUUAAUGAUGAGGUAGUUUUCUUUGAUGUGUGCCAAUCUAUGAAACAAUCCAAAUAGAUGAGUGUAUUCUCCAUUGUUGAUGUUUAUUAUGAAGACAAGCAAUAGGUUCCAAUCAAGGAGAGAUAAGAUAUGGAAACUCUAGUUGUAGUUUUGUUGAAUUUUAAUGGUGAAGGUAUUGAGGAAUACGAGGAGACAGUGUAUGCUUUGAUGGGAAUAAUAUCCUAUUCCUAUAUUCCCAAGAAUUUGGACCUAGAUCUGAAAAAUCGCGCAACAUCACCGACUAAGCCAUCGAUCGAAGAGCCACCGGUGUUGGAGUUGAAGGAGUUGCCAGGGUAUUUACGGUGUGUGUUUCUAGACAGUGGGAAUAUUUUAUCUAUGAUUAUUGCAGUGAAUUUGGGUGAGCACCAGGUUGAGGCACUAAUCUCCGUGCUUAGGAGAUAUAAAAGAGCUAUAGGUUGGACUAUUGCAGAUAUUAUUGGUAUUUCUCCAGGUAUAUGUACUCAUAAGAUUUGUCUUGAGGAAGAUUGCAUACCAACCAUUGAUCACCAACGUCGCCUUACCCCACCAAUGUAAGAACUGGUUAAGAAGAAGAUUAUCAAAUGGCUUGACGCAGGAGUUGUAUACCCCAUCUCUGAUAGUAAAUGGGUAAGUCCCGUCCAAUAUGUGCCCAAGAAAGGGGGCAUGACUGUGGUAGCAAAUGAGAAAAAUGAGUUGAUUUCACUCAGGACUGUCACAGGGUGGAGAGUUUGUAUGGACUAUCGUAAGCUCAACUAAUAGACUCUGAAGGACCACUUCCUGAUGCUUUUUAUGGAUCAAAUGCUUGAUUGGUUGGAGGGAAGAGGUUAGUAUUAUUUCUUGGAUGGGUACUCAGGCUACAAUCAAAUUUCUAUUACUCUAGAGGAUCAAGAGAAGACGAUGUUCACUUGCCCAUAUGGUACUUUCUCUUUCAAGCGAAUGCCAUUUGGAUUAUGUAAUGCGCCUGCAUUUUUCUAACGGUGCAUGAUAUCUAUAUUCUCCGACAUGAUGGAGAACGCCUUGGAGGUAUUUAUGGAUGACUUUUCUAUGGUAGGUGAUUCUUUUGAGCUAUGGCUGGAAAAUCUGUGUAGAGCAUUGCAAAAAUGUGAGGAAUAUAACGUAGUGUUGAAUUGGGAGAAAUUCCACUUCAUGGUGAAAGAAGGCAUUAUUCUUGGUCACAAAAUUUGAACAAGGGAAUUGAAGUCAAUCGUGCAAAGGUUGAGGUUAUAGAGAGACUACCUCCUCCCAUCUUAGUAAAUAGAGUUUGUAGUUUUCUUGGUCAUGCAAGCUUCUAUCGUCGAUUCAUAAAGGACUUUUCCAAAAUAGCAAAACCACUCUGCAAGAUUUUGGAGAAGGAGGCCAAGUUCAGAUUUGAUGAUGAUUGCAAGAAGGCAUUUGAAUGCCUUAAGGAGAAAUUAGUUGUUUCACUAAUUAUUGUUGCACCAGAUUUGUCAAAACCGUUCGAAAUUAUAUGUAAUGAAAGCGCAGUAGCGCUUGGGGAUGUGCUUGGCCAAAAGAAAUAAAAGCUAUUUCAUCCCAUUUAGUAUGCAAGCAAGCCAUUGAAUGGGGCCCAGAAGAAUUACAUUGUGACUGAGCAGGAACUUCUUGUGGUAGUCUAUGCAUUUGAGAAGUUUCAUGCUUACUUAUAGGGACUAAGGUGGUGGUGCACACGAAACACGCUGCUUUGAGGUAUUUGAUGGAAAAAAAUGCUAAACCAAGGCUAAUUAGAUGGGUGUUGCUUUUUCAAGAGUUUGACUUUGAAGUCAAAGAUCGAAAAAGAUGCAAAAUUCAAGUUGCGGAUCACUUGUCCAGACUUGAGGGUGAUCAAGCGGUCAAGGAUGAGUUUGAAAUUGAUGAUGCAUUCCCGAAUGAGAAGGUCCUGGCUACUGCACUUGAAAGAGUGCCUUGGUAUGCUGAAUUCGCAAAUUAUGUGGUAAGUGAAGUCAUACCGGAGAAUCUUUUUUUUCACCAAAGGAACAAGUUCCUUCAUGAUGUUCCACACUACUUCUGGAAUGAGACUUAUUUAUUUCGAUGGUGUUUAUAUAAUAUUAUCAUACGAUAUAUUCCAUAGGUGGACAUGUUGAAUAUCCUUGAAGUUUGUCAUGCUUCUUCGGUCGGGGGUCACCAUGCAGAUGACCGUGCUGCGAGAAAAGUGCUACAAAGAAGUUAUUAUUGGCCGACCUUAUUCAAAGAUGCCUAUGAAUUUGUGAGGAGAUAUGACCAACUCUAGAGACAAGGGUCAAUCUCAAAGCACCAUGAGAUGCCUAUGACAAAAAUAAUGGAAGUCGAGUUGUUCGAUGUAUGGGCCAUUGAUUUCAUAGAGCCCUUUGUGAGCUCUUAUGGGCUGAAAUACAUAUUGGUCACCAUUGAUUAUGUGUCAAAAUGGGUUGAAGUUGUUUCUUUGGAUGAUAAUGAAGUAAAGAGAGUGGUUCCAUUCCUUAAAAAGAAUAUCUUCUCUCGCUUUGGGGUACCACGUACCAUCAAAAGUGACGGUGAAUCACAUUUUUACAACUGAGUGUUCCGGGAUACCUUGGAAAAAUAUAGUGUUAAACAACACAAGGUGGCAACUCCAUAUCACCCACAGACUAGUGGGAAAGUAGAGAUUUCAAAUCGUGAGAUAAAGGCCAUCUUUGCCAAAACGGUGAAUGCAAGUAGACAAGAUUGGUCUAGGAAUUUGGAUGAUGCCUUGUGGGCGUAUAGAAUAGCUUUCAAGACACCCAUUAGUAUGUCAUCAUACCAAUUGGUAUAUGGAAAGUCUUGUCACUUACCGAUUGAAUUAGAACACAAGGCACUGUGGCCACUCAUGUGACUAAACUUGAAUUGGAAUGAGGCAGCAAAAUUGCAACUGGGGCAACUGAAUGAGAUGGAAAAAUUCCGUCUAGGGGCUUAUGAAAGAUCAAAUUUAUACAAGGAAAAGAUGAAGAAGUAUCAUGAUUAGAGUAUCAAAAAGUGAGACUUCUAGAAGGGUGAUUGGGUACUCCUAUUUAAUUCUAGACUAAAGCUCUUUCCAGGUACACUUAAAUCAAAGUGGUCUGGCCCAUUCAAAGUUAACCAAGUCUACUCAUUUGGAGUAGUUGAACAUGAAAAUGAGGACGAAAGUGUCUUCAAGGUUAAUGGGAAGCGGGUGAAGCUGUAUCUCGGCCCAACGGACUCGGUAAAGUGCAUAUCUAUCACCUAUCUUGAUGAAGUCUGAAUACUCGAGAUAACUAUGUCAUGCCGCGACAAUAAAUCAGGAGCUAGUGGGAGGCAACCCACAAAGUGUUAUUGUAAGCAUAGUUAGAGUUUAUUUGUUAUUUUGUGCAAUUUGAUGUGUUGUGUAAGUAUGCAGGAAGAGAAGUGCAGCAAACCAGAAGCUGGAAAGGUUGAGACAUACCUGGCGGACAGAUUGGCGAACCGUCAAACCUUUGAUGGAUCGCCACUGGAACCGUCAGAAGGAAAGCAAAUAUCUGAAGUACUAGAGUGAGGCUGACGGAGCAUUCGGCGAAUCAUCGCAUCCUUGAUGGACCAUCGGGUCUACCGUCUCACCAAAGCAGAAGGACCAUAGUACUGCUAAGCUGCGGUGGAUAACCUAAUGGGUUGUCGGGUCGACCGUCGUAUUAACCCUUAAUAUGAAGGGUCGGGUCGGGAAAAAUCCGAUUCUUAAUAAAUUGCCCUUAUCCGACCCAAAAGGUUUUAAUUUGAUAAAAGAAAAAGCAGUUAUAAACAUUGCCACCCCUUCAAAUUGUAAAACUGAUUAAAUUCCUUCCUAUUCACUGAAUCAAGGAUCAGUUAUUUCCUAAGACUCUUCUUCUCUCCCAUUCUACCCUAUUUAAACAACCCUCUUUUUCUCUUGUUCUCACCACAAAGUAAGUUGAGCCUUAGUAAGUUGGUAGCCAUAGUUAAGUAUGAAGUUUGCAAGUCAGAGUAGUGAAGUUACUGCAGAAUCAAGGUAUGAUCUCAACCUUACUUUUGCCUUCCAAGUUAUUAAACAUGAAGCAUGUAUGAUACUAAUUUAAGGAAAGAAAUUUCAUCUUGUUUGCUUUGUUGUGAGGUUAAUUUUGAGUAGAACUUUAGUUUAUACUGCCCUGGGUGAAGUCUAAGUAACCUAUAAAUCAAAUUUGGCAAAAAUGGUGCGUAAAUAUUGGAGAAAAUCCUUAAGUAUACGCUUAAUAAAAUCAUGAACGCCAGGCGUUCGAUAAAAUGCCUAUGUGAAAAUUGAUGCUGAAAAAUAAAGCGAACGGUCAACUUGACGGACCGUCCGGUCGACUGUCGCAAAGUUAUAUACUCUGAUAGUCACUCGUUCAACCAUGAUGGUACACCUGACAGACGGUUGGACUUCUGACGGACUGUCUAUUUAACCAUUGCAAGGCUAAUUGAUAGAGGACCCAUUGGUUUAAAGCUUGACGAUGAGGGAAACGGACCAUCAAAGAUUAAACAGACCCUCCGUGAAGCAAUUUCUUCACUGUUUUGACUGAUUUUGAAUCGCAAACUGAUUAUUUAUCCCUUUUUCAGGUAAUAUGGCUUAAAAACUUCCCCUAACAAGAGACGAUGGUAGAGCUCAAUGGGGCAGAGGCAAGCCAGCAAGGAGUGAGGAGGCGCCUACCUUCAACACUUGGUAGUGAGAUAGGGUACUCCCAAUACUCUCCCAGUCUGAGAAGGAGGGUAAAAGUAACAGCAGCAUACUAGUUCCACUCCCAAUAAGGAAAGGGUAGAUACCUUUAACCCUGACCAAGUCGAGGCUUUGGAACAAGAGGAUAUAAAUGUCAUAAGGCAUAAGGACCCGUAAGUUUGGGAAUUAAUUCAAUAACAAGUGGAAGGAGCAUGUAAGAAUUUCCUGUAUGGGUUGAAACCUACAUCUAGCAGACCAAUAAGAAGGCCCAUCCACGAAGAGUUUCAGAUUAUUAUUACUGAGCUGCACGAGUACCUUAAGUUGGAGCAGAGAUUCAACAAAUAUCAGUUGUCUUGGAUGAGUGUCCCACCUGGUACAUACCAACCAAACCUUUUUUGUGAAUUAUUUGCAAACUAUUUGGUGUUAUUGUAAAAAAAAUGCCCCAAGGGUACGAAGAUUUCUGAAUUAGAAAAUCGGGAUGUGGUUCCGGUGCAUGGAGUUAACAUAGACAUUUCAAAACGCACCUUGAAUCAGUUCCUGUUUGGUCCUGAGUAUGAGAUACCUAGUGCGAUCCCAGAUCUGGAGCACCGCAUGUUCAUUACAACUCAAUAAACACCCUGGCUGGCCCGAGUAUUGACAGAUAAUAAAAAUCCAGCGUGGCUGCAUAACCCUCAUGAGCGGAUAGCAAAGUCGUCCCUAAGCUUUAGAGCAAAAUUUUGGUGGGCCAUUGUCAGGUUAAGACUGAUGCCAACAGGUGGUGAGGCCAAUUUAGAGAUUCAGAGAGUUGUGAUGGUUGUUGCUUUGAUUGAGGGGCUAAAGAUAGAUUUUGGCCAUACUAUUGCAGACGAGAUGUUUGCCCGGGCAUAUAAGACAUCCAAUGCUCUACCAUUUCCAUGCCUUAUUACAAAGUUGUGCAGGCGGGCAAAUGUCCCCUUGAUUAGUGAAGUUCAUAAUGAGGUCCGUGCGAGUUACCGAUAGGAUAUUGAGAAGAUGAAAGAUGAUUCAAAGUACGAAAUGUGAUUCAACAAGCCUCCCGCUUAUCAGACUUAGUCAGCUCUAGCUCCCGGGGCUUCGGAUGUCCCCUCAGGUAUACCAUUGUCUAUCCCUACCUAUGAACUACUGGAUUUUAUACCACAUACAACUUCUACAUGGUCAGCCUCCAUGCCACCAAUGGGAGAGACUGCCAAUUCUGCAUCUGUCCCUCCAUAAUAUUUGAAGUACAAGUUGACACAAAAAUUUUGCUAAGUUUGUAAAAUAAUAGAAAAAGUUCCAGAAGCAGCUUGACACAUGGGCUAUGCAAUUCAAUCCUUUUGUUAACCGCAUUGUAGUUGAAACAAUCCAUUCUUUUCAAAACAUUCAAACAAGGAGGGACCAUAUGGAGGAAUGUGUCAACAAAAGGCUGAAUGUGCUGUCUAUUCCAUAUUUUGCUAAGUUGAUGGCAGAAUUCAGGCAAGCGCAGACAGACAUAGCAGAUCUAAAAAAGGCAACAACCACAGCAGCCCAUUUUUGACCUUUCUUUGAUUAUCAGUGAUGAGGAUGAGGGCAUCAUAGACUUGAUGGGGAUGUCGCUCACAGACAAGGGUAAGUAGGUUGAUGAUAGUGAUGACCAUAAACCUGCUAAAAGAAGGAGGCGAGAAGCAAUGAAAUAGGAAGAAAGAGAAGCCAGGGAUAUGAAGAAAGCUGUAAAGAGGUCAAGAAGAGAUGAAGCAAAGAGACAGAAGAAGGUUGCAGAUAAAGCUGCAAGUAUUUCUACUAGUUCUGCCCCAUCUAGGGGCCCCACUCCAGACCCGAAUCAUGUUGACAUACCUCCGAUUCUGGAGGGUGAAAUUGUGAUCCCCCUUACCACCAUAGGGGUCAACGUUGUUGUAGGUGAGGCCAAAGAAGCCUCACCAUAUUUGACUGAUGCCUCGUCUAAAUAAGAGGCUUUACAAGUAUUUUCCUCCCUUGUAUUUUACUUUUAUGCAUUGACGACAAUGCAUUUAUUUUUAAUGGGGGUGGGUAUACUUGUACCACGAGGUUUUUUGUUCCUGCGUUCUUUUUCUCCCAUGUGCUAUCUAGUAGAACCAACAUAUCUAGGUUGCAUUUUAUUUUUGUAAGUAGUUGUGAUGUAAAUAUCUAUUGUUAAUGUUAUUUAUGAAGUGUCUUUCAUUUAGUACCUUUUUAUAUAUAUGUAUGAUGAAUGAAUGUGGCAUAAGACUAUGAGCAUGUUUGUAUAACUAUUUCUUCUUGUCAUUUAGUAUGUGUUGCACAACUGUUGGUGAUUUUGUAAUUGGCAUUGAGAUGUAAAGUGUUCAUGACCAUGUGAUGUAAAUCCCAAGAGUUGGUAGAAUAAGUUUAACUCAUAUGCCUAUGUGUGCGAGCAUUUGUUUUAGUUCUUGCAUAGUGAUACACCUAGAACUUGCCCAGUUUAUUAAUGUUAUUUUGUGCUUGAUUCAAUAAGAUAGGAUAGUGGUCCUCCUUGUACUUUUAGUCUACUUAGCCGAAAUAAAUGACCCACCAAAAAGAUUUUUCCAUUUUUAAACCCUUUUUGAGCUUAUGUUGGUUUUUCUUCAUUCUCAAUAACUCUAAUUAACUCUCUUUAGGUUGUUAGCACCUAGCCUUGGCCCUGGUUCAAUAUUGCACAUUGUGUACCUUAACUUAGGCAAAACACCUAAGUUGAGGGUGGUUACUGUCAGGAUGUUAGCAACUUAACGAAAAAGUGAUGUAGAGAUAAAAUAAAGUAUUUGGCCCUGAUCUAUUUAAGAUAUUGUGCACCUUAACUGACUGCAUCAGCAUAAGUUGAGGGUGGUUGAUGCUUAUAAAAAUGUGGGUUUAAGGUGAAGUGUGAAUGAAUAAUAGAGAUUGUAAAAGAGCUGGAAAAACAUUAGUCUUUGUGAGUAUAAUUCAAGGGCAAAGAGAGUAAAGUCUGAACUUUUAGUCAGUUUUCCCAAAAAUUUGUCCUCACCUAGCCCUGUAACCUCAUUAUAAUCCUAAAAAAGACCUGUUUGAUCUUUGCGAAUCAACCAUAUGGGGGCAUUAGAUGAUAAGGGCAAACCUAUGGGUAUGUAUGCUAUGAUUGUAACUUCUUUGAUGAAUGCAAGAGUCAUGAUUUUCGUUCAAAAUAUACACGAACAAUGAGUGGUGGACUUUGUUGAUUGUGAGGGCAACUUGAGUUACGCUUAGUUUUGCUGAUAUCUAUAGGAUAUUGUAUCCAUGUUUGUGUUUUUGCUGAAUUAUAAAUAAUGUCGAUUGUAGAUCCUGAUGUGUUGAGCCUAUAUGAGUGAGAUGACAGUUGAGUAGUUGUGUGAAAUUUAGUUCAAAAUUUGAUUGCCCAUCAUUGUAUUUUUCAUUUAUCCGAUUUGGAGCUGAGUUACUUGGGGACAAGCAAUUGUCUUAAGUUGAGGGUGUUGAUGUUCGACCUUUGACGAAAUAUUUUAUAUCCUUUUAAAGGGAUAAUUGUACGUUUUCAAGCAACUGAUGUUGUAUUUAAUACUGACUUUUAGUGUUUUCAGGUCAAGGAUUUUCUGAAGAAGAAACUUGGCAAAGUAGCAGAAAAAGGCCACCGAUGGUCAAACUGACGGACCGCCAGGAUGACCAUCAGAGUUACACAGAGAGGACCAAGUCUACGAUGGUCCAAGUGAUGGACCGUUGGACCUCUAAUGGACCGUCAACUUGGCCGUCAGGCUGGAAUAGUGAAUUCCAUUUUAGAGGCCAAGCGACGGACCGUCAGGACAACAAUGGCCCAUUAACUGAACCGUCACUUCUCAACCAGAAAGUGGCAAAGUGGGACCUUCAGCAACGAUCCACGUGAUGUACCAUCAGGCCAUCGACGGGCCGUCAAUGAGAUCGUCAACCUUGACACGGCUAUAUUGGAUUCAAAGUUCAAAUCCUUAGUACCUGGGAACAUAUAAAUACCCAGUUUAGGUUUUAUUUAGGGAUCUUUUAUCAUAUUUCCAUUAAGAAAACCUAUUGUGCAUAGUAUUCUCUGAGAAUUGAGCUAUAGUUACAAAUCUAAUCAUUUUUAUUCAUAUUCUCAUUGAAGAUUCAAGAACAAUUCUUGUAUUUUCAUAAGUAAUUCUCUGAAUUCAUUUAUGACAUACACAAUGAUAUCCUCUUCUUCUUAUUCUUCUCUUGAGAUGUGUGGCUAAUCUCCCAUAACUAAAGUUAUAGGAGCCUUGAUGUGAAUAGUUGAUUAGGGUUGUGAAACACUUAAUUUCCACCUGUAAUUAAGAUUGUAUAAACCCUUCUUCGGAUUAAUGACCUUUCCUGGCUGCAAACUUGAUGGGUGAGCCCAAGAACAUCACUUGUCUGAGAGGAAAGGUGUAUGUUGGGAAAAAGAGUUUACAUGAAAUCUAAGAGUCUUAACCUUUGGGUUAAGGGUUAAUUCCUUAACAAGGACUAACCCACAUGAGAGACUAAUUAAAUAAAUCAGUAUAUUCUUGUAGUUCGAGAGAAUUAAAGGGUGAACCAUCCAUUUAGGUUGAGAAACUAAUGGGUAUAGAAUUCAAUAUCUCUUACAAUUAAAUUUAUCAAUUGGAUUAAAGUAACUCACAACUCCAACUGGUUAAACAUCUUGGUGAACAUAAUUAUAGUCUGUCUGUUCUCAUUAAAUUAAUACUUACAAGAAAACUCUCUAGUUGAAAUAUAUUUUGAUGCAAUCAUUUAGAUACUACUGAUAAGUUAUAAACCCCCCUUUAAUUAGGAACCUUUGAUCAACAGUCCAUUAACAACCAUAACACUUAGUUUGCACGAGUAUUCCCUGUGGGAUUUGACCCCAACCUAGUUGGGUCCUAUAUUUGACAGCGACCGCUUACACUUUUUGACAAGAGUUGUAAUUUGGGCGUAUCACCACUACAGGUACAUACACUGCCAUGACUUAUAAAAAAAGUGGUACAAGCCUAUUUAUGAUUUGUUGUUAUUACAAGUGGUUCUCUUGUACCUGGGUAUCUUGCAUAGUGAACACUUAUUCCUCCUCUUGGUCUUGAAAGCCUCGCCCAUGCCCUUUACGUGUUUCCUUUUCUUUAUUCCGGGCUUGGUGUCAACAAGGGGUGGAAUAAUGUACACGUCUAGUAAUUCCUAUGGCAUACACCAUUCGUACUCUAAAGGGACAACAUUAAUUGAUUUUGAAUACAUAAGGAGGUACUUUUUGACUUUAUACACGGGCGAAGAGUACUCGUUGAUGCUCAAACCAUAAUUAUCUCUAUACUUCGAUCACAAAGAAGCCAUCACGUGGGCACAUAAAAUUUGAUCAAGUCAUACUUCCUCCAAGAACAUGACUUUUUCAGUAGGUUGACUUUAGCUGUCGAACCCCUAUCGAAUACGGUGAAUCGGUUGUCUUCCCCAUUUACGUUCUCCAUAUACAAGGAGUCUCCCUCGCUCAUAUUAUUCCUUGCGAUCUUAUCGGUGGCAGGCACAAAUAGGUUAUCCUUAUAGUUGAGGACAUAUGCAUGCCUCUCCCUGAAUUUCUCAAUAAACCUCUUAGCAAUUGAAUUGAAUAUAGAUGCCACGGGGUACUCCCUUUUGGCUAAAAACAUAGUUGUCAUGACCCGAGCUGAGACCCUGACCGCGAUAGGUAUAUCGAAUCACGAAGGCUGGAGAGACUCCUUAGCAUACUAUCAUAUGUGUAAUUCAUACAUAAAUCAAAGUGCAAAAGAUAUAAUAAUAUUUAAUGAAAACUUAUUGUAAUACCCCAUACUUUUUUCUAGCUCAGUUUAGCUCCUAGAAUGUCAAAGGUUGGAUUUAAAAAUGAAUAACUCUUGAUACAUGUAUAAUUUUCCAGUUCUAGACCCACCAGUGUGUAGGUAAUUGGCUCAGCUUUCCAGUGAUACCAAUUUCGCCUUAAUCCGAUACUCGAUUGAGAAGUUAUGGUGUUUUUAGUAAAAUAGUAUGGCAUUUUGACAAGCACCGCAUCGCGGUGAAAGCCAGAUUCGCAUUUGUCAAUUUCCAGUAGAGCACCAUGAUUAGCCCACAUCGCGAUGAAUUUUCAGUUCCUAUUUGUCCCAUUCUAGUAACUCACCGUGAUCUACUUGUAUCGCGUCAAAUUUCCCAAAAGGACAGUCACCGCAUCGCGGUGAAGUGCAAAAUGACACUCGUCCUUUUUCCAGUAGCCCGACCCAAUUUUACCGUAUUGCGCCAUCAUCCAAAAUGGCAAUGAUCCUUUAUCCAGUGAGCCACCGCGAUAGCCCCGCAUCGCAGUGGGAGCCAAAGUUGGAAUUUCCAGUUUUCGAGUAAAAUUUUAAAAGGGCAAUCUAGUCUUUUCUCAAGCCCCCAAUUCGUGAAUAACACUGAAUUAAACCUAUUCUAAGCAUUAUAUGCUUAUUUUUCAUCAACUUUCUCUCAAAUAAACCCUAGAACAUUAAACCUUCAUCUCCAAGAAAUUCAAAUUCCACCAUUGAUUUCCCAAGAUAACUCAAGAUUAAGAAUUUUCAAUACAAGAUAAUCAAGAAUUCAUUUUCAAGAGCACAAAUAGAAAUCCAAAAUGAAGUGUUCUCAUUAAUUGCAUCAAUUAAAGUAUGUGGGGUUUAUGAACAAGGAUACUCCUUUCAUCCUUGUGCCUAAAAUUUAUUUUUAAUUACAAAAUCACAUGAAUUUACAUGAGUUUUAAGUUAGGGUUCAUACCCAAUAUUUUUAUUUGCAAGAUUAUGAGAUUUCAAGUGACUUUGGCAUUGAAUUCAUGUCCACUAGUGUAUUUUCAUGAGUAUUGCGGUAAAUUCUUGAUUUUUGAUUGAAUUAUCAAUAUUUACAUUAUCAAGCAUGAAAUUAUGUUUUGACAUGAAUUUGAUGCAUGGGUUGAUGAGCCCUAGUAUAUAUGUUGAUUUUUCAAGAAGAUUAUGCUUUAAGCAUUCUAUGACUAACUAUUUUUCAAAAUUUUAAUAAAGAUUUGAUCUUUUGAUCUCAGCUUAGACAUGGAAUUCACUUUACAGAUUCAGUUAUAGUUUAAAUUAACAUAGAUGCAGUUGGUUUUUGUUAAAAACCAUUAACUAGUUUUUUAAAGUGGAUUUCCAACAGAAUGAGCAUACAAAUUAAAAAGAGUAGUAUUUAGCACCGAGUUGGGUAUGUUCACAUGCCCCAGAACUACGAGCCAACAUAGGUUCAGAUUAUAAGAUUAUUUCCAUUUCUAUAUGGAUGACAGAUACAGAUGUGAUCACUUAGAUUAGGUUAUACUCCUUGGCAAGAGUAUGACACCUCCCCGCAACGUGAGGUUUUCUCCUUAGGGAAACUAGACAUUGGAUACUAUGAUAGCUCACAUAGUGUAUGUCGAUUAGAAGAACCUCCCUAAUAGUAAAGACUUUCAGAAUAGUUUUAGAGUAUUUCCCUACUAGUAAAACCUUACAGAACAGAAUAAUUUUAAUGGGACAGUUUUUAGAAACUAAGUGUAAAGGCUCACAAUUUUACUCAGAUAUUUCUUUACAUAUGGCUUUAGCUAUGAGAUUUCAAAUUUCAAUUUUACAGAUACAGAAGUGAGUCCUUUUUACACUUAAGAAGCAUGAUUUACAAACAGAAUACUACCACAGUUUUAGAACUAAAUGUUAUGACUCACUAGAUUUAUACAACAUGUGUUGCUAUUCAUGAUUUGAUUUAUAGUUUUCAGCUAUUCCAGCUUAUGUGAGUCAUCUAAAUUUAGCAUGCAUUGUUUUACCAAUUAUGAUGACGUUGAGACUCUAUUUUACUUAUGCAUUCACCCUCAUAUACUCAGUACAAUCCAAAGUAUUCAUCCACAUAUAUGUUUAUGUUCUACAUUAUCUCAUAAUGUAGGUUCAGGUGCUCAGUUCCAGCAGCGUGAGUGACUCCAAGCAUCUCCAUCUACAUCCCAACAGUUGGUGACUCCUCAUAGUUUGGGGAUUUAGUUAUUUAGAUUUCCAGCUUAGUAGUAUAGAUGUUUUUUUCAAAAAAUUUUAGACAGUUCGAGUCAGCUAGGGGAUUGUCCCAGUGACUCUCUAGUAUUAGUAGUAGAGGCUUGUCAGACUGCUAGCUUUGAUUCAGAUUUUCCUUAUUGAUUUAUCAGACUCUUGAGUCUAGUGAUUUCAUAUAUUAUAUUCAGAUAAAUUCAGUUUAUCUCAGAUAGAUUUCUGUAUUUUAUCUUUGAUCAUAUAUCUAUAUUUUCUCUAUUAUGAGCUUCAGAUUUAGUAGAAGGCAGACAAGGUUAGUGUAACGAUCCGAGACUACCCCAUAGUCGUUACACGAUGCUUACAGUCCCGAGGGACCAUAAUCUAACCCAUGAGCUGGUACCUGCGGUGAGCACUAGAUAAUAUAAUCAUGAAUGCAGAAGGAUAGUUGAUAUGCCAUAAGUUUUUAAUAAUGAAAUAACUACUGAAUUAUGAAUCUGAUAGAAAUACUGAAAUCUGAAUCGUAUAAAUAGCUAACUAUAGUGUCUAAAAAUCCUAUAAGACUGACUGACUGAGAGUUGAUGGGACAUGCCCAAAUUAACUCCAACUAACUAAUUAAACUGAAAUCAAGAAGUAAAUACUCUGUCCUUGGAUGAUGAGGACUCACCGCUGCUAUAGUACUGUUGAUAAUCUGAGAAUCUGGGUACGAUUCAGGAACUGAGCGUCAGCACCUAUGAUAUGACACACCAUAGCGUAAAAGAAAAGUAUGUGAUCAGUACUUUGAAUGCACUGGUAUUAUAAAUAAGGUAGGCUAAUAUGCAAAGUUUCAUGAAUAGGAGUAAUGAUCUAUCUGAGUAUACAUGUAAAGCAUGGAAUAUUGAAUAGAGAACAUGAAAUUUGUAGGUAAUGAAUAUGCAUAAAAGUCUGUAAAAUACUGAAAAUACAUGAGAAUCUGUAGACACUAAAGAUACAUGACCAGGCAUAUAACAUGGACUGAGUAAAAUCUAUAUUCUGAAAUACUGAAAAAUAUACUGAUAUCUGUAUGCCUUGAUCAAACAACACUAAGACUGAAUAACUGAACUGGGACUGUAACUGAAAUUAUAUCUGAGACUGUGGGAGGUAUUAUCUAACCGACAUUCUCCAAUUUGAGCUAAUCAGGGUCCAACCUAUAACCCUAGUUAUAAGGGUGUUAAUACCAUGCCAUGGGUACUAACGCUGGCUAUGUGGAUCCACUAAACUGAUAUCAUGUCCAAAGGAUUAAGGUUGCUAAGCCUGAACUGAUGGGUGAACCUUGCGAGAUAGUCAAGUCUAAUCUGACGGGUGACUACUCAUAUCCUACGCUGGCUACGUAGUUCUAGAGUAUAGGGACUGCUACAACGACUCUGCCUAUAUGACGGGGAAACUGCCAUCCUUACACUCUCUUGGUGCUAAAUCCUACUCCCAACUGAAAGACACUGAGAUAGUAGACUAUUCUGAGUUGAAUAACUGAUAUUUGACAAUUCUGAUAAGGCUCAUAAUAUAAUCUGAAGACUAUUUAGUAAUGUACUGAGACUAGACUGAUAAAACAGCUAUAGUUUUUGGGUAUUCAAUACCCCCAGGACUCAAAACAACAAUACUGAAAAGACCCUAAAGCUUGAAGGCAAAAACACGAAGGCUAAUAAUAAAUAAAUCACUUUUGUAGGCAUUUUAUCAAACACUUGUAGUUCAUGGUUCAAAACAAUCAUAGGAAUGUUCAAAAACAUAUAGAAAUAGCAUGAAUCCGACAUAAUAGAGCUAAAUCAUGGUUUUGUUCAAUAAAUAAUAAUAUUAAAAUAUGAGGAAUUAAAUAAUAACAAUAAUUUCAUGGUAACAUGGUAUAAAAUCAAUAGUACAUGGAGAUUCAUGGAUGAAAUCAUAAUUUAAAAUCAAAUAAACUUGAAAAAGAGAUAGAUUUAUAAUUAAAACGGAUACUUGGACUACAUGGAUGAAAAGGGAUCCAUGGAUAAACAUCUAACAUACCUGGGUUACUAAAAUUAGAAGUAUUGAUGGAGAGUUCUUGAGAAAUUGCCUUGAUUUUUGAGGGCUAGGGUUUGUUGUUCUUUAAAAGCGGAAUAUUAAUUUGAGAGAAAGUGAAUAAUGAUGAGUAUUUAGGUCAAUUAGGGGCUAAAUUUCAUGUUUAGGAUGAGUUUAGGGCUUAGUAAAAAGACACAAAUACCCUUAAACACAUUUAAAAAUGGAAGCUGAAAACUGAAAAAGCUAAAUUAUGGCCUUGGAGUGACGCACCACUAUCGCGCCAAGCCACUGGAAUUUGGACAAUUGGGACCUGGACAAACACCGUGAUGCAGUGCCAUCGUGGUAAAGCUUUGGAUGCCAUUUUGGCCAGCUCUACGACGCUCCAUGAUCAUGUACCUUCACUGGAAAUUGACAAACGGGAAAUUGGCCUGCUCCGCGAUGCGCCAUGAUCGUGGAGUAACACUGGAAAUUGACAAUUGUCAUUUGGGCUGCCUACGCGAUGCACUAAGGGUUAAAAUGAUGGUGCUUUACGACUGAAACUUUAAAUCGCCAUAACUUCUUACCAGGUUAUUGAAUUUUGGCAAAUUUUAUAUCGUUGGAAAGCUAAUUUAAUUUUUCACGCAAUGGUAGGCUCUAAACUAAAAAAUAAUGAUUGUUUCAAAAAUUUUAUAUGUGAAUACUUAAGUAUAGGGACUUAAAGUACACUAGAAAAAUGCGGGGUGUUACAGUUAGCUUAAGGCUACUCGUAGUCUUGAGCAUUGUGUGACAUCUCAGGGCCUGCUUUUGGGGCGUUACACUUAUAAACCAAAGUGUGUCAAUGAAGUUGUGACCAUACAAUACUUAAAAUACCGUCUACGUAGCCUCUACUGAGAACUAACUAUCUCAAUCGGGACAAUGCCCCUGGCUGGACCAUAAACUGAAUUAGAUAAACAUAUGAAUAACAUCCCUUCUGAAAGAUAAUGGCUCACCAACUCUGUCAAAUCCAUAGAUUCUACUAAUGUGAUGGACCAUAGGACUAUACCUCGGAUCCUGUAAUAUGGGGGAGGGGUGUCAAUAUUUGGAGAGCAUUGGUAUGUAGAACUAACCCAAAAAUAACAUAUAUUUCGUAUAACAUAAUGAGAGCAUUGUGAAAACAAUUUAGCAUCAUAUAUAUAUAUAUAUAUAUAUAUAUAUAUAUAUAUAACACAUGGGCAUAAUUAAUGAGCUUCAAAAUAAUUUUGUAAAUCAUGGACUCAACUCUUUGCUUUAGUUUUGAGCUAAAUUGCACACCCUACAUUUCUAAAAUUCCACAGACUAUGUGAAAUUCACCCUUGACUCGACGAUCAAGCCCCUAAUCCAAGUUUUCCACAAGGAUUGGAGUAUCAGUAAGGGGGACACGCAAGAUCAUAAAGCAGGGUGUCAUAAUCCCCAAUCAAGUCAACAUGUCAUGGUAGUGCAUAAGAUCACAAACCAGGGCUCCUAACUAUAGUCUCAAAUUGGGACGACAUGAAUUAAAAGUACAUAAGAUCACAAAGCAGUGUACUAUAUCCCGCAUCGGUAAAACAUGAUUUUCAGUGGUGAGUCUUUUAACUCAUACUUUCUUCGGUUAACCAUCUAACUCUCUUUAAGCCCAAUUUUAGUCUCUGAAAGUCAUGAUUCAUGCUCAACAUACUCAUUUCUUUCAUAUUAAGGGCAUUUCAUAAUAGGUAUCGUCAUACCUAGACUUGCAAGCUUUAUCUUAUCAAAUCAUGUCUGUAGCCCUUUUUAUUCAAAGCAUGUUAUUGACCAUCCAAAAGAUUUAAACAUCAUGAGAGAGUUUUUAUAUCAAAUAUCAUACUAACUUGUACAAAACAUUUUUUUGUCAGUACUUUAACAUGUGGUGGUCAAUUCUUACAUAAAUAACAUGCAACUUCUUCAUUAGGUCACAAAAGGCUCUAGCAUGAGAAGUACCUCUUUGAAAACGUGCAAAACAACCAUGCAUAAUAGUUAAGGGGGAAUUUAAAACUUGAGAAGUAUAAUCAUUCAUAAAGAGCCCCAAACAUUAGUUAUACGUAAAUCUCAUGAUCAAAUACAGGACUUAUAAUUCAUGAUCUACCCAUUUCACAAUGUAUAACCUGUUAAGACAAUAAGUUUCAUGGGAGGGGGUUUCAUGAAUCAUGGUAUUAAAUCACUUUUCGAAACUCAUAACAUAUGUACGGAUUACCACAAUUCAAAUUAAUGGAAAAAAACCCUAUUAAUUUCAUAAUUUCAUCAAACAUGGGUUCAUGAUGCAUCCUCUUCAAAUGGUUUCCAAAACCCAUUACAUAUACAUACAUACAUACAUAUAUAUAUAUAUAUCCUUAAAGGUUGUUAAAAACAUAAAAUUUGUGCCCGUGAGAGUUAGGAUAGUCCCACAUACCUUGAAAUCAAAGAGAACGUUGAAAAAAUUGACCCUUGAAGCUUAAAAUCCUCAACCCUAGGUAGUUUCUCUUCUCUUGCUUAAGGAUAGAUGAUCUGGGGAUUUUGAGAAGUGAUAUAACGUGUUUAAUAGCCUUAAUUUCAUCCAUAAAGGAUUAGAAAUGGUUUGGGAGGGUGAAAAAAAACCCUUUGCCAUUAAAAUAACUCAAAACGGAACACUAUUUGAUGUUCAAGAAAGACUUGGCAGCGCAAUGCCAAAGAAAACCACAAGGUUUGCAGCGCAAGGCCAAAGCGAAGGUGGAACUUUGCCUCGCGACCCAAACGCAUACCCUGUACAGUGUCUUACUAAAACACCCAUAACUUUUAACUCCUAACUUGAAUUGACAAAAAGUCAGUUGCAUUGGAAAAAAGACUAGAAGAGUUUUAAUUUGAUAUAUUAUGGGCCACAUAAGCCCUUAUAUUCUAGGAGUAAUGGUCACUGGAAGUUGACCCAAGAAAAAUUAUAUACCAAAAUUCAAUGGAUAGGAAAGUGCUCAACUUAACUCUUAGCUAGGCGAUAUUUAAGACUUCAAUUCAUCUCCGAAGAUGUUACCACACUAAAGAAUUAUUAUUCAUACUUAUUUCUAGGUAGAAACCAUUGGGUUCGGGUCUUUAUACAUAGGAACGAUGAUUCAAACCACUACAAAAAGAUAAAGAUACGACAACAUUUAUUUGGCGACAUUUGAAAUAAAUAUCAGAAAAUGAAGAAUUUCUUGACAUUUAUGAACAAUUGUCGUAAAAUAAUGACAUUUGAUAUCAAAUGUCAUAAAAACGACGACAUUUGAUAAAAAAUGUCAAUAAAAUAAGGACAUUUAUUGCAAAAUGUCAUUGAUUUUAGCGACAUUUAGCAAAAGAGUCAAGAAAAUAGUGACAUUUGAUGCAAACGUUGAAUAUAUUAUGAUGUUUAAUGUAAGUGUCAUUGAUUUCAGUGAUAUUUAGUGAAAAUGAUGCUAAAAUAGUGGCAUUCAAUAUAAACGUCGGAUAUAUUAGAUGUUUAUUAAAAAUGUCAUUUUUAACAACCAUUGACAAAAUUAUCGUUAAAACAUAUAAUUAAUUGCUAAUUACUGAUAUCUACACCUAAUUGUGAAAAUAUUUUUAAGUUAUUCAUCACUAUUUAUCGAAAAAGAUUUUAAUUUCUCUUAGGACUAAACGAUUUAAACCAAAUUUACCGUAUGAUGACAAGUGCCUUAUUUUUUUUUCGUUCAAUAUGCCUCAAACUCUUUAUAGGAUAAGAAAAGCCUACAAUCAUUACAAUACCCGUUAUGCAAAAGAAAAUUUUCUCUUGCUCCUUCAAAGAAGUUGAAAGAUACCAAAAGAUUUAGCUGUGAAUAGUCUAUAUAAUUCAGUCAUUCUACAAUCGCCUCUUCUCAUAUUUUAAUUAUAUAUGAAUGGUAUGUUUUCUUCUCCGUUAUAAGACGUUAUUUUUUUUUGUUUCUUAGAUCCACUAUUUCACUAUAGAUUCAAAGGUUUUUGGGUAUUCCAGUUGAAGCGAGAAGGGUCAAAGCAAGAAGAUCCAAUUGUAGGUUAUGAUUUCAGCUCAAAAUUCAAUUAUUAUAAGUAUCUUAACUAGGCUUUUGAUGGUGCUAUUUAACAGUGAUGAAAGAGAACAACAAUGUUGGAGAAAAUUGCAAAUUGAUAAUUCCAUCCCAGAAUCAAUUCGAACAACAACAACCUCAUCCCCUACAACACAAACCUAUAAUGUUAUGUGUAUUUUCAGAAUUAGCAUUAUUGAAUGAUAAAUAUGAUGUAUUCUCAUAUAUGAAAGUGUCUAAGAAUUGUAAUUACCUUAUUUAUAGUGUGUCCUUGGAUCUAUCUAAAUUUUUGUUUAUCUCAAAUUCUCCAUUUUGAAUGUAUAUAUUGUGCAUUUUAUCUAUAUUAUUGUAUUUAAAAAAAUAUUUUAUAAAAUCAACCACAAGUGAUUGCUUUACAUUAAAAAAUAAAAUUAAAAUAUUAUACAAAAAUCGACCACUUGUGGUAACUUUUCAUUUAAAAAACUAAACAAAUAUUUACAAAAAAUGACCACAAGUGGUCGGUUUUUGAUUAAUAAAUAAGUAAAUAAAAUAUUUUUAAAAAGCGACCACUUUUUAAAAAAAUUAAAUCAAAAAUAUUUUUAAAAAAGCAACCGCUUGUGCUCACUUUUUGAUUAAAAAAAAAGUACAAAGAAAAUUAUUUAUAAAAACCGACCACUUGUGUCGCUUUAUGAUUAAAAAAAUAAAAAAUAAAAUAUUUUGAAAAAGCAACCACUAGUGGUAACAAUAUGCAUACGUUGUGUAUGGGGUAAUUAUAUACUAAUGUAGAUGUUAUGUAUAUACUACAUAUUUAGAACUUGAUAGUCGAUAGUAAGUGUUAUAUAUAUAUAUAUAUAUAUAUAUAUAUAUGUGUGUGUGUGUGUGUGUGUGUUUGCCCGCGUGUGUGCAUCUUGUGUAUUCUGUUGAAUUUUCGUGCGAAAUAUGAGCAAUUAGGGAAUUCACUACUAAAAAAAAUAGUUUUUCCGACCAUAAAAAAUUGACCACAACUUGUGGUGCAAUAAAAGACACCACAUCUUGUGGUCGUAAUAAAAGCGACCACAUGUGGUUGUUUUUUAAAUUUAUUUUACAAAAUAAAUAUAAAAAAGUAAAAGUGUUUAUAUUUUAAAAUUACAAAAUAAUCAUUUCAAGAAUCUUUAUAUUAAUUAUUAUUUCUUUUAAAAAAUAACUUUUUUUAAAAAAGCAACCACUUGUAGUCGCUUUUUGACAUUAAAAAAUGCACCAAAAAAUAAUUUUAAAAAAGUGAACACUAGUGGUCGCUUUUUAUUUUUAAAAUAUAAUUAAAAACUAUUUUUAAAAAGAGAUCACUUGUGGUCUCUUUUAUUUUAAAAAUUAAAUUAAAAAUCUUUUAAAAAGCAACCACAAGUGGUCGCUUUUGGAAUAAAAAAAAAUUAUUUAAGAAACCGACCACUAGUGGUCGCUUUUUUAUUAAAAAAAUGAAAAAAUAAAUUGAGACCACUUGUGGUUGAUUUUCUUUAAAAAUUAAACAAAAAUAUUUAUAUAAAAGAGACCAUUCGUGGCCACUUUUCUAUUUAAAAGAUAGAGAAAGAAAACAUUUUAAAAAAGAGACCACUUAUGGUCGCUUUUUAUUAAAAAAUAAUCGCAAAACAACCACUUGAGAUCACUUUUGAUUAAAAAAUAUAUUUUAAUUAUUAUAUGUAAAAUCAAAUAUAUUAUUUUUUAAAAUUACACUGAUCACACGUAGUUGAUAAGAAAUAUAAUAAUAAUAAAAAUAAAUUAAAAUUCAUACUAAGAAAUAUAUCAGAUAAAAUAAAUAAAUUACGUUAAACAUAAUGUUUAUCAAUUACUGAUGUUUCGAUAUAUAAAAUAAAUAUUUUCCAUUGUAUAUACGUUAAAUUACGUUAAACAUAAUCUUUGUAUAAUGAAUAUGCCUAUAUCAUAUAAUUGUGGUAAUAAUAUUAUGCUAUUGGAGCAAUAAUAGUGUAAUGUACAUAUAUAACCGAUAAUUCAUCAGAAUAUAAUGAAUGUGUUGUAUUAUGAGGUAAUAUACUUUUGGAUGUGAUGUAUAUAGUACGUAUUCAAGAGUUGAUAUAUAUAUAUGAUGUUAUGAUCAAUGAAUGAUGUAGUCAAAAACUGGCAGAAUCUAUCCAAACAUAUUGAAUACGUACCUUGAUUUGAAACGAUCGGAGUAAUAAUAUACUGUAUGUUGAAGUUAUAUUAAUAUAAGUUAAUCAAAUUAAUGAUAAAUCGUCAAAGGAUGUAUAUGAAAUACGUCGCACUAUAUUACGGGGUAAUAUACUAGUGUACGUAUGUGAUGUACAUAGUACGUAUUUAAAACCUGAUAGUCGAUAGUGUGUAUGAGUGUGUAUAUACAUAUAUAUAUAUAUAUAUAUAUGUUAUCCUUGUUCGUCUCCAUUUUUGUGAAAUUAUUCCUCAAGCAAGGCAGUCGAUAAGUCAUCGAAGGGUUUGUGUGAAUAAUGAAAUGGUUAACAUUACUCAUUUUAAACUCUCCCAAGGUGAUAUAAGAUCCUUCUAUAUCGAAAUCUCAAUUGAGAAAAUAAUAGGAAAAUUCCUGGAUCACCCGUGGAGAAGAACCAAAACAGAAUGGUUCCGCCUACUCAAAACUAAGAUGGGAUGCCGUCUACUACUAAAAUUCUGAUUUUUGCAACAGUGGCAUUAUUUUAUGCAAGAAGAAGACUUAGAAAGAACAAAGAAGUUUGGAUCCGAAAAAGUAUGCUUAGGCAGUUCUUUCGUUGAGCACAACAGAAUGAAGAGGAAUUUGUAUCAUUUCAAAUCCCUAUUCUUAUCGAAGAGAAGGAACGAGAAAAACAGAAAUAGUCCUACUCGAACAAGAAGUUCUAUAGUUUACAACUCUUCUUUAUAUAGUAAUUCGACCUAGUGCUCCGCAUCCCCCCAUCAGUUUACUAAAAAGAUCAAAAUAAAAGGAUCGAACUACCUACUCAUUAGUCGGAGGUGAAUCAUAGAACACCAAAAGUUGUGGUAUCUUAUGGACCUAACAUAGGCCACAUACCUUACGACAUAAGAUUGAAAGAUCCAAACCUUCUUCUUCGGAGCGAAAAGGGACGUGGCCAAAAUAUAUAAAGAUCGGCGUAGUCGCUCAUAGGGACAUAUCUAUACGGAUAGAAGAUAGUCUAGGCCGAUUCAUAUAUAUAUAUAUAUAUAUAUAUAUGUGUGUGUGUGUAUGUGUGUGUGUGUGUACACAAACCCACAUAUAUAUAUUAUGUAGUGAAGGUAUAAUAACAUAAGAUAAACUAACCGAUAAUUUAUCUGAGUAUAUGUGAAAUACUUUGUAUUAUUAUGGGAUAGUAAAAUCAUUUAUGUGAUGUAUAUAGUACGUAUUUGGAAGUUGAUAGCCAAUCAAAUAUAUGUAUAUAUAUGUAUAUCUCAUGUAGUGACGUAUGCAGUGAUCAAAAGUUAGAUAGUUUAAUCUAUAUAUCAAAAUAUUUUGAAUAAUACAUUGAUAUUAUACUAUUGAGAAACUAGACUACUUGUGUCAAUGUAGACAAGGUUAUAUUGUUGAAGUGUAAUAACGUAAUCUAAUUAACCGAUAAUUAUUUAUCUAACUAACACGUUGUAUUAUGAGGUAUAUAAUAUCGUAUUUAAAAGCUAAUUAACCAAAAAUUUAUCCUAAUAUAUGAAAUGCAUUUAUAUUAUUUUACGAUUGAGGAAAUAUACUACUCAUGUUAAUGUAAUGAUACAAUAACUAAUUAUCGGAUUUAUAUAUGCAUUGCAUUAAAUUAUUUGGAUGUUACUAUACAUAUUAUACAAUUUAUUAAAAUUUUAAUUUUUAAAUAAAAAUCGAUCACAAGUGGUGGUUUCGAAUGAUAAUUUUUUAAAAAAAUAAAUCGACUGCUUAUUAUGAUUGAUUUUCUAAAAAAUUUGUAAUACCCGAUAAUGACCCGACCCAACCUAAUCUUAAUUGCCCCUUUUUCCUUUGUAAUUAUCCUAGUCUCUCAAUUGAGAAUUCACUUCACUCGCGACUCACCUCACUGAUAACUCACCUCACCGACCACCACACUCACCUCGCCGAUCUGAUAGCAUCGGCGAGGACACAGACAUUAGCUCACUGAUCCGGCAACACCGACGAUGAAAUCGACAUCAGCUCAUCGAUUUGACAACACUGUCAGCGACUUAAGCUGCAGAAUUCUGACUACAAUUCUAUCGUUCCAUCGAUGGAACUUUUCUUCACCAACCUCAGCUCACUGAAAGCUGUUAGGUCAGCGAAUUCACCGAAAAACUACACUGACCUUCAAAUAUUGUACAUAAAUUGACCCUUUCUUUGUUUUUCCUGAUGCAUAAUAAAUUCACCGUAAUUUCGAAUUGAAAUUUACCCCUUAAUUUUUAUGCUAUAAUUGCAUUCAUUUCUAACCCCUUUUUACCCUAAUUUACAUAACUGUAGGUGUCCAUGUGAUACUAAUUGGGCAUAAUUAAGAAAAUUAUAGUCCUAAAGAAGGAAAUAUACUUAACUCAAAUAUACUUAGUUGUGAUUGAUGAAAUGUGACAUUAUUUACAGAGUUUUUUUGAAAUGUUUCCUUUUAAGAGUCUAUUGCCAUCCAUGGCUUGCAUUACUUUAACACCCCGAGUCUGCACCCCGGAUGUCACACGGUGCUUAAGACCCCGAAGAACCAUAAUCUAAUCCAUGACUGGUACCUACUAUUAGCACUGAAUAAUAAUACUGAAAUAAUGUGGAAGUUGGCUGAAAAUGCCAUAAGGUUCAUAAUAUGAAUAAUGACAAAUAUAGAAACUGAUAAUAACAUCUUCCAAACUGAAUACUGUCUGAUUUAGUCUAGUCUAAAAAGCCUCUAACUGAACUAUCUGAAUAAGGAGAUAAUGGGACAAGCCCCCAACUAACUCCAACUGCUAAAAAUACUGAAUCUAUUAUAGUACUUAGAUAAAAGAAUAUCCUCAAUAGAUGAGGACUCACUACUGAAUCUGCUGCUACUGACUGAAUCUGGCUAAGUCCAGUCAGGACCUGAGCGUCCGAACCUUUAAUAUGAGACAUCAUAGCGAGAGAAAUAGGUAUGCGAUCAAUACGUGGGAAUGUAAUGGUAUGCUAGAUGAGGUAAAGCUUAAUACAUGGGUUCAUAUGCAUGAACAGUAACUGACUGAGUGAUAUGAAUAUAACUGAAUGAGAGUACAUAGGUAACUGAAGCUGUUGUAAAAACUGAGUAUGCAAUAUUGUGCAUAUACAUAUAUACUAUAUCUGAGAUUUAUACUAAAACUGAGUACUGAGUUCUGAUAACUGAGUAACUAAUAUCUGAGAUUACUGAUAACUGGUGACUGUUACUAAUGGUCCUAAUUCUGUAGAACUGAACUGAGUUCUAUACUGAAGACUAAAACUGAAACUAUGGGAGGUAAUUAUCUAACCGACAUGCCCCUCUCAAAACUAAUUGGGGUCCAACCUGUAACCCAGUUGGAAGAGUGUCAGUACUGUGCCACGGGUAUAGACACUGGCUAUGUGGAUCCACUGAAAUGUCGUCCCAAAGGACUAAGGGUCACCCUCUACUGGAAGGUUCCCUAAUAAGAAUGGUAUUACCCUCAACUGGCAGGUAAACACCUUAUCAACCUUCAACUGGCAGGUUGAUAUCUCAACCUACGUUGGCUAAGUAGUUCUAGAAUGCAAGGACUGCUAUCUACUAACAAGUAAGCCCCCAUCCUUGGGUUCGCUCGGUGUUGAAUCCUACUCCCAACUGAAUGUCACUGAUUAUUAGAAUGGACUGAACUGGACUGAGUUUCACUGAGUUCUGUAACUAACAGAGUGAUACUGUUUAUGACAUUACUAAAACUAUUCUGUAAAUACUGUAAUUCUAGGUAAAUAGCUAUAUUUUAUAUAUUAAAUACCCCCAGAACUCGAUAGCAUCUACAAUAAAACAUCGCACAAUCUAAAAAGGCACAAUGGAUAAUGACUUAGUCAUAAUUUAUUCAUUGAGACAUUUUGUCAAACACUUGUAAGGCAUGAACUUGUACAUGAAUGGGAACACAUGCUAACAUGUCAUGAUUGCACUAUUCAAUUCACAUAUGCAUUUUAACAAACACUUGGGGAGCAUGAUUAUUUCAUAUAAUAAUAAACAUAUAAAUAUCAUGGCUACAACAAUCAACUUGUAGAUUCAAGGAUUGAACAUGAGAAUCACAUAAUUCAUCACACAUGCUACCUAUAUUUCAUGAAACUUGUAAUUAAUCAUGGAUUAAAACCCAAACAACAUCAUGAACAUGAGUACAAUCAAAUUCAAUCAUGGAAUUCAUAAAAAUCUAAAUAUUGUAUUUUGAAAAAGGAUUCUUGGGAUCCAUGGGUGGUAAGGACCCAUGAAUGAACACCUAACAUACCUGAGAAAUUAACUUCUUGAAGAUUCUUGGUAAUUUUCUUGAGAAUUGAUCUUGAAUUUUAGAUGCUAGGGCUUUAUAUUUGAGAGAGAAUGCUUUUGAUUUGGGGAAAUUGAAUAAUAAUGACUUAAUCAACUUUUGAGGGAUUAAUUCACGUGCUUUAGAUUAAAUAAGGUGAAGAAAAAAGACUUAAAAGUCCCUGGGAAAAUUUAAAACUCAAAAUUGGAAACUGAAAUCCCAAUUUUUCAUGCCGGUGCAACGCAGUGCAAUCAUGUUAGGUCACUGGAUAAGGGACAAUUCCAAUUUUGUCCAACGGCAUGACGCGGUGCUAUCGCAUUGUGCCACUGGAAAAAGACCAUCCCGAACUGUAACUUCACCGCGACGCGGCACCCUCGCGGUGACUCACUGAACGUGAAUUUAGCCAUUGGCAGGACACGGUGCUCUCACGGUGACACACUGAAAAAUGCCAAUUAGGAACUAAGGCUUCACCGCGAUGUGCUGGAAUCACGGAGUUUCACUGAAAACUGACAAUUUUCAUUUGGCCUGUCAGUGCGAUGCGUUGAUGCUUAGUUUGGCACACUAUUUUACUAAAAGUGCCAUAACUUCUCACCCAGCUAUCAGAUUUGGGAGAAUUUUAUAUCGUUGAAAAGCUGACUAAAUUUUCUACAAGUCGGUGAGUCUUAAAAUGGGAAAUUCCACCUAUAUUAAAGGUUAUAAAUCAGAAUUUUUGUGUACUGAAAGCUAAACUGAGCUAAAAAAAAUACGAGGUAUUACAAUUACUGACAUAGUGUUGCUUUUUGCAAGAAUCCGAAUUCAAAAAUGAAUUGCUUUGUUAUUUUUCGGUGACCACUUGUCUCUUUCUUUUUAAUUUAGGCCAAGCAAAGGUAAGUUGAUUUCUCUCUAUUUUUUUAUAAUGAAGUCUUUAAAUGUAGUGUUAAGGUGGGAUUGUUCUCUGUAGAAGGCUUUGAAAGCCAUAGAAAUUUUGUGAUAAUUAUAUGGUGUGGGAGGGACAUGAUUAUAGAUCUUUAAAUGUUACUUAAAAUGUGAACUUUUGUUUUGAAUUUAGUAAAGUGUGGUCACUUGAGAAGUGACUUGAAAAUGUUUAGGUGUAGGUACUUGAAAGGUGAACUUGGGUUUUGAAUUUAGUUAAGUUUGGUAACUUGUGAAGUGAAUUAGUGAGUUAAAAUGUUUAGUUUUAGUUACUUGAAAUGUGAACUUUUAUUUUGACUUUAGUAAAGUGUGGUCACUUUACUAAAUAUAUAUUGAAUUUUAUACAUAUAUAUAUAUAUAUAUAUAUAUAUACAUGUAGUCGGUUUAAAAAAGCUACCACUGUUUUUUUAUCACACCUUGUGAUUGCUUUUGUGGUCGCAAAAACAUAAAAAGUGACCACAUGUGGUCGGUUUUUGUGGUCGGUUUUCCUGUUUUUACUAGUAAUGGAAAUGCUACUUGUGUAGGUAAAGCGUUUGGUAAAAUGUCAAUUAAAAAAAUUAUGCCUACUGCUUUGGGAGGUUUCUCAUUACUAUGUGUAUCAACCGUAAUUUCAACAACAUAAUCUACUACAAAUAAUUUGUGUGUAUAUAGUAAUGAUAGACUAGGAAACAGUAAAUUUUGAGGUGAUUUUGUGCAUUUUCAGCACAUGUUUACAAUAGCAGCUAAAAGUGUUCGGUUGUCAUGAUUAUAUGGUGCGAGAGUGACAUGUGACACAUCUACUUAUUUGCUUUAUUAAAUCCGUUGAAUUGUUUAACUUAUAGUAUAAAUGAAAGUUUAAUAAUUUUAUUUUGAAUUGUGAUGUAUCUAAUGUGAAAUAUGAAUUAGUUACUUGAAAGUGGUUAGGUAUAGUGUUUUGAAAUGUGAAUUAAUUACUUUAAACUGUGAACUUGUAUUUUGAUGUCGUUUAGUAACUUGAAAUAUCAAAAUAUAGACUUAAAAAUGGUUUAGUGUAGUCACUUGAAAUGUGUAUUAGUUACUUGAAAAUGGUUAAGUGUAUUGACUUGAAAUAUGAAUUAGUUACUUGAAAAUGGUUAAGUGAAGUUACUUGAAAUGUGAAUUAAUUACUUGAAAAUGGUCAAGUAUAGUCACUUGAAAUGUGUACUAGUGACCUGAAAAUGAUCAAGUGUAGUCACUUGAAAUAUGGAAAUAGUGACUUGAAAAUGAUCAAGUGUAGUCACUUGAAAUGUGUAUUAAUGACUUGAAAAUGGUUAAGUGUAUUGACUUGAAAUAUGAAUUAGUUAUUUGAAAAUGGUUAAUUGUAGUUACUUGAAAUGCGAAUUAGUUACUCGAGAAAGGUUAAGUGUAGUCACUUGAAAUGUGUACUAGUGACUUGAAAAUGAUUUAGUGUAGUCACUUGAAAUUUUUUAUUAGUAACUCGAAAAUGGUUAAGUGUAUUGACUUAAAAUAUGAAUUAGUUACAUGAAAAUGGUUAAGUGUAGUUACUUGAAAUGUGAAUUAGUUACUUGAAAAUGGUCAAGUGUAGUCACUUGAAAUGUGUACUGGUGACUUGAAAAUGAUCAAACGUAGUCACUUGAAAUAUGAAAAUAGUGACUUGAAAAUGAUCAAGUGUAGUCACUUGAAAUAUGUAUUAGUGACUUAAAAAUGGUUAAAUGUAUUGACUUGAAAUAUGAAUUAGUUACUUGAAAAUGGUUAAGUGUAGUUACUUGAAAUGUGAAUCAGCAAGCUUAUCUUGCACAAUGUUUUAAAAACUAUAUUAUCCUCAAAUUUUUUAUGUAAUGUCCAAUAACUAACAUCUCAAAAUCACUCCUUCUGAUAUAUAAAAACUAAAAGAUAAAAAUAUUUUUUAAUAUUUAAUAAUAGGUUGAUUUGAAUAUAAUGCUUGAAAAAGCUACAUUAUGGGAAUUCAAAUCUAUCGAAUCACUCAUACUAUACUAUGAUCUUCUAAUUUCUUUUGUCUUUUCAUAAUUCUAUAUAUCAUCAAUUUAAAUUAUUUAUUUAUAAUAUUAUUUUCUUAGAAAGGAUGAAUGAUAAAAUAAAAUAGGAAAGACAAAAUAAAAUAUGUCACAAUCACAUCAAGUUAAUUGUUACAUAAUAUGAAACUCUUCAUCAUUACAUUACAUGUCAUCGAGGAAUUCAAUUAUAGGAUACACUCUUCUUGUAUAUGAUGGUAUAUUAUAGGGAAAAAGGUGACAAAAAUAUUUAUAUUUUGGCAAAAUUUACAGUCAUAUAUCUUGAACUUUGUGAGGGUUCUAUGACUUUUCUAGACUAUUUUUUACCGUAUUUAACUGACAUAUAUUUGGCACUUGGGUCACUACGUGUAUUUCAUGCACAUUGAGCGCGUAGGAAAAAAAUGUUUAAUGAGGGGCGAAUAUAUACCAGUUAAAUACGAUAAAAAAUAGUUUAGAUGGGUCAUAAGACCCUCGCAAAGUUCAAGGUGCGUAACUAAAAAUUUUGCCUAAAUACAGGUGUUUUUCACACAUUUAUAAUGAUGAAUUAUAGGCAAUGAUGAUAUGUUAUAUGUUUUUUCAAAGAACUUUUUUUAUUUCUCUCCCUAUCUUUUUUCAAUUAAUUCAAUCUUCAUUUUCCUGUCCCCUAUUUUCCAAUGUAAUUAAAUGGCAGAUUAAAUGACUCAAUUAUUAGUGGACUAAUCUUUCACUCUGCUAUUAGUGUACUCCAAUCUUUCAAUCUUUCACUCUAGUGUUACCAUCUUUCACACAAUCACUAGUGUACGAUCUUUCAUGUAAGGAUAGUCUACUGUGCUAAACAUGGACGCAACCACACAAGUCAAUUGUGCUAACCACUAUUCAAUAUUUUCUCUGGAUGGUUUAUGUUUGGUAACGUAACUAUUUUGUGUUGUAUAUUAUUGACUUUACUACUAUAUAUGAAAGAGAAUGUGAGAUUUUAAUAGUUCUCACAUAAAGUUUUUUUUUGUCAAUUUUAAUAUUUUAUCUCUAAUUUAUGUUUUAGUUACUCCACAAAUUUUUAUCCAUUUUAAUAAAUUUAAGCAAUUAUAUGGACUUAUUAAAUUCUAUAAAAAUGUGAUCAUGGAAAAAUAAUAGUAACAUCAUAAAAAACUAUUUAUACAAUCAAAUUCAAAAUUAAUCUAAAAGUUUGUUGUCUUUCUAUUUUGUGAAAAUAUUUAAUAAUCUUAUUUCAAAUUAUCAUUUUUUCUAAUAAAUUUAUCACGAUCAAGUAAAUAAGUAUUUUGACAUUUCCUUUCUAACUUAGUACAUGCUUAAUUAUUAAAGCAAAAAUUAUAUUUUAUAUAGCUGAAAAUAUUUGGAAAGUUAAUUUUUUUAAAAUACAAUUUAACUCUCCAAAUAUUAAUGACAUAAAAUAAUGAAAAAUGUGAGUAAUUCUUUUUCACAUUUUUCGAUAAUGAUUUUAUAAAAUAACGGGAUGAUCAAUAUUUUAUAUAAUUUGGGAGAAAAUAAUUAAUUUAACAUAAAAUAUUAAAGCUUCAUACACGUUUAAUAAAUAUCAAUCUAAAUUUCUUAACAUGUAUUUUAGAAGAAAGAAACUAUUAAAGUUAAAUGUUUUUUGUAUAGUUCAAUAUGAAGGAACAUCUGCAAAAGUAUUUUGUUAAAUCAAGUCUUUUAAUUAUUUAAAUUAAAUUUUCUCUUCAAUUAUAAGUUAGCUUUAUCAUACAACAAUUUGCAGUAUUAAAUAUUUCUUACAUUUCUUUGAAUGUCAGAAUUUAUUUAGUUUUUGUAAUAAAUGAGUUAAUUAAUUAAUAUUAGCUUAAUUGAGAAAAAAAUAGGUUAAUCAAUAUAAAUUGAAUUGAUAGAAAAAAUCCGAUUUGAAUCAUUAAAAACUUUAAUCUCUAAAACUAUCAUAAAAAGAAAAAUAGUGUUGGUGCAUGCAUGUGUUUGAAACUAAAAAGAAAAUCUAAAAUAAACUCUAAGAAAAAAUUAUUCUUUUAAUUUACAAAAAAAAAAAAUUAUUUGAUUUAUAAAAGAAAAAACUAGUAAAGUUGUUGCCAUGUGACCAGGAGGUCACGGGUUCAAGUCUUGGAAACAGCCUCUGGUAGAAAUGCAAGGUAAGGUUGCGUACGAUACACUCUUGUGGUGGGGCCCUUCCCCGAACACCGCGCAUAGCGGUAGCUUUAGUGCACCGGGCUGCCCUUUUUUAUUUGAUUUAUACUAGAACUAUUAAGAUAUUGUCGAACUACCUUUACAACUAAUAUAAUGUAACAAAAAUAAAAUAAAAAUAAAAAACAAGAUAAAGAAUUACAAAUAUAAAAUUUAACAUUAAUUUUUAAUCAUAUAUAUAUAUAUAUAUAUAUAAAUUUAUCAUAUUGUUAAAAAAGAAAAGUGUACAAGCUAGAAUUAUUUAAAAAAUAAUAAGAUAAAGGAUUAAAAUAAAAUUGAUCUUUCAAAUAAUUCUAAAAAAGGCAAAACAAAUAAAAAAUAAUGUGCCUGAAAUUGACGGUUAAGAAAUUGAGCUUUUCAUUGUUAUUAUAUCGACUAUCAAAACAUAUUUUCUUUGAUCAUAUUAUUUUAUAUACUUUUAAAAUAUUUUAAAUUAUUAAUUUUUGUGAUUUAUAGUAUUUUUAAUUUAGAUUUUAAAGAUUUUAAUUUUAUUUUUUAAAAAUAAAUUUUUCAUAUUUCAAUUCACAUCAAAUACUAAUUGGUUUGAUAGUUAUACUCCAAAUUAUGAUUAAAAAAAUUGAAACGAGAUAGUUAUACUGUAUUUAGAUAUGGAGUUGGAUUGCGUUGUUUCGUGAAAUGUUGCGGCAAUUGCGUAAAGCAUUUUGUUCAUUUGAGUCUUUGAGAGCAAUGCUUCACCUAAGAGUGGACGAAAUGACUAAUCUAUUGUUUGUUAUAGUAUGUUUCGUAACGUAACCACAUUUUGCUUUGCAUUGUCCUGAUGCAUCAAUACAUCUAAGCAAAAUAUGUCAAAACCAUUUAGAGCAGACUUCUCAUUUCUAAUCUUAUCUAAUUUUGUAUGACUGUAUAUUCAAUGGUGGAGCAAAAAGUUUUUCACUCAGGAGAAUCAAAACAUAAAGAUGUAGAUCCUGAAAGAAGCCAAGAAUAUACAUUAAAAGUAUAUAUAUUUUUAUCUUGUUAUGAAAUAUAAAGUAAACAAGAAGAAGAAUAGAGAGAAGAGAGGAGAUUUCUUUAUUUAUCAUAGAGAAUUUUUGAGGGGUGAAUUACAAUGAAAAAAACUCCUUUAUUUACAUGGAAAAAAUAACCUUAGGGUUUCUAACUUUUUUAUAGAUACUAUAUAUGAUAAAGUAGACAUUCAUUAUAUAUGGUAAAGUAGACAUUCACUAUAUAUGGUAAUAUAUUUAUAACACUUCCCCUUGAAUGUCUAAUUGAUAGAUAAUGUGCCUCGUUAAAACCUUACUAAAAAAAAACUCUGUGGAAAAAAAUCUAGUGAAGGAAUAAGAGUAUACAUCUCUAACAAUACGCAUAUAGGCUGCCUCAUUAAAAACUUUACAAGGAAAAUCAGUGGGACAAAACCUCAUAAGGAAAAAAGUGUACAGCGCGUAUUAACUCCCCCUAAUAAGAACAUUCUUGAGUCUUUGCAUUCCGAUCUUGUGCACUAUCUUAUUGAAAGUUGCAAUUGAAGGAGAGUUGGUGAAUAAAUCAGUCACAUUGUACGUAUGUAGAAAAGCUUUGAUGAAGUGUGCUUCGUUCUAUCUCCUUUUAUUAAUCCUCCAUUAAGAUGUGCUAUAAAUGUUGCAUUAUCUUUGUAUAAAACUAUGAGUACAUUGUCACAUUUCAAACCACAUUUUUCUCGAAUGAGAUGUAUCAUGGGCCUCAUUAAAACACAUUCUCGGCUAGCUUCAUGAAUAGCUAUUAUCUUAUCAUGGUUCAAUGAAGUGGUUAGAUAUAUUGCUUUGUAUAUCUCUAAGCUAUGGCAGUGUCCCCACAUGUGAACACAUUGCAUGUUUGAGACUAAGAUUUAUGCGGAUUAAAUAAGUACCCAGCAUCAGCAUAAUCAACAAGAUCGGGACCGCAAGCUUUAGAAUAAAAUAAGUGCAUGUCUUUUAUUUCAUUUCGAUGUCUCCUAAUAGGAGCAAAAAUAUAUCUUGCUAACAAAUUGACUGAAAAAACUAUAUUAGGCCUUGUAGUAUUUACAAGAUACAUUAAUGUUGUGCACCAAAUACACUAAGAUAUCAUACUUCAUAUUUCUCAUUUCAGCAAAUAAUCUAUUACUUUUGAAAACUCUCCAAAAGUUCCUAUAAUUUUCAAGCUAUAAUCUUAUACAAUAUGAGGAUUCUAAAUAAGUUUCCCAGAAACUUUUAUAUGCUUCAAACAUUUUGAAUCUUUUGAAAGUUUCAUAUAAAUUUUGUCAAGUGACAAUAUUCAACAUUUCAUAUGUGAUAUCUUCAAGUGUCUGAACUGCAAAUCAAAUAAGUUUUACACUUACCAAGAUGUAUCCUUUCAUGUUACUUGAUAAAUUUUCUACGCGGCAUGCUUAAAUAAACGUAGAAUUCAGAUCCUCAUAAUCUUUCACAAUAUUGCGCCAAUAUUGUAUUAAAGAUAUCAUCGAUGGUUUCUUAUUUUGUAUCGUUUCGCAAUGUGAUAUAAUAUUUUGAGAUAUCAUCACUUCAAUAUUUUCAAGUACUUGAACCUCUCAUAAGGUUUCAUGAAGUGUUAUGUCAUAAGCUCUUCAAAAGCACAUUGCCUUCUUAUUAUGAUUAUUUGCUCCUUAUCCUUUUCAAGGAUUAUUUCAUUUGGAACCGAUUGGACUGCCAUGCUUCAUACAUGCGUAGACUUUGUCCUUUAGAGACAUAAAAUAAGAGCACUUGCAACUUAAAUAUGAGAUACUUUCGGCAUUUGACUUGAAUUAUCUUUCGAAUGAUGAUCUGAUUAUAAUUCCUAACAUACUUCAUAGCUGCUUAUAAUCUCCUCCUUAUGUUAGAAAAACUAACAUGUAUCCUCCAUCUUCUUUGAGGAAUUCAUCUUUGUGCAUCAUAGUGUAUUCAUUAAUCGUAUACCGCACAUCAAAACUGUUAGAUGGACAACAUGUGUUUUGUGACCUAGAACCAACUUUGAGGAGAAUUAAUCAUAAUUUAUUGAUCUAAUGCAUACAAGUGCUAUUGUAUGCAACAUGUCAUAUUUCAGACCAACACAUGAGGCUUUGUUUUCCUUAGCAAUGGUUUAGCUAUUUAUCGAAGGCAUUCAAUGUCAAACCAUCAUCAUCAAGAUUUUUAUGAUUACACAAUCUGAAAAUUAUGUUCUGAACUCAAUUUUAUUGAGCAAGCAACUUUAUGAAUGUCAAACUGCAGGUUGACAAUAAAUGUACAUGUGAUAAUCUUAUUGAUGCGUCUUUUCAACAUAUCACAUGAUAGGUGAACUGACCCAUAUUCACCUUUUAUAAUUUUCAGAGUUUAAGGGAUCCAAUUCCAACAUUAGUUAAUCCAACCAACUUAUCAUGAGAACAAGCAACAUUAAAAGCAAAGAAAUAAUUUUUUGAAUUCUUCAAUAUGUAUUUAAUACUUAAUAUGCACAUCUCUUGGAUGUCGCAAUAGUUCAUGUCAACUUAUGAACUUUUGUAUUAGUAAACUCCAAGGUUACCAUGACAUGUACUUUUUUUUCUUUAGUAAAUUGCAGAUUUACUAUGAUAUGAAUAGAUUUCAGAUUCACUACUUGGAAAGUAAAUUUCAGAAUAACUCCUCACAAUUAUUCUACCUCUUUCGGAGGUGAAUUGUGAUACCAUCACAAUCAAGUGCAUGCUUAUAUUGAUGAGCUUUACUAAAUAUCAUCACAUUCACUCGGGAAUGGAUCUAUGCUUAUAACUAUUAAAAUUCUCAUCUCAUGAAUGAAAUAUAAUCGUGCCUUAAGCCUUUUAAAGUGAUAUCUUAUAACCUCUUUCAAGAUAUUGCUAUUGCAAGAGCAAAUCGAGGCAUACGUAUGUAGAGAAUUUUUCUCUAACAUAUCUUAUGCGUGUGAAAAUAUCAUCACUUUUGAUGAUCAUUAUCAUAUUGUUCUUUUACUCUUAUAUUCAUAUGUUCAAUCAGUUUGUCUUCUUUCAGACAUAUUAUGUACUGCUACUAGGGGUGGGCGUUCGGUCGGUUCGGUCUGAUUGUUUAAUAUCGGUUCGGUUUAUUGGUUUUCGGAUUGACAAAAAUGGCAUCCAUAACCAAACCGAAAUAAAUUCGGUUUGGUUCAAUUUUUACAAAUUCGGUUCGGUUAUUUCAGAUUUUUAUUUUGGUUUGAAAUAUAAAGUAGUUAGCCUCUCUUUUACAUAGCUGAGCAUUUAAAAUUGAUGGAUUUUUUUAGAAAAAUUAUUUUUUUCAAACCUGUUUUUCAUUCCUAAAUAUAAAUAAUUAUAAAUAACUCAACAUGAAUGAAACGAAAUGAAAUAAUCAUAAGCUUAACAUAAUACAUAACGUCAUUAAUUAUUACAUAUAAUAUAACCUUGCAUAAAUAGUCUACAAAAUAAUACAAAAUUCGUAAAAAUAGUCCAUGAAACAACAUACUUUCUGCAUAAAUAGUCCAUAAAACAGUUCAAAGUCACCAAAAUAGUCCAUAAAAUAUUUGAGUCACUAAAACAAUCCAUAAACAGCUUGCGGCGUAUGCAAUUUGCUGUUAAAUGCUAAUUGUGAAUGUGAAUUAGUAAAUAUUAUAUAUAUAGAUAGAUAGAUAGAUAGAAAGAUAGAUAACAUAAUAUUAUUUAUAUAUAUAUAUAACAUAAUACUAUGUUAUAUAUAUAAUAUAAUAUUAUAUAUAUAUAUAAUAAAAUAUAUAUAUUAUUUAUUUAUUUAUAAAAUUUUAAAUUUUUUGAUUUAAACCGAAUUUUUUUUUUAAAAUCGAAAAUCGAAUCGAAAAAUUGAAAUUCUAAAAUUACAAAUCGAAUUUGAUCCGAAAAAUCGAAACCAAAAUUAAAUUUUGAUUUGGUUUUUCAUUUUUUUUGGUUUAAACCAAACUAUGUCCACCCCUAACUGCUACCAUAUUCACUUCAAUAUGGGACAAAUUUCAUAUCUUUUCACCAAAGAUAUUAUUUUACCUUAGCCAUCAUUAUAUCAUAAAUAUGAUGCAUUGAGAUUCAAACUCAAUAUCUUAUUUAUAUAGAGGCAUCUUAGAUAAUAAAUCGAUGGAACUUAAACCCAACAUAUUGUCAUCCCUGUUGAUAAUAUUGUUCUUGAGGAAUAAAUCUAAAACAUAAAUGGUUCCAAACCAAUUAGGUUUUCUCAAAUUCAACAAUAAUUAUAUCAUUAGUAGCAAAAGACAAAUAACCAUGAAAUUACCUUUAAAUUUAGAAUCUCACCUUGUUUGGUAGAAUCUCAUGUUGAUAACGUGUUAUGAAAUAUAAAGCAAAGAAGAAGAAGAAUGGAAAGAAGAGAGGAGACUUCUUUAUUUCUCAUGGAGAAUUUUUGAGGAGUGAAUUACAAUGAAGAAAACCCCUUUAUUUAUAUGAAAAAACUAACCUUAGGGUUUCUAACUUUUCCAUAAAUAGACAUUCACUAUAUAUGAUAAAGUAGACAUUCAUUAUAUUUGAUAAAGUAGACAUUCACUAUAUAUGGUAAUAUAUUUAUAAUAGAUCUAGAUAUAUAGUGUUAUUUUUCGAUGAAGGGAUGUCGAGAGACACUCCCUUAAGUACAUGUUAUUCCUCCAAUGCGAGUAUCCAUCUUAGUAUCGGCAUCUCUACAACACUAAUCAUAUAUAUAUAUAUAUGUGUGUGUGUAUCUAUGUAUAUAUAUUUAGACCUAGAUAUAUUGUGUAAUUUUUCGAUGAAGGGUUGACACCCUUUAAGUAUGUGUGGCUACACCACUGCGCACAUGUACAUCCAUUUAGCAUCCAUAUCUCUACAACACUCAUCAUAUGGAUAUGUUGCACUUUAGCCGCCCAACCUUCACUACCAUGUAACAUAGUCGAUCUCAUAGUUUAAUAAAACUUACUCCAAUCACAACACCUUUGUAGCACUUCUGCAUUUCAACCAUCCGACUUUAAUUCUAACAUCUUCAUCUAUGAUUUCAUUCUCUUAAAAUAACGAGCCUGGAUAUCAAAUUAUUUACAGUUUGGCACUGCAAUUUCAUUUAGCCUCAUCACCAUAAUGUCUCUCCUCUCAUGCUGAAUUGCUGACUAAUAAACAUGCAUGUAGUGCAUAUUAGGUCUUACUUUUUACUGAUACGAAAAUGCAUACUUUGUACGUACUUCUCAAAUGCUUAAAAUGCUCCUCUUAAAAAAAUGUUUACCACUGUUAUGGAUAACUCCUCUUAUCAUCUACAAUUAUUUUGAUGCUAGUGACUCUUCAUACACCUCGUGUGGUACUCUAGAGGUGUUUAUUGAUCUAAAUAAAUCAUAUAAUAGAGUGUAGGAAUUAAGUGUUUUCUAAAUCUUCUUUGUUUAAAACUAACAUUUUAAUGCAAAUGUUGUUUCGGGUACACAAUGUGUAUUGUUUUCACAAAUACUUCAACAUAAGUUCAAGACUGUAUCAAGAACGCCUAUGAAGUUUUAACACUUUCAACACAAGUUCUACAAGAACUAUCAAAGAAGUAUGUUACUUAAAGAAAUAAGACGAAGUAGAAGUAGAGCCAAGUCCUCCAAUUUCAUGGAGUGUCCUUAAGGAAUUAAUUCCCCUCAAGUACCCGAGGUUGUGGAACUCUUCCUCCAAGGAUAAAAUGACUCACAAUCAGAAUGUAACGGUACCUCAAACCUUCUUAUUCUUUUAACACGCUCAAUAACAGAUGAUCACAAAGAGUUUUUAGAAGUAGAAGAGUGUUUUUCAAUCCUUAAAUUUGAAUGUAUACCUGUGGAAAAAAUGCAAGUAUUUAUAACCAUCAAGUACCCCUUUGGAAAGGAAGUAAUGGUUCAUUGGAAAGGCGUAUCACUUUAGAACAAUCAUCUCUAUCCAUUCCGAAAUAGUGUGUCUUUUCUAAACAGUCACAUCUGACCAAAUAGUUAGCCCUUUUUCGAAACAGUGUGUCAUUUUCUCAAAGUGUUGCGUCCCUUUCGAGUAACGUUUCUGCAGGCAUCUGCAUGGCAUUUAUGGAGAAAAAAUAUUUUUUGUUUUUCUUUGGAUUUUUUGGAUUAAUAAAUUUCAUUUGUUUUUUGAAGUUUUAAAUAAACUUUGUCUAAAAAAUUAAUCUCAUCGAUCGAUAAAUUCGAAGCCAAAAUUGACCGAGCGAUGACAACGACGGCGUGGGGCACCUCUUGGUUCUUGCCUUGCUAUCCACCUGAAGGUGUGUCUCUUAAUAAGAACACGUGAAAGUUGCUUUCUCCCACCAAUGUGGGAGAAGUAUACUUUCCUUAAGUGAGUACACUUUCCCUUUAAGACUUUUCCUCCAUUUUCCAUUCACACCAAUUAUUGCCAACAAUCUUCUCCAUGAAUGGGGAAUAACUACUGUUUAUAAAACUUUAUGAACAAGUAUUUAAUCGAGAAGCAAAGACUGAUUGCAUCUGGAUAAGUGGGUUUUCCCUUGAACUUUCUGUAGCGAACAUGCAUCGAAUACACUCAAUCAAUCGGUAGAUUUGAUAUCCUUGAACCAUUGAGUUUUAAUGUACACCUAGACAAUAUAUGUCACACAACCAGCCUUUUACUGUUUAUGGUUCUCAUGAUUUUAUUCGUUUCAACCAUGAACACGUCCUGGUUAAUGAGAGCUUAGAAAAUAGGUCUUUAUUAACAUUCUCCUUGAAGCGACUACUAUUUCACCCUCACAUAGGUGAUUUCAAAAUGUUCAAUCCUAUAGAUUAAACUAUUUGGUCAAAUAUUCCAAAUUUAGAUAAUCAUUAAAAGACUUCACACCAUAAGUCUUAUCCUUGUUUACUAAAUAUUGUUUACAUCAUGAGAAUGGGUUAGGUAUAUUAACAAUACUGAACCCGUCAGUCACAACUUUAUUUGAUCUUCUUGAACCUAGCUCUUGGGAUCUCCAGUCUGCUAAGUAGAGUUACUGCUAUGCUGACUUGUCCUAGGCUGUAAACUCAUUCCCUUCUAUGUUCCCUCAACUCCCUCUCGAGAUAGGCCUUUUGUAAGUGAAUCCAACAUAGUAUCCUUUGACUUCACAUUGUCACAGCGAUAAUUCCAUUAGAGAGUAGUUCUCUACUGGUAUUAUGUCUCCAUCAUAUAUGACGAGAUCUACCGUUAUACAUCAUGCUCCCUGCCCUGCCUAUCUCACUUGUCUAUAACAGUGUAUGCAUACUGGUGUUAAUGGUUUGGGCCAAUAAGAAAUAUCUUCCAAGAAAUUUCGGAGCCAUUCAGCUUUUUUACAAGAUUUAUCUAAUGCGAUAAAUUAAGGUUACAUUGUGGAGUGAGCAAUAUAUGUUUGUUUUGACAAUUUCCAAAAGACUGCUCCUCCAUCUAUAGUAAAUACAUAUCCACUCGGUAAUUUUUCUUCAUUCGAUUCGGUGAUCUAAUUUACAUCACUAUAUCCUCCAAUUACCUUUGGAUAUUUAUUAUCAUGAAAAACAUAGUCUUGAGUGUAUUUAAGACACCUCAUAACUUUUUUCAUUGUCAUCCAAUGAGUUUUAUUAGGAUUACUCGUGUACCAACUCAACUUACUAAUAAUACAUGCUAUGUUUGGCCGUGUACAAUUCAUGAUAUACAUUAAACAUCCCAACACUCCUGUGUAGUCCAACUGUGUCACUUUGAACUUCAUUCUUUUAAAGUGCAAAGCUCACGUCCAAUAGAGUCUUGGCAAUACCGAAUUCCAAAUACUUGAAUUUGUCAAGUACCUUUUUAAUAUAAUGAGACUAUGAUAAUGCCAACCCUUAUGGGGUUUAACGAAUUCUUAUUCCUAAGAUCAUAUACGCCACUCCAAGGUCUUUCAUAUCAAAUUUGCUCUCAAGCAUUUGUUUCGUAGUAUUUAUGUCAGAAAUAUCUCUACUUAUGAUCAACAUAUCAUCCACAUACAAACAAUCAAUGACCUUGUGAUUUGGAGUGUCUUUAGUGUAAACACAUUUAUCAUAUUCGUUUAUCUUAAACCCAUUUUCCAACAUAAUUUGGUUAAAAUUUGCAUGCCACUAUUCGGGUGUUUGUUUUAGUCCAUAAAGUGACUUAACAAGUUUGCACAUGUUCUUUUCUUUACCAGGAACCACAAAGGUUGUUCCAUGUAAAUUUCUUCCUCCAAUUCUCCAUUUAACAAUAUUGUUUUCACAUCCAUUUGAUGGAUUUUAAGACCAUAUACCGCCGCCAAGGUAAUUAGCAUUUGAAUUGACGUUAUCCUUGUUACAAGCGAGUACGUAUCAAAAUAAUUAAGGCCUUUCUUCUGUUUGAAGUCUUUUACUACAAGUCUUGCCUUGUAUUUGUCAAUAGUACCAUCUUCUUUCAUUUUCCUUUUAAAGAUCCAUUUAGAACCUAAAGGUUUAUUACCUGGAGAAAGAUUAACCAACUUCCAAGUAUGGUUGCUCAAGAUUGAUUCAAUCUCACUAUUGACUGUCUCUUUACAAAAGGAUGAGUCUGAAGACGACUUCGCUUCUUUAAAUUUUUAAGGUUCAUUUUCUUAGAGAAAUAUUACAAAAUACAAUCCAAACGAAGUUGAUGUUAUUUAACAUGUACUACUGUAACGCCCCGAGUCUACACCCCGAACGCUACACAGUGCUAGUGAACCCAAAGGACCACCAGCUAACCCUUGACUAGUACCUGCUGUGAGCACUGAAUAAUAAUAGCACUAUAAUGAUAAUAUAUCUAAAAUAAAUGUGGAAGAUAAGCUAAAAAUCAUCAUAAGGUUCAUAACUGAAAUAAUUACUGAAUACUGAGAUAUCUGUCAGAAAUACUCUAGUCUAAAAUCCUCUAACUGUCUGAAUAUGUAGUUGAUGGGACAAGCUCCCAACUAACUCCAUCUACUGAAUAUGCUAAGCUACUAAAAUACCGAAAGAUAAAAUCAUCCUCAAACUAUGAGGACUCACCACUAAAUCUGUUGCUGAUACUCCAGGCUGCUAAGUACGGUCAGGAGCCCUUGCGUCAGAACCUAUGAUAUAAAACAUCAUAGCACAAAAUAAAAGUAUGUGUCAGCACUUUGAAUGUACUGGUACUCUAAGUGAGGUAGACUGAUAUGCAUGAACAAUAACUUACUGAGUAACAUAAACAUAACUGAAAGAGAGUGCAUACAUGAAUACAUACUGUAAAUGAGGUCAUGUUAACACUGGAUACUGAGUUUUGGAUACUGAUUCACUGAUAUCUAAGUUUAAUAAUACUAUAUUACUAAUAACUAAAUGACUAUUUCUGAUAGUCCUAAUUCUGAAGAACUGAUCUGAGCUCUACACUGACCUGAACGACUGUAUCUGAUAGUCUUGAAUCUGUAGAACUGAACUGAGUUUUGUACUGAUACUGAAACUGAAACCAAAACUAUGGGAGGUAGUCAUCUAAUCGACAUGCCACAAUCUGAGCUAAUCGGGAUCCAACCUAUAACCGCAGUUGUAAGGGUGUUAGUACCGUGCUACGGGUACUAACACUGGUUGUGUGGAUCUACUAUACUGAUGUAUUGUAUUGUCCGACAGGAUUAAGGGUGUCAAGCCUGAACUGAAGGGAGACUUCUUAUAUCCUACAUUGUCUACGUAGUUCUAGAGUACCGGGACUACUACUAACGACUUUGCGUACUAACGACUUCCCUGCACUCGCUCGAUGCUGAAUCCUACUCCCAAUUGAAUAGACGCUGAACUGAUUUCUAGACUGUAGUAGGCUUGACUUAACUAUUAAUGAUCAUGUUGUCUAACUGAACUGAGUUCACUGGGUUCCGUUAACUGACGGAAUACUACUGAGUUCUAUUAACUGACUGGGUUUACUUGAGAUCUGAACUGAUUACUGAACUGAAACUGGACUGAUUACUGAGUACUAAUGAGAUUGUUCUGUAACUACUAUAGCUCUAGGUAAACAGCUAGAUUUAUCGGGUAUAAAAUACCUCCUAGACUCGAUAGCAUGAAAAGUAAAACACUGCAUGACUUUAAUAGCAUAAUAGCACUUGCUUACCGAUAAUGUUGUCAUUUGGACUUUUUUUGUCAACCACUUAAUAUACAUAGCUUGUACAUGAAUGAAAUCACAUAAUGCUUGAACUAGUCAAUUCACAUAAGCAUUUUGACAAACGCUUUAGGGAGCAUGGGCAUUCCACAUAUCAACAAACAUGUAAUACUAUCAUGGAUACUACCUUUAACUUGCAAUUCAAGAGCUCAACAAGAAGUUCACAUAAUUCAAUCCACAACUAAUACAUUUUCAUGAAACUCAAGAUAAAUCAUGGAAUUGAAAACCCAUUUGACAUCAUAAUCAAGAUUACAUCCAAAUCCAUCAUGAAAUCUAUGAAAUCAAUUGUAGUUUAAAAGAGUUUCUUGGACUCCAAGGGUGGACCCUUGGACGAACACUUCACAUACCUUGGUGCUUGAAUUAAUGAAGGUUGAUGGUAAGUUCUUGAAUCUUGAAUUUGAAAUUAGAUCUCCUAGGGUUUUUGCUCGAGUAAUUUGAGAGAGAAUGAGUUUAAUUUUCUUAUUGAGGGCUGAAUUUUGUGUUUUGGGGGCUAAGUAGACAUGGGAAAAUAAACCAAAUACCCUUAAGGAUGCGGAUUUUUAAUGACUGAAAAUUGGUCCAGUGGCGUGCAGCCCGACGUGCCGUAUCGAUGGGGUCGAUGCUAUGGCUGAUGCGCCGCAUCAAGUCCAUGUCGGUUAACUGGGAAUUGGCAUUGGGAGCUAGAAAAAAUAUUUAUUAACGCGAUAGGUGACGCGGCGCGUCAAAAUUGCGUUGGUCCACUGGUUUGGACUUCCAAAUGUGUUGCAAACGAUAAUCAAAAAAUUUAAAACUUGCCUGACAACACCUACUGACAUGCCUGAUCAUGAUUGAACCUAAAAAUCGACACCUUAAGGUCAUAAGGGUCGUGAAAUAAGAUUGGCAACUUAUGAGGCUAAAAUAAUUCUAAGUGUAAAUACUUAGCUGAAAUUUUCUAAGUAUGGGAUCCCUUAUCAAGCUCUAAGGGCUGAGUUAAGCUUAGGAUUUUGCGGGGUCUUAAAACUACGUCUUGGAUUCUCAUCAUUAUGUACAUCCUCGCUUGGUUCAUCUCGAGGUCGUUUAGACCCUCCGCUAGACUGUUCAUGCCUAAUUUUAUAAAGAUAAAUGUAUUCAAAGAACUCAGCAUUAUCUUAUUCAAUUACCGUAUUUUCAUUGAUAUCCGUAUAUUCAGAUUUAUGAACCAAAAAUUGACAUGCUUUACUACUUUUAGCAUAUCCUAUGAACACGCAGUCCACUGUCUUAGGUCCUGUCUUUACCCUUUUGGUCAUAGUAACUUGGACUUUUAUUAGACACACUUACACUUUGAAAUAUUUUAAGUUGGAUUUUUUUCCUUUCCAUUUUUCAUAUGGAAUUCAUUGUGUCGUACUAUGGGGCACUCUAUUGAGCAUUCGAUUAGCUGUAAAGAUAACUUCCGCCCACAAGUUUUGCAGUAAACCUGAACUUAUAAGUAAGACAUCAUCAUUUCUUUUAAAGUUUGAUUUUUUCUUUCUACAAUUAUAUUAGAUUGAAGUGAAUACGGGGCUGUAGUUUGAUGGAAAAUUCCAUUCUCUACAUAUAUUUUUGCAAAUGGAUAUUAUUCUCCACUCCUAUCACUUCUUAUCAUUUUGAUCUUCUUCUCUAAUUAAUUCUCAACUUUUGUUUUAUAUUUCCUAAACGCAUUUAUUGCUUCAUCCUUACUGUUUAGCAAAUAGACAUAACAGUACCUCAUGCAAUCGUCAAUAAAAGUUAUAAAAUACUUUUUUCCGCCACGAGAUAGUGUUGACUUCAUAUCACAAAGUUCAGUGUGGAUUAAGUCUAAGGGAUUGGAAUUCCUUUCAACGGACUUAUACAGAUGUUUAGCAUACUUUGAUUCCACGGAUGUUUGAUAUUUUGAUUUAUUGCACUCAAAGUUUUGCAAAACUUCUGAGUUAAUCAGUUUUCACAAAGUUUUGUAAUUGACAUAUCCCAAUCAUUCAUGCUAUAAUUCAUUAGACUCAAACAAGUAAGAAGAAAUAGCACUUUUAUUGAUUUCAACUAUCAUUACAUUCAUCUUAAAUAGGCCCUCAGUGAGGUAGCCUUUUCCUAUGUACACUUCCCCUUUACUAAGUACAAUCUUGCCUAAAACAAAUACACAUUUGAAUUUAUUUUUGUCAAGAAAUAAUAUGAAAAUCAAGUUCUUUCUUAACUACAGUAUAUAAGGUACAUUGUUAAGAGUCAACACUUUGCUUGACAUCAUUUUCAAACAGACUUUUCUCGUCCCUUCAACUUUUGCAGUUGCGGAGUUUGCCAUAUAGAUCCUUUCUUCGCCUUGAGCCGGAGCAAAUACAGCAAAAAACUCUUUAUUGGAACAAACAUGGUGGGUGGCACCGGAAUCCAUCCACCAUUCUCUUAGAUUUCCCACCAAGUUACAUUUAGAAAGCAUGGCACAUAGAUCGUCCAUUUUAUUCUUACAUUUAGCCAUAUUCGUUUGGUCCUUCUUUUUGCCUUUUUUGGAGGUACGACAAUUUUUUGACUUAUGGUCAAUCUUACCACAAUUAAAGCACUACCCCCUGAAAUUCUUCUGAGGUGGUUGCUUUGUUGUCCAGCCUUCUUCCGCUUCUUUGAGUUGUUGAGGUCGUCUUCUACAAUGUUAGCUCCACUCAUUGCAAAAUUUUCUUUCAACCUCCUCUCUGCGACUUUAUUGUCUUCCUCAAUGCGCAACCUCACAAUGAGGUCUUCGACUGUCAUCUCCUUUCAUUUGUGUUUCAAGUAAUUUUUGAAGUCCUUCCACAAAGGUGACAACUUCUCUAUUAUUGCAGCAACUUGAAAGGUCACGUUCACAACUAAACCUACAAUAAAGUUCAUGUGAACAUUAAGAACAUUUUUAAUAUGUUCAAAUAAGGUAUUCAUUAUAUUCAUACCUUCAUAAAUAAUAUCGUGGAUGAUAACUUUCAAUUUCUAUACUUGAGAUACGACAGUCUUAUUGUUAAUUAUUUUGUACUCAAGAAAUCUUGCAACAAAGAACUUCUUACUUCCAGCAUCCUCAGUCAUAUAUUUUCUUUACAGCGCAUUCCACAACUCUUUUGAUGUUUUCAUUUCACUAUAAACAUUGUAUAAAUCAUCUUGGAGGCCACUUAGAAUAUAAUUCCUACAUAGGAAAUCAGAAUGUUUCCAUGCCUCUAUUACAAUGAACCACUCCUUGUCUGAAAUUUUUUCGGGUGAUUCUAGAGCAUCUUCAGAUAUAAAUCUUUGAAAACACAAGGUUGUAAGAUAGAAGAACAUCUUCUGUUGCCACCAUUUAAAAUCUAUUUCAGAAAAAAAUUUGGGCUUUUCAACUAGUGCCAUAGUAGGUUGUGCAGUUGUACGACUAGUUAUAGCAAUAUUCGUUCGUGCUACACUUGUCCCACCAUCAGUAGUCAUCUUUUCUGUCACAAAAAGACAGUCAACUUUAGUAUAUCAAAAUAAUAAUUACAAGUCCGUAGAAACUUUAAACACUACUUGUUUCUAGUUUAACGAUGAAGUUUUUAUGUCUUCCAAUUGUUAACCGAAUGAUCAUUAACUUGUGAUAAAAAAAUUAUUUCUUUAAAUCACUUGUUAAGUUCAAAUAGAAUAGAAAGCAUAAAGCUUUAAUUUCCCAAAAUCAAACAAUACAAAUUACGGGUUUAAUUCCUUAAGAUUGUUGUUUCGGGUACACAAUCUGUAUGGUUUGCGCAAACACUUCAACACAAGUUCAAGACUGUAUCAAGAACACCUAUGAAGUUUUAACUCCUUCAACAUAAGUUCUACAGGAACUAUCAAAGAAAUAUAUUGCUUAAAGAAAUAAGAUGAAGUAGAAGUAGAGCCAAUUCCUCUGAUUUCAUGGAGUACCCUUAAGGAAUUAAUUCCCCUCAAGUACUAGAGGUUGCGAAAUUUUUUCUCUCAAGAUAAAAUGGAUCACAAUCAGAAUGUUGCAGUACCUCAAACUUUAUGAUUCUUAAAACACAUUCAACAACAGAUGAUCACAAAGAUUUUUUAGAAGUAGAUGAGUGUUUUUCAAUUCUAAAAUUUUCAUGUAUACCUGUGGAAAAAAUGCAGGUUUUAUAGCCAUCAAGUGCCCCUUCAGAAAGGAAGCAUGUAACUCCCCGAGUCUAUACCCCAGACGCUACACGAUGCUCAUAAUUCCGAAGGACCAUAAGCUAACCCUUGACUGGUAUCUGCUGCAAUAACGGAACAAUAAUAAUAAUAAUAAUAAUAAUAAUAAUAAUAAUAAUACUAUAAUAUACGGAAUUUAGGGGGAAACUUUCCAUAAGGUUCAAACCUGUAGAUAAAACUGAAUACGGUAUAACAAUACCAAAACUAAAAUAUCUGUCUAAAAAUACUUCUAGUCUGAAAAGGCUCAAAACUGUCUGAACUAUGGAGUUGAUAGGACAAGCCCCCAACUAACUCCAACUACUGAAAGUGAACUAAUAACUGAAAUACUGAAUGAAAAUAAUCAUGUCAUCGAACUAUGAGGGCUCACCACUAACUCUAACUGCUGAAAGUCCAAACUACUAAGGGUGCUCGGGAGCCACGCGUCUGAACCUAUGAUAUAGGACAUGAUAGUGCAAGAGAAAAGUAUGUGUCAGUACUUUGAAUGUACUAGUAUGCAAAGUGAGGUAGGCUAAAAUGCAUGGGUUUGUAUGUAUAAACAAUACUGACUGAAUGACAUAAGUAUAACUGACUGAGAAUACAUGCAUGAAUACGUAAAUUAUAGCUGAGAUUGUGGUGACACUGAAUACUGAAUCUGAAUACUGACUAACUGAUAUCUAAUUAUACUGACAAUGUAUUACUGAUAACUGGGUAACUUUAUCUGAUAGUCUUGAUUCUGUGAAACUAUACUGAGUUUUGUACUGAGCUGAGUGACUGUGUCUGACAGUCCUGAGUCUGUAGAACUGAACAGAGUUCUAUACUGAGACAAAAUCUGAAACUGGGACUGUGGGAAGUAAUCAUCUAACCGACAUGCCCCUUCUCUAACUGAUUUGGGGUCCAACCUGUAACCUCAAUUGGAAGGGUAUCAAUACCGUGCCACGAAUAAGUAUAAGCUAAGUCACCCUAAUCUGGCAGGUGCUCUGAAAGAGAAUGGUGGGACCCUCAAAUGGCAAGUUAAAUCACCUCAUCAACCCUAAACUGGCAGGUUGAUGUCUCAACAUACGCUGGCUACGUAGUUCUGGAACUCAAGGAUUGCUUCUAAGGAUCAUACCCUCUACUGGAAGGUGAGUCCCCAUCCUUGGAUUCACUCGGUGUUGAAUCCUACUCCCAACUGAAUAGACACUGAACUGAUUCCUAGACUGUACUAAGCUUGACUGAACUGUUACUGAUUGUACUAUUUUAUUGAAUUGAACUGAGUUCACUGAGUUCCGUGGACUGAAGAAAUACUACUGAAUUCUGUUAACUGACUGAGUACCGCUGAAUUCUGAACUGAAUACUGUGACUGACUUAUGAAUACUACUAGAUUUUCCUAAGUUCUGUAACUAACUGAAGCUCUAGGUAAACAGCUAAGUUUUCGGGUAUUGAAUACCCCAAGGACUUGAUAGCAUGAAAGGUAAAUCAUAGCAUCUAUAAUAUAUUAAAAGUGUGAAGACCCUUAGAAAAGCUAUUUGACCUUUUUGCCCUUCAUUAAAACACUCUUCUUUAGAUAAAACUGUCUUUUCACUAUUUUUUAAUUUAUUAUUUCAUUUAUUAUUUAUUAUAUUAAAUAGACUUCCUAAAAUAUAUGGUAGGAGAAUUAAUUAAUAUUUUUCUUUCUACUAGACUUCCUAAAAUAUAUGGGACUCCUAAAAUAUAUGGUAUAUAUAUAGUAGACAAUUCAUAAAUUAAAAAGACAUUAAUUAUAUUUUUGGGAAAAAUCACAUAUCCAAAAUAAAAAAGAAGACAAACUAAUAAUUUUGGAGGAAAUUUCUUUAUCAGCCGUACUCUUUUUUUGUUGUGCUAAAGUGAAUUUUUUAAAAUAUACUUUUGAAAAGGAAAAAGGGUGAAAACACUAUAAGAAAAAAACAACAUGUAAAAUAAGGAACAAUGCUUAAAGUAAACUCUUAUUCAAUUUUUUUUUUUAAUAAAGGCUAUAUGUAUAGUUACCAAUUAAUUAAUUUUGUCUCCGUUUCUUCACGUGAAAUUGAAACUUUUUUCCUAUUAAAAAGUCUCUUAAAUAUAGAAAGAGUGGUUCAAUAAUUAUGGGGACAAAAACCUACCAACAUUAAAUAAAAUCUAUACGUUAAAUUAGAGAACUCAUCCAAUUUAAUUCGAUUGCAUGUCUAGAUUGGUUGAUGCUUGAUUUUCUGACCCUCAACUUCUUCGCUCAGACAAGAAUUAGUUGGAUCAAAAUCAAAGCUUUGUGAUCACUAUUAUAUUUUUUUUUAUAGUUUACAGGUCGUAGAUGAAUGCCGGUUGGCUUUGAAGAAUUUGUUGUGUAAAGGUUAGGUUUAAGUAUAUUCGUUUUGAUAUCUUUAUUAUUAUUGUUUUAGUUUAAUUUACAGAUGCUAGAUAAAUGUUCAUCGGCUUUGAAAUUUUUUUUUAGAUAAAAGUUAGGUUUAAUUGUAUUAUCGUAAUAUCUCUAUUAUUUUGUUAUUUUGUGGUAUUUUAGAGUUCGUAGAUGAAUCUUGAUCGAUUUUGAGAACUUUUUGUGUGUAAAAUUUAAGUUUAAUUGUAUUCUUUUGAUAUCACUUUUAUCGUAUUAUUUUGUUGCGGUUUACAGGUGAUAGAUAAAUGUUGAUCGACUUUGAGUUUUUUUUAUGUAAAGGUUAGAUUUACUUGUAUUAUUUUGAUAUCUCUAUUAUCGUCUUAUUUUGUUAUUAUUUACAGGUGGCAAAUAAGUGUCAGACGAUCAGCUUUGAAAUUUUUUUAGGUAUAAGUUAGGUUUAAUUGUAUUAUCGUAAUAUCUCUAUUAUUUUGUUAUUUUAUGGUAUUUAAGAGUUCUUAGAUGAAUCUCGAUCGGUUUUAAGAAUUUUUUAUUUGUAAAAUUUAAGUUUAAUUGUAUUAUUUUGAUAUCAUUUUUAUCGUAUUAUUUUGUUACAAUUUAUAGGUGAUUGAUAAAUUUUGGUCAGCUUUGAGUUUUUUUUUAUGUGUUUCUUAAUAAGCACACAUGAAAGUUGCUUUCUCCCAACAAUGCGGGAGACGUAUACUUUCCUUAAAUGAGUACACUUUUCCUUCAUUUUCCAUUCACACUAAUUGAACCCAACAACAAAUGCCAAGAGACCUUCAGGGGUCGUUUGGUAGAAAAAUAAAUUAUUCAGGGAUUAGUAAUACAAGGAUAGUAAUGCGGAAAAUAUUAAUACAAGGAUUGUAACGCAGAAAUUAUUUUUUAUCAAGUGUUUGGUUCAUUGCAUUAAAAUCUAGAUAUACCAUGUAUUGUGUUUGAUUUAUAAUUCUACAAGUAUGGUCAUUACAAUUAUGCCCUUGAUCUUUUUAUGGAUUCCUAUUUCAUUUAGCUAGACUUCUUAAAAGGGAAAAAGUUAUCGUUUCCACCUCAAACUAUACAUUAAAAGUCACUUACACACCUAAUCUAAUAUGGUGACCCAUUACACACUUAUUCUUAAUAAAUAUGAAUUUAAUUUCACCCAAAAUCUGACGUAAAAAUAAAAUAAAAUUAAAAAGAACAAGAUGCCCGUCCAAAACCAAAAAAUAUUCUUUAAAAUUCCCCACCCCCACUCAGAUUCUCUCUCCUUCAACUCCAUUUUUAAUUUUUUUUUGUUUCUCUCUCAAUCUUGUUUCUUCUUCUUCUUUUUUUCAAUUCAUAACCACUCCUCCCUUUUUGUGGUUGAUGAAAAUUAUUUUUCCAUGACAGCUUCUGGAGUGAAAAAGAAAAAAGAUUAAGUAGUUGAAUCGACAUUGGUCAGAAAUUUUUUCGAUGAGACUUGUGAAAUUGAUCAAAUCUUAUUUCUCCCAUCAUCAAACUCAUCAAGUUAAGCAUCAAUUUUUUUUAUUUUAUUUUUAUAUUUAUGUUCUUUCCCUGUAAAAGUUUGUGGGUUUUUCUCAAAAUUCAAUCUAAUACAUUUUGUGUAGAUAUAUCUUCUCUCUAUAAAAAUUCUCUUUCGACUUGCUCAAAAUCAAUAACAGUAUAUUGAUGUAGAAUUUAGUUGUGGUGCAGGUGCGAAUUUGUGGUGAUUUUUGUAACUUUGGAUGUUAACAGUGGUGAUAUUGUGAUUCCGAUGGCAAUUUUAGUAGUGGAUGUUGAAUUUUAUGGUGGUUGUUUAUGAUUUUUGUGAUACUAAUGGUUGUAUUGUGAUUUCAAUAAUGAAAUCCAUGGUGGAUUCUUAAAAUUAUUGUGGUGAAGAUUUGAGUUUGAUGAUGAUGAUGUCAAUGGUGGUGUUUUAAUGGUGAUUUUGAUGAAGAAGAAGCAAUGGUGGACAUGGACUUUUAAAAAAAAUUGACAUAAUAUCUGAUGUGGAUAACAUGGCGAUGAUGUGGCGUGAGUGUAAAUCACUCUCCAUCAUGUGAGUGGUUCUUUACUUUUCAGGAUGGAAAUAAAUUUACUUUUGCAUAGUAUAGGUGCGUAUUAGGUCGCGAUAUUAGUUUAAGUGUAAAAGUGACUUUUCGUGUAGAGCUUGAGGUGAAACGAUGAUUUUUUCCUUCUUAUAAAAAAUAAAAGGCCAACCCCAUCGAUAGCCCCUCGAACUUGUCCCUAAAAUUCACUUAGACCCUAAACUAAGGCUUGUACCUAUUAAAUCCCUAAACCCCCCAAUUUGGUUACAAUUGGGUAUUUUUUUCCCUAUCAGCAAAAAGGUCAAAAUAUGUGUUGCACACAUGCGAUGACAUGGCAAAAUGAGCUAACUGGAAGCUGACACGUGGCAUUGUAGGUCCAAUAAUUAAUAAAAAUUAAUAAUAAUUUUUUAUAAAAAAGUAUAAAAAAAUGGCAUGGAGGAAAUUAUUAAAAAAUAAUUCUAAAAUUAUAUCAAAAAAUAAAAAUAAAAAUUGAUUAUUUUUAACAAAUUAUAAAAAAAUAUAAAAAUGAAACAAAUUAUUAAAAAAAUAUUUUUUAAAAAAACAUUAAAAAAAUUAUAAAAUUUCUUAAAAAAUGAAGAUAAAAAAUGGCAUUGACGAUAUAAAUUAUGAAAAAAAAUUAUAAAAUUAUUUAAAAAUAAAAAUAGAGAACUGAUUAUUUAAAAAAAAUUAUACAAUUUUUUAAAAAAUAAAAUAAAAUAUUAAAAAAUUAUUUAAAAAUAAAAAAUUAAUUAUUAAAAAAAUUAUAAAACUUUUUAAAAUGAAAAUGAAAAAUGGUUGAGGAUCCAAAUUAUGAACAAAUAAUUAUAAAAUUAUUAGAAAAAUAAAAAUAUGAUUAUUUAAAAAAAUUAUAAAAAAAUUUUAAAAAUGAAAUAAAUUAUUAACAAAUUAUUUGAUAAAUUAAUUAUUAAAAAUAAAUAUAAAAAUAUUUAAAAUGAAAAUAAAAAAUGGCAUUGAAGAUCCAAAUUAAGAAAAAAUAAUUAUAAAAUUAUUAAAAAAAUAAAAUAAGAAACUAAUUAUUAAAAUAGAAAUUAUAAAAGUUUAAAAAAUUAAAUAAAUUAUUAAAAAAAAUUAAAAAUAAAAAAUUAAUUAUUAAAAAAAUUAUAAUUUUUUUAAAAAUGAAAAUAAUAAAUGGCAUUGAGGAUCCAAAUUGUGAAAAAAUAAUUAUAAACUAUUUGAAAAAUAAAAAAACUGAUUAUUUUGAAGAAAAUUAUAAAAAAUUUUAAAAAAUGAAAUAAAUCAUUAAAAAAAUAAAUAUUAAUAAAAUUAUAAAAUUUUUCAAAAAUGAAAAUAAAAAAUGGCAUUGAGGAUGUAAUUAAGGAAAAAAUAAUUAUAUAAUUAUUUAAAAAAUAUAAAUAAAAAACUGAUUAUUUAAAAAAUUAUAAAAAAUUUUAAAAAAUGAAAUAAAUUAUUAAAAUAAUUUAUAAAUAAAAAUUUAAUUAUUAAAAAAAUUAUAAAACAUUUUAAAAUAAAAAUAAAAAAUGGCGUAGAAAAUCCAAAUUAUGAAAAAAUUAUUUAAAAAUUAAAAAUAAAAAACUAAUUAUUAAAAAGCAAUUAUAAAAUUUUUUAAAAGAUGAAAAUAAAAAACAAUUAUUUUUUUAAAUUCAGUUUUAUUAUAAAAAAAAAAAAAAAAUUGGGGCCCUCUAAUGCUUUUGGGGGCCUUUAGUGUUUAAAAAAAAAUUGCUAUUAAUAAAAUUUUGGGGCCCUCAAUGCCACUUGGCAACUUUUUAUUCUUAAAUUGGUAAGAUAUGAAUGCUUCAGAAAUUGCAUAAAACAAAUGAUUUACUUGGUCAAUAUAGCCAGGGACUCCCUUGCUUCAAGAAUGUUUUCUCGUUUAAGCAAUAUUGCACUUACAUAGGUGUUAGACUAUUCACUGUAUUCAGUGACUAAGUUUAAGAAAAUAUAUGACUUAUAACAAAUUAUAGCUAGGAUAUGUGGCUUACCAGAUGCCCAAAUUCAAGUGCAAAAAAAAGAAGAACUUCAACUCCACGUCAAUCAUCAAGAAUGCUAGUAUUAGCCAAUUCUACAGAGAAAUUAUAUUAAUCAGUCACAAAACAAUUAACGAUUGUUUACAAUAAUAAUACAAAACUAAUACAAUUAGAAUAUUUUACAUUGUUCAAGCUUUUCGAGGACAUCUAUAUCUUCCUCAAUCUUAGUGAGUACAGCCAUCAAUCUUAGUCUCUCAGUAGAUUAGGGGGUUCGGAGGUCUGAUUCUCAAGAUCUGCAGCUGAGGAAAUUGACAUCUACCAGUUGUCAGGGGGUCCGAGCACUAAAUAAUCUCUCCCCCUUCGUCAACUACCAAUGGAGGAUCAAGUUAAAUGCAAGAUUAGGAGGUGGAUUCAACAAAUUCAAAGAGGGUUUCUUACCAGGUGGAUGUAUCUUUUCUCAAUAGACUGAAUCUAUAUUUUGUAGCAUCAAAACGAUAGAUUUCCCCUACAUACUGGAGAUUUCAGCUGGAAUAAAGAAAUGGCUAACAGGUACACAGAGACAGGAAGGAGAAAGGAAAAACAAUAAGGAAGCUUACUCUUGCAAGCUAGAAGACGGGGUUAUCAACAACACCAGUAGGAUAGUAUUGAUGAUCCGAAGAAGCAGCAGCUCAAGUUGUUCAUUGACAAAGAAAGCCAUGGAGAUGCGGCGGAAAGGGAAGAAGAUGAAAGGGAUUUUCUUAGUUUCUCAUUUUAGAAACCCUACUAGAUAUUUAGUUGAUAUAUUUGGAUAUGAUGGGUCAAGUUGGGUCGGGUCAGUUGACCCUUGGUUAAUAAAAUUACGUAUUAAACCAAUAUAUAUAUAUUAAUAUAUAUAGUGAUAAUAUAAAUAUUUAUAUAAAAAAAUAUAAAUAGGGGUAAAAUUGUAAUUUUUCUGUAUUCUUAUUGGAUUCUCGGUUAAACCGAUAACCCAAUAGGCCUAAAUCGAUACCAAACCGAUAACCCAAUAAAAAAUUUUCUAAAACCAAUAACCCAAUAACAGUAACCCAAUAACAUUUUUAUCAGUUCGGUUUAUCGAUCGGUUCGGUUUUUGCACAGCCCUAAGUUUGAGUGCCUAUCGAUGGGUUUGGCCAAAAUUAAAAUAUGAAUAGUUCAUAUGCCUGAAGUACAUAGAUCCUUCUUCAAAUGAUCUACGAACCUCUGCCAUAUCUUGAAAUGCAUACUAACGUGAGACAUCAUUGUUAAAACAAUUGUUGGAACCUCAUAUACCUUUUUCUUUUAAUCUGUCGGUGUCCAUCUUCGAGGUCAUUUGUGUGUAUAUGUUGUUUUUAUCAAAUGUGUUUUUAUUACAUGGCUUAAGUCAUCGACAAACACUUAAAGUUGUCCCAAAAAUUCACUUAAAUCCCUCAACUAAGGCCUAUCAGGCCUCUAACCACCCGAAUUUUGAUCCAAUCAAGCCUUUUUUGAACAAUCAGCAAAAAGUGUAGAGUGUGUAUAACACACUCGCCUGAUGUAGCAAAAAUGAAGAAUAAAAAAAACUAAAAAUUACACAAAUACACAACUUAUGUUUUCAAUAUUACAAAAAAUCCCAAGUCCCUAAACAUAUUACAAAAAUCUCAACAUAUACACAGAAUAUUAUGUUUAUGUCGGCUAUGUUAUGUAUAUUAAUAGGGAGAGAGAGUAAAGUAAUAAAGUAAUUAAAAAAUGAGAGAGAGUGUAAUUACUUCCAAAAAGGUUGGUAUUUAUGUUAUUUGCUCAUAAAAAACCACGUGGCAAACGAAUUUUUUAAAACAAACUAUAAGUUAGAAAUCCAAUUAAAUAAUGACACAUGUAAUGUGGGUCCAAAAAUUAUUGUAAAUAUAUUACUCCACAAUAAAUUAUUUUAAAAUUAAGAAAAAGAAAAAAAAACUAACCUACCCCUCCCCACCCCUACGCCCCAGUAAAGAACCGGUUCCCCUCACCCCCCCCACACACACACUGUUACAACCAUAGGAGAACCACACCCCAAAAGCUAGCUAUUAAGGUGGGGGAGCCCAAGGUUAUAAAUAACCCACACCAAUACUUUGUAGUAGGAGAACCACACCCCAAAAACUAGUUAUUAAAGUGGGAGAGCCCAAAGCUAUAAAUAACCGACACCAACACUUUGUAGUACCAAUGGGGGACUUUACAAUGGAUCAUAACAAAUCACCACGCUCGGCAUCCGUCGUCCUUGACGUCUCCACUCUGGGGACGGCUCCACUCUGGGUAGCUUUCACUCUACUUGUGUAGGUAGCUCUUUCCCAGGUAGCCCUUUUCGAGUCAGGAAAACCACACCCCAAAAACUAGCUAUUAAGGUGGAAGAGCCCAAGGUUAUAAAUAACUCACACCAAUACUUUAUAGUACCAAUGUGGGACUUCACAAUGGAUCAUAACAUACCCUCGCCCUUAUCAUAUUCUUGUCCAAUUCUGUUAAAAUAAAUUCAAAAUUUUUUUAGCAAUCUUAUUCUUUAGCAAUCCAAUUCAUAUUUGUUGCUAUUUUUUUGUUCUUCUUGUGUUGUGGGUUUCUUAGAAUUUGAAUUCUUUAACAAUAUCAAUAAAGUAAUCUCAAAGUCAUAUCAAGUUAGCCGGAAAAAUGGAGUUUCGCCGCAAAAAAUGGAGUUUCCCAAUUCAAGAAUAAAAUUUGCUCCCAUUGCUUUUUUUUUUCUUUUUCUGGUACAUAAAUUCGUGAUUACAUAUAUGGCUAAGAGAUUGUUUGAUCUAUAAUCGGUCUUUUAUUGACGAAUAAAGAAUAUAUUGCAUAUAUGUUCAGCAAUGCCUGAUUAACGAAAAGAAUUGAUGAAUUUAAAAAACUUACAAGAUUGUUAAGAAUCGCUAAGGAGGUUUAUUGAUAAGAUUCUUUUUCUUUUUGAGGUAGCUUCAACAUUCUUGUAAAUUGGCUAAUAGUUGCGGGACUUUAAAAAGGAAAAAAAAUACAUAGAUGAAGGAUGAUGAAAAUGAUGGGUUGCUACGUUCCCUUUUAUUUUUUAAUUAAAAUUUGAUAUUAUUAGAAAUUAUUAAUGAAAUAGAUUGAAGUGUGAUUUUCUAUAGCAGAUCUAUCUAUCUAUCUAUCUAUCUAUCCAUCUAUCUAUGUGUAUAUAUAUAUCAUUUGGUACUCUAUUUACGCUCCUAAGGAGAGUAAAUAAUACUUUUCUUGCCACAUCAGUACUUUGUGCUUGAUAGGUAUGAAAUUGAAUGGGUCUGGGGCCUGAUAGGUACAACCUUAAUUGAGAGGCCUAAGUAAAUUUUUAAAACAACUUAAAGUGUCUGUCGAUUCUUAUUACGUUUAACUAAUUCUUCAAAGAAAUGAACAUACUGCAAGAUCUUGGAUACCUAGCACCCAAGAUAUUGCAUUGGAAUAAGACUUGAUGCGAGAAGGAUGGAGUAUUUCUGAAGUCAAGUUUUGACGAAGAAGAAGCCAUAAAAGGUCGUAAGGGGCAGAGCUAAUGUUUUGCUUGUUGCUGUUGACAAUUUCACUGGUGGACUGAAAGUUUGAAAUAGUUUCUUGGACUCCAAGGGUGGAAGGGACCCUUGGAUAAACACUUCACAUACCUUGAUUACUACUUUCGAGAAGAUUGAGGUGAGUUCUUCAGACUUGAAUUUUUGAACUUGAUGAGGCUAGGGCUUGCUCUUGAGAGGGUUUUAUGAGUAAGGAAUGAGAUUUUGCGCUAUAGGCUAAUUAAUUUCGUGUUAACGCUGAAUAAGGGUGGGGAAAAUGACCUAUUUUCCCCCACAACCCUUAUUAAAAUAAUAAUGAAUAGGGUUGUCCUCACUUCGUGACCCCUGCUUGGGUCAAGUAUCCAUAGCGACGCAACCCCUGCUCGGUUCAAGCAGCCAUCGAAGCGCAACCCUUACUAAGGUUGACUGGCCCGCGCGACGCGGGGCUAUAGUGACCCUCCACUGUUUUGUGCAUCUAAACUCGCACUUACGCUAGUCUAAAAAAUCCAAAACUCGCCUGAGAUGGCCUACAAGUGACCCUAAUCAUGAAUCAAUUUUAAAAUCGAUAAAGUAAGGACGAAAAGGUCGGAAAUAAAAUCCUCCAAAUUUGGAAGGCUAAAAUGAUUCUAAGUCUUGAUACUUAGCUAAAAUUUUCUAAGUCUGGGACUCGUUAACGAGCUUAAAGGACUAAGUUAAGCUAAGAAUUUUGCGGGGUCUUACAAAGCAAUGGUUCAUCGGAAAGGUGUAUCACUUCGGAUCUGAGUUUCUGGAUGCAUCUGCAUGGCGUUUAUAGAGAAAAUAUAUUUUUUGUUUUUCUUUGGAUUUUUCGGAUUAAUAAAUUCCAUUUGUUUUUUCAAAUUUCAAAUAAACUUUUUCAAAAGAAUUAAUCUCAAUGAUUAAUUUCCAAAUCCAAAUCCCGAACCCAAACCUGGGCGACGAUGGCGUGAAAUAUCUCCUGGUUCUUGCCUCACUAUCCACUUAAAGGUGUGUUUCUUAAUAAGCACACAUGAAAGUUGCUUUCUCCCACCAAUGCGAGAGACGUAUACUUUCCUUAAAUGAGUACACUUUUCCUUCAUUUUCCAUUCAUACUAAUUAAACCAAACAACAAAUGCCAAGAGACCUUCAGGGGUCGUUUGGUAGGAAAAUAAAUUAUGCAGGGAUUAGUAAUAUAAGUAUUAGUAAUGCAGGAAAUAUUAAUACAAGGAAUGUAACGCAGAAAUUAUUUUUUUAUCAAGUAUUUGGUUCAUUGUAUUAAAAUCUAGAUACACCGUGUAUUAUGUUUGAUUUAUAAUUCUACAAGUAUGGUCAUUACAAAUAUGCCCUUGAUCUUUUUGUGAAUUCCUAUUUCAUUUAGCUAGACUUCUUAAAAAGGAAAAAGUCAUCGUUUCCACCUCAAAGUAUACAUUAAAAGUCACUUACACACCUAAACUAAUAUGGUGACCCAUUAGACACUUAUUCUUAAUAAAUAUGAAUUUAAUUUCACCCUAAAUCUGACAUGAAAAUAAAAUUAAUUUAAAAAGAAAAAGAGGAGCAUCUAAAGCCAAAAAUAUUCUUUAAAAUUCUCCACCCCCACUCAGAUUCUCUCUCCUUCAACUUUAUUUUUAAUUUUUUUCUGUUUCUCUCUCAAUCUUGUUUCUUCUUAUUUUUUUUUUCAAUUCACAACCACUCCUCCCUUUUUGUGGUUGAUGGAAAUUAUUUUUCCAUGAUAGUUUUUGGAGUGAAAAAAUAAAAAAUAUUAAGAAAUUGAAUCGACGUUGGUCAGAAAUUUUUUCGAUGAAACUUGUGAAAUUGAUCAAAUCUUAUUUCUCCCAUCAUCAAACUCAUCAAGUUAAGCAUCAAUUUUUUUUAUUUUAUUUUUAUAUUUAUGUUCUUUCUCUGUAAAAGUUUGUGGGUUUUGCUCAAAAUUCAAUCUAUACAUUUUUUGUAGAUAUAUCUUCUCUCUAUAAAAAUUCUCUUUCGAUUUGCUCAAAAUCAAUAACAGUAUAUUGAUGUAGAAUUUAGUUGUGGUGCAGGUGCGAAUUUGUGGUGAUUUUUGUAACUUUGGAUGUUAACAGUGGUGAUAUUGUGAUUCUGAUGGCAAUUUUAGUAGUGGAUGUUGAAUUUUAUGGUGGUUGUUUGUGAUUUUGUGAUACUAAUGGUUGUAUUGUGAUUUUGAUAAUGAAAUUCAUGGUGGAUUCUUAAAAUUAUUGUGGUGAAAAUUUGAGUUUGAUGAUGAUGAUGUCAAUGGUGGUGUUUUAAUGGUGAUUUUGAUGAAGAAGAAGCAAUGGUGACAUGGACUUUUAAAAAAAAUUGACAUAAUAGCUGAUGUGGUAAUGACAUGGCGAUGAUGUGGCACGAGUGUAAAUCACUCUCCAUCAUGUGAGUGGUUCUUUACGUUUCGGGAUGAAAAUAAAUUUACUUUUACAUAGUAUGGGUGCGUAUUAGGUCGCGAUAUUAGUUUAAGUUUAUAAGUGAAUUUUGGUGUAUAGUUUGAGGUGAAAACGAUGAUUUUUUCCUUCUUAUAAAAAAUUAAAAUAUGAAUAGUUCAGAUGCCUGAAGUGCAUAGAUCCUUCUUCAAAUGAUCUACGAACCUCUACCACAUCUUGAAAUGCAUAGUAACGUGAGACAUCAUUGUUAAAACAAUUGUUGGAACCUCAUAUACCCUUUUCUUUUAAUCUGUCGUUGUCCAUCUUCGAGGUCAUUUGUGUGUAUAUGUUGUUUUUAUCAAAUGUGUUUUUAUUACAUGGCUUAAGUCAUAGAUAAACACUUAAAGUUGUCCCAAAAAUUCACUUAAAUCCCUCAACUAAGGCCUAUCAGGCCUCUAACCACCCGAAUUUUGAUCCAAUCAAGCAUUUUUUGAAUAAUCAGCAAAAAGUGUAGAGAUACACACUCGCCUGAUAUAGCAAAAAUGACCAAUAAAAAAAACUAAAAAUUACACAAAUACACAACUUAUGUUUUCAAUAGUACAAAAAAUCCCAACUCCCUAAACAUAUUACAAAAAUCCCAACAUAUUCACAGAAUGUUAUGUAUAUGUCGGCUAUGUCAUGUAUAUUAAUAGAGAAAGAGAAUAAAGUAAUUAAAAAAAUAGGAUAGAGUGUAAUUACUUCCAAAAGGGUUGGUAUUUGUGUUAUUUGUUCAUAAAAAAAACACGUGGCAUACGAAUUUUUUUAAAAAAAACUAUAAGUUAGAAUCCAAUUAAAUAAUCACACAUGACAUGUGGGUCCAAAAAUUAUUGUCCCCCACACACAUUGUUACAACCUUAGGAGAACCACACCCCAAAAGCUAGUUAUUAAGGUGAGAGAGCCCAAGGUUAUAAAUAACCCACACUAAUACUUUGUAGUAGGAGAACCAUACCGCAAAAACUAAAUGUUAAUGUGGGAGGACCCAAGAUUAUAAAUAACUCACACCAAUACUUUGUAUUACCAAUGUGGGACUUUACAAUGGAUCAUAACAAACCACCACGCUCCGCAUCUGUCGUCCUUGACGACUCCACUCUGGGUAGCUUUCACUCUACUAAUGUAGGUAGCUCUUUCCCACUAGCUAUUAAGAUGAGAGAGCCCAAGGUUAUAAAUAACCCACACCAAUGUUUUGUAGUAUCAAUGCGGGACUUUACAAUGGAUCAUAACACACCCUCCCCUUAUCAUCUUCUUGUCCAAUUCUGUUAAAAUAAAUUCAAAAAAUUUUUAGCAAUCUUAUUCUUUAGCAAUCCAAUUCAUAUUUAUUGCUAUUUUUUCUUCUUCUUGUGUUGUGGAUUUUUUAGAGUUUGAAUUCUUUAACAAUAUCAAUAAAGUAAUCUCUAAGUCAUAUCAAGUUAGCCGGAAAAUGGAGUUUCGCCGCAAAAAAUGAAGUUUCCCAAUUCAAGAAUCAAAUUUGCCCCCAUGGCUUUUUUUUUCCUUUUUCUGGUACAUAAAUUCGUGAUUACAUAUAUGGCUAAGAGAUUGUUUGAUCUAUAAUCGGUCUUUUAUUGACGAAUAAAGAAUAUAUUGCAUAUAUGUUCAGCAAUGCCCGAUUAAAGAAAUGAAUUGAUGAAUUUAAAAAACUUACAAGAUUGUUAAGAAUAGGAGGUUUAUUGAUAAGAUUCUUUUUCUUUUUGAGGUAGCUUCAACAUUCUUGUAAAUUGGCUAAUAGUUGCAGGACUUUAAAAAGGAAAAAAAAUACAUAGAUGAAGGAUGAUGAAAAAGAUGGGUGGCUACUUUCCCUUUUAUUUUUUAAUUAAAAUUUGAUAUUAUUAAUGAAAUAGAUUGAAGUGUGAUUUUCUACAGCAAAUAUUUAUAUAUAUAUCAUUUGGUACUCUAUUUAUACUCCUAAGGAGAGUAAAUAAUACUUUUCUUGCCACAUCAGUACUUUGUGCUUGAUAGAUAUGAAAUUGAAUGGGUUAGAGGUCUGAUAGGUACAGCCUUAGUUGAGAGGCUAAGUAAAUUUUUAAAACAACUUAAAGUGUCUGUCGAUAACUUAAGUCUUAUUACGUUUAACUAAUUCUUCAAAGAAAUGAACAUACUGCAAGAUCUUGGCUACCUAGCACCCAAGAUAUUGCAUUGGAAUCAGACUUGAUGCGAGAAGGAUGGAGUAUUUCUGAAGUCAAGUUUUGACGAAGAAGAAGCCAUAAAAGGUCGUAAGGGGCAGAGCUAAUGUUUCGCUAGUUACUGUUGACAAUUUCACUGGUGGACUGGUCGGAGAAAACAGACCCUUCCUGGACUAAAGCUUGGUAGGCUAAAGAGUGGCUAGCAAGGAAUAUGGCGGGACGAGACCCAAUAUUGAGAGCACGGAGCAGGGUUCCAACUAGACGAAGGUCCUUCCAUUGCUGUCUUUCAUUUCCGCUACUUCUAUCAACACAAAAUAUAAGCUUUCAUUUUUCAUGUGUGUGCGUGUAGGGGUGGGCAUGGUAUGGUAUGAUACGGUAUUUAAAAUUUCGGUAUUCGAUUUUUAAAAAUAUUAUACUAUUACCAUACCAUAUUAAUUCAGUAUGGUUCAGUAUUUUGAUAUUUGAUUUCGGUAUUUUGCGGUAUGGUAGGUACCAUAGUUUGUACAACUUCGAUAAUAUAUACUCAUAUACUAGAGUAUUAUUACUUAAACUUUUCAAAAGCACGUCUAAAUUGAUUCAUAAAUACACAUUACAAAUGUAGAAAUAUUGAAAAAAAAAGUACAAACAAUUUCUCUUGUUAGUCAACUACACAAAAAAGAUAUUUCAAUCAAGAUAAAGUAGCAAAAGUUUCAAUGUCUAAAUAUUUUUAUAUUAAUACUAAGUAUUAUAUUUGUGUGUGUAUAUAUAUAUAUAACAAUUAUGUAACUAUAUAUACUUCGGUAUGGUAUUCGAUAUUUCGGUAUGUCAUUUGUAAAUACCGAAUAUCAUAUCAUAUACCAAAUAUCAUAAUAAUAAAAUCACGGUAUCAAAAAUUUUAAUUCGGUAUAUAGCAUACCAUACUCACCAGUCACCCCUAUGUGUGUGUAUAUAGAGCAGCAAAGGAGAACUAUUUUUGAUUCGGUAUAGUAAUUCGGUAUAUAGCAUACCAUGCUCACCAGUCACCCCUAUGUGUGUGUAUAUAGAGCAGCAAAGGAGAACUAUCUAUAGAUUCUGCGGCCGAUAAUAUGCAUGGCAUCGUGUAAUUUCACUUUUUUUUUCAUAUCUGUUAAUUAAUCCAUUAUAUUUUCUCCCUAUUAAUUUCAGUACAAAGCUUCAUGGCAAAAGUUUAAUCUGAAUUGCCAGAGCUCAGUCUACUAUGAUAUAGAUCCUGGCGUCUUUUACAUUAUCACCAACGUACUAGCCCCAUUUUCAAUUACACCAAACACAAGAAAUGAAGUUACUUCAUGUUGAACAAACGUUUUAGGCCAAGAAAGUUCAAUAAUACUUUGUGAUGUUGCAAUUCUUAAUAAUACUUCACAAAAGAUUUUAAGGAAUUCACUUUCCGGGGCAUGUUAAAUUGAAGACCCAGCAACGUCAUAUACUUCUUUCUGUGCCAUCUUUUUCAAGCUUUGUGCAACAGCAAAAGUCACAGCUUGAUGGCUUCUUAAAAUUUGGUUGAAUCAUUUUCUUAAUUUCACCUUUAUGAAUCUAACAAUAUUUGAUCCAGUCGUUUACUUUCAUUUCAAAAAGCAGAUCAUGUUUCCACACACAGAACAGACCAAAAAAGGCAUAUAUUAUAAAAUACAAUACAUUACAGUAAAGUACAAUAACAAGUAACAACCAUAGCAACCAUACAAACAAUCCGAGCACUUGAUUUUCCCACUAACUCAUACUAGGAGGGAAAUCCACAAGAGAUAAUAUGCAAAUAGAAAGAACCAAUUACCAAAUUCAAAGAGUGUUAACUCGGGGACAAAUACGAGCUCGUAGUGGAUUCUUCAUUACAACAGUGAAUUCUUGCUUCUCCGAGAGAUCAACACCAUAUCCUUCCACAGGAUUCCAUUGAAAAUGCCAAAUCAGAUUAGCCACAAAAUAUUCUAAAUGAAGCAUAGCCAACGCAUAGCCAGGACAUAUUCUCCUCCCUGCACCGAACGGCAUCAUCUUGAUCUCUCUACUUCCUGUUAUAUCAAAGGAUUCCUUAUCUGAUCCUUCCACUAAGAACCUCUCUGGCUUAAACUCCAAGGGAUCCUCCCACACAUUUGGGUCUAAGGCCAUGUCCGCAAGCAUGAAAUUGAUGGUCACAUUCUUUGGGAUUACAUAGCCGUUCAGUUCAACUUCCUCUGUCACCUUGUGUGGAAACAGAAUGUGACCAGGUGGGUGCCGCCUAAGGCCUUCCAAUAUCACUGCUUUCAAGUAGGGCAUUUUUUGCAAAUCUUCCUCCUUCACCACCUCUUCUGUCGACUCGCUCUUUUUUUCACCCACUACACUGGCAAUUUCUUGAUAUAGCUUGUCCUGA
rnacentral:lncRNA from 1 species